rnacentral:lncRNA from 1 species
UUUUUUUUUGCUUGAUAGAUCAAUCUCUCUCUGCUUGGUUCUGUUAUGCCGAAAAGGGUUAUUUACAAUGUCAAUAGCAGCUUCUUUGUCACAGUAGGCUUGUACUUAUACAACCGCAGCUUUGUUAGGAGGAUCUGCAUCCAUAGUAACUCACAUAUGCUGUAGUUGACCGAGCCACCACACUUUGUUCUUUUUACUUGGCCAUGAAAUUACGUUUCCGCAACAAAUGCACAAGUAACAGGAUGGUGAGCAACGGCCAUCUAGGGAACCAACCCAAUCAACAUAGGUGCACUCAACUUGCAAGUCCCCUUGUCUGGUACUCCCUCCAUUCCUAUAUAUAAGUCUUUUUAGAGAUUCCAAUAUGGACUACAUACGGAAUGAAUGAAUCUACACUCGUGUAGAUUCAUUCAUUCCGUAUGUAGUCCAUAUUGGAAUCUCUAAAAAGAUUUAUAUUUAGGAACGGAGGGAGUAUAAAAGAGACCUUUCCCUUUGCAUCAUUUUGAGCUGAUUUUGGGUCAUGCAUGUACUGGCUAACUACGUUCACAACAAAGGCAAUGUCUGGACAGGUAUGAGGUAAAUAUAUUAACCUUCCAACUAAUUGGUAGCGCUCCCAGCAUCAUUGCAUAACCGGUUGUUUUGCCCAAUAGGUGUAGCGGCAGGUCAACAACCAAACACAGAUGUUUCCUUGAAUGGAUCCAAGAUAUAUUUUGGCUAUGAGAGAAAAUACCCUUGGACCCUUGUGAGACCUCUAUACCUGUAUACCAAGAAAAUAUCUUAGUUGUACCAAAUCCUUCACUUCAAACUCAUGUGCAAGAUGAUAUUUAGAUCUGCAACUUUCUUGGAAUCAUCCGGAGUAAUGAUAAUGUCAUCGGCAUAUACUAUCAGUUGGAAGAUUGUAUUCCACCGGAUGAUUACACUGAUGUUCAUAGGGGUAUUUACACAAGAGUUAUAACGGGAGGAUAGAUUUGUUUCAACAGAAAUACAGAAUCCUCCUAAAGCUACGUGACCGUGGCCGUCGUGCGGGGUGAGCAGGCAGCAACCGCGUAACUCGCACGUAAUGGUAUGUGACGUGUAGGAGUCUGACAUGUUCCAACACCCCCGCAGUGGAAACGUGAUUCAGGAGCAUGUUGAGGCUGUUCCAAAACUCGUUGAAGAUGACCGGCGCCAGUCCUUUGGUGUAGAUGUCAACAAAUUGGGAUGUAGUGGGGACAUGUUGGACCUUGAUGUCGCUAAUGCUGACCCACACGAGCAUGAAAUGCAGGUCUAUCUUGACGUGCUUUGUAUGUUGGUGUUGAACCGGGUUGCUCGAGAGGUAGAUAGAUGUCGUUGAUGUUGUUGCAACAGACGAUGGUGGCACGCCGCGGGGGUCGCUGGAGCUUUGUGAGAAGUUGACGGAGCCAAUAGGACUCGGUGACGCCAUUCAAGACUGUGCGGUACUUCGCCUCCGCACUAGAGCGCGACACGGUGUCCUGCUGUUUAGACGGCUAUGACAUGAGGUUUUGCCCAAGGAAGACGCAAAACUCGAACAUAGAUCGCCGCGUGUCAGGGAACCUGGCCCGGUUGGCGUCGAAGUAAGCCACAAGAUGAGGGGUGCGGUGUUCACAUGAAGCUGAAGCUUGAGGUGUGCACGUAGCGCAUUAUUUGUUUGACCAACUAGAGAUGUGGCUCGUGUGCGUCCUGCAUGAAGACGCACGCCUGCUGAACGACAUGCGUCAGGUACAGGUGCAUGCGCGUCAGUGUCAGGUAUUGGAGCACCCCGGCCAAGCUCUGGUACAAGACUAGUGGAGUCUGGUGCACCGUCGUUGGCAGACAGUUUGGCGCACGCGUCGAGUGAAGUGCAGACCGGGCAAGAGUUCAACAUGCUUAUGCACUCCAAGAUUUCCAGGGCGUACUGGUGCUGGGUGAGCGAGGGCCCAGCUGUAGUGCAUUGCAUGUUGACGCCAAGAAAAUGGUGAGGCUUGCCAAGGUCUGUCAUGGCAAAUUCUUGGUGAAGUGAAUCCAUGAUGAUACAGAGAGUAUCAGUGGAGUGCAUUGCACGUUGACGCCAAGAAAAUGGUGAAGCUCGCCAAGGUCUGUCAUGGCAAAUUCUUGGUGGAGUGAAUCCAUGAUGAUACAGAGAGUAUCAAUGGAGCUUGUCGUCAGGAUGAUGUCAUCCAUGUACAUAAGUACAUAUGUCUUCGCAUUGCAACGAUGAUGGUUGAAAAGGGAGCUGUAGUUCCUAGAUGUGAAGCCGAGCCCGGUGAGGUGCAAGGUAAACCACGCGAACCAUGUGGACAAUGUCUGUUUCAAUUCAUAAAGCGAGUAUUGGAGUGAGCAGAAGUGGUGAGGGCGAUUGGUGUAUAUGAAGUCAUAGGGCUGCUCACUGUAGACGACUUCGUCCAACUGUCGCUCACAUCCAAUUGAUGGAUGGGCCAAUCGUUGGAGACAACAAAGCUGAGGACGACAUGGAUCGUGGACGGCUUCACCAUUGGGCUGAAGGUCUCGGUGUAGUCCACACCGCCGUGUUGGAUGAACCCCCGAAGCAGCCAUUGUGCUUUUUGCCAUGCAAGUGUGUUGUCUUGAUGAAACUUGUGCCAAUAAAUCCAUUUGCCGUUGACGCCAUUCAUGUGACGAGGAACUGGACACCAAGUGUUAUUCUGUAACAAUGCGUUAUACUUGUCUCGCAUCGGGGCAUACCAAUGGGAAUCUUCUACAGUGAAGCGAUAAGAGGGGAUAGGAGAGAUACACGUAGUAUUGAGGUUGGUUUGAUUUUUAGAAAGGGAAAAUCCCGAUUUAGUGCGCGUGAUCAUGCAAUAGUCGUUAAUGGGUGGAUCUACUGGUAUCACAUGCACUACUCAGAGCUGAGCUUCAUGCUGAACUUCCUGAGGCUGCCGAAAGUCUUGGUCAGAUUCGUUAGCAGAUUCCUUUUUACGGGUCUUGAUGACUACGUCGUCGACGUAGGGUUGCACAUUCUUCCUGAUUUGCUGGUGGAAGCAUUUCUAGAUGCAACACUGGUAUGUAGCCCCUGCGUUCUUUAGGCCAAAGGGCAUUGAGGUAUAGCAGAAAGCACCGAACAACGUGAUGAAUGACGUCUUGAUCUCACCUCCUUCUUUCAUCUUGAUUUGAUGAUAUCCUGAGUAUGCACCCAGGAGGCAAAGCACCUCAUACCCGGUGAUCGAGUCGAUGACCUGAUCCAUGCGCGUUCUUAGGGAAAGCUUUUUCAGGCUAGUGUAGUCGAUACACAUUCUCCAUUUCCCAUUCAAAUUGAGGACGAGGACUGAUGAGGCACAAACUAGCAAGAUGCUAAAUUGCGCGGGACGCGGCCCGAUCUUCCACAGUACUUGUGAAACAACAAUGAACGACCGCAGCAAUAGUCGCAGAAGAAAUAGACACAAGAAAAAAGCCUUCGGAUAAAACAAAAAGUAAGAAGCCAUAGGAUAAGACUUGCACUUAAAUUGGUACGAGAUCAGACGCGUGUACAAUAGCAUAUCCCUAGGAUUCGCAGGAACACAUCCUUGGUCCCUCCCGACGUGAGGCCUUUUCUUUUGUUUUUAUUCAACUCCAAACUAAAACAAAUCUGACCGCGAUACAAAACUGAACAUGCCUAAUAUAUAGGCGACGCAAACCAGCCGCAAACGGCGUACCAAACUCUAACUGACUUGAUCACGUACUAAAAAACAAGGACACACACUUAAUUAAUAAAUACACUAAUUAAUCUUUCCGGCCACGUUGAUUACAUAGGACUUGUUUAGAAAAGAAAGGACUUUGCGUACUACCAAACGGAGGAGGCACCAACAUCCAUUUAUCUUGGAGGAAUCCUGAAGUUUGGUUGAGAAUAUCCUUUUCGGUUCGACUGGUGGAUCACGAAGUUAAACGUACCGAUCUGUAACACAUUUGGUCGAUCAUAUCUUGAAUGCUCCAUACUUCCAUCUGAAUAUAUUGUCGAGCGCGUCUUUUGUUCAGCACGUGGAGCAGCACCAAGUAAACCUGCUGUGUUUUGCACUGGAGAAAUAAUAGAGCCAUUGUUAGGCUGGGCUGGCGAACUAGUCCUGGUGGUAUACUUCCAGAAUAAAGCUGUCCGCCAGGAGUCACGCUAUCUCUUCUCUGAAGCGUUGAAGGUCCUGUUUGACGGGCUUCGCAUCCUUGAAGACAUUCAAGGAAUGUUCGGCGAUAUCCCUUAAAACUCUGGGCAUGUUGGAGGCCUGCCAAGCGAGUACGUCUCGGUUUCUUAAGGGAAAUGGACGAGCUCUCCUUUUUGCUUAGGCUAAGAUUUGCGCUGAUAUGAAUGAUCGUGGCGGGGUCCUCCUGAUCGAUGGAGAUUUCUUUGGUGUCUUGCUCCGCCUGGAAGGGCGAAGAACUUUGGCCCUUCCUAGCCGACAUCAACUCCUAGGCGAUUUUUGGGAGAUCUCCUGUUUGAUGGCUUCGAAUUCAGCUGCAGGUACUAACGCACCAACACACCGUAUGCUUUCCUGAUUGCACUGGGGAGCAUGCCUGACAUCCCCUUGCACAAUGAUGCUUCUUCUAAGGCCCGACAUCUUGAGCUGGAGAUGGGCAUAAUGGGACACCACCAUGAACUUGGCAUAGCAGGGCCGCCCCAAUAUCGUGUGGAAGGAGCCUCGCAAGUUUGUGACCUCGAAACACAAAGGUCUCACUGUCUCGAUCCUGUAGUUGUCGGGGUGCCGAAUAACAGUUAGGUCAACUUGCCUCACCGUGAUGACAUGGUGUCUAGGGAUAAUCUCAUGGAAGGGUGUACCGGCAUGUACAAUUUGUGAGCGGGGGAUCCCCAUCUUGGCGACGGUGUCGACAUAGAGGAUGUUGAAACUGCUUCCGCCGUCCAUCAGCGUCUUUGGUAAGCCGUACUCUUGCAACGAUGGGGCCAAGGAUCAUGUGGUACCUGCCUGGCUGAGGGACAUGCUUGGGAUAAUCUUCGACCCCAAAGGUGACCAGGGUCUGUGACCACUUCAGGAAUUGUGGGGCGUUAGGCUUCUUUGUCCGAAGCUCCCGCCCUAUGAGCAUGGUGCUGCGUUUGUCUUGCGGCUUUUUGGUUUGUUGAAGACUGAGUGGCACCUGCGAUCGUUCGGUUGGGAUCUCGGGCUGCACAAGGUGUGCACCAUGGCUAAGAUCCCGAUCGAAGGGGGCCUGCCACCUCUCCGCAUGGGGUGAGGGGUGCGUCCAUCGUCCUCAAUUCCGAGAUCAAGGUGCUUGCUGCCUUGUCGUCUGGCUGACUUUGCUUCCUCGCCGUUGAAACUUGUCGGCUUGGCGACUAUUGGGUGCGACCAACGGCCGGGUGUUGCGUCCGCAGCCGCAAUUUGCUUGUGCUGUCAGCCACGAAGUUCAGGCUCCCAAAGUGGAAUGCUUGACCAUCAGGGGAGGAGACGAUGAGGGUCAAAUUCCCCUUCGUGUUGGGGACAAAUCACAAGGAGCCGAAAGAGGGCCUCCUUCCAGGUGUGAAGGCGCCAAUCCGAUUUGAUGGAUCUGCGUGCACUGCUCAGUGUUUUGUUUAGACAGUGCCGUUGAGAGACGGGUGAUUUGGUUGAAGGGGCUUGCGAGCAGCGGGUCAAUAUGGUGGGACAUGGAACAGGGGAAUCACCCAGGUUCGGACCCUCUGGGAGGAGGUAAGACCCUACCCCUGCCUCUAAUGUGUGUAUUGUUUGGGGCUCGCCAGUGGUCAGGGAGAAUGCCAGAGAGACUUGUCUCUAGGGUUACCAACUCAGCUCUCUGGGCGAAAGAGAGGGAGAUGAUUGUUGGAUUCUUUUCUGAGAGGGGAUCCUCCUCUAGGGUUUCCUCGCCUUGUAACUCUAAUUGGGCUUAGGUUACAUUACAUGAUCCUAGUGGUGGUGGUGGGCCGAGCUACCAUGUUUGACCCAUUGAUGUCGACGGCGUCCUUUUGGGAUUCCGUUUCCCCUGAUCUCCCGAGUAAUGCUUCUUUGCUGCCUACUCGUGUCCCUCCUGAGUAGGUGCCGUCGAUUAUCCUUCUCCUCGUCACAUACGGUUCAUCAAACAUGUUGCUGUUUUUAGUGCUUCCCUGAAAAAGAAUUUUAGGCACGUUCAUUGUGAAGAUAAGUGAGCAUGCAACCUCAAGCAAAUGUCUGUUUUUAUGCUCCGCAACACCAUUUUGUUUUUUUUUUGAGAAAACGCAAAAAGGCUUUUGCGUUUCAUUAUAUUGAAAAGAGAGGGAUAGUUUGUUACAUCCUCCUAGGAGGCACCAUUACAGGCGAGAAAUGUAGUUUGAUGUUCAAUGCCAUUUGAGGCAAGGAAUCGUUCAAAGUCCUGGUUGAUAUAUUCCGAACCAUUGUCUGAACGUAAGCUUUUAAUAGUUGAUCAGCAUCACUACAUCUGUUAGCACAUUCUGUAAUGCAAUCUAUCUUUUGAGUAACAACAGGAAUAACACAUGAAUUGUAAAUUCCUUGAAUUUCUUUUUCAUCCUAUAUAUGGUAACUUGUCAAUAACAUAGCUAGCUAGGGAUAACAGCAAUCAGGCAGCCUACAAGCGAUUCCUUCAACAACCUUUUACCCAGAAACACACACAACCACAAUAUUGUUAGCAGAAAAGUACUCCCUCCGUUCCAUAAUUCUUGUCGUUGUUUUAGUUCAAAUUUUAUUGUAUACCUUUAGUAAUCUCUAGCUCUUAUCCCGCCUUGGAGCCUAGCGAUGGACAAAAUUCUGCUUUACGGAGAUUUCUAUCAAGAAUUCAUCAAGAUGUAGAGUCCAUCAUGCACGGUCCAGUCCCCAACAGUCUCCCUGUCUCUAGCUCCUGAAAAGCACAACAGGUAGGAUCAAACCAACCCCUACAAUUCAGGGAUUUAGUAAUAGAGCUAGCUAACUGACAAGUGGUUGACUCAAAAUUUAGGAACAUGUAGGAGAAGAGAUAAGGACAAUGUCUUGGUGCACCUAACAGAUCCACGUCCUGUAAUAUGUGGAAGAACUACUACUGACCUAACCCUAACUAGAAGAACGCCCGUGCGUUGCAACGGGGCCACAUUAACUUUAAGAGUUCAAAAUUAAUAUUCUCAUACGUAUCAAGUGACAUCGGCGACCUUUUUUUACCAUCAAAUCCUCUCACACACACUCUUCCUCCCUCUUCAUCACUCUCUCUCCCCCUCUCCCUUUCUCUCUCUCUCUCUAACACACACACAUAUCCAUCUUAUUGGGUACGGGACCAUAAUCCAUCUAUUUCACACACACACACACGCUAGUGCAAAACAAUAUGGAUUAUGUGUAUUAUAUUUUCCACCACAACUGAGGGAAUUAAUUUCAUGUAAAUCGGCCAGCCACAGCUCCAAGAAUACGUGGAGGAGGUGGCCCGGGUCGGCGUCGGCGCCAUCCGGCGCGGGUCACGGGCCCGCUUCCAAGUGUGUCUGCGCGUCGGCCACCCACGCCGGGUCCUUCAAGUGCCGCUUUCACCGCACCAACUCCCAGUGCCACGGCCACGGCCAGGGCCAGGGAAGCCGCCCUUCUUCGCCCCCUUCACCGGCCGCGGCCAACGCGGUGCCGCGGUACCCGGCCUCGCCGUCCUCGUCCUCCGGCACCGUCGCGACCCAGUGACGCAGCCCAAGCAUCGGCCUCGAGAAUCAAGAACGCUCGACAACGGAGAGGGAAGGGAAGAUCAUAUACAUGUCAUAAGAAAGAGAGUUUAUUUACUGCUCCCUCGAUGUAUUGUUUCCUUUGUUUGGAGAUUGAUUACUAUCCCUGAGUUAAGGUAAGGUUAAUGUGAUUGAGCGAUUUUUCUGAAAAUCAAUUAUUUGUUUUCUAAUUAAUGUGAUUGAGUGAUUUAAGGUACUUCCUCCGUCACGGUUUAGAAGGCACAAUUAAAUUUGCGUGCGUUUCCAUAAUAGACAAGGUUUAGGGCGCAUUGCAUUUAUUUCUAGUAGCUAAUUAGUACUCCGGAAUACUAUUUCUAUAUGCAUGCGUAGUGUGAAUGUUAUUUUUUAGCCCAUCUCACAACCAAUAGAUAACAACCUAGGUCCUAGAGAAUUUCCAAGCGUGCCUUCUAAACCGUGACGGAGGGAGUAGGGUUAAUUAAUUUAGAUUUGAUCUUUAGAGAUUGUUCGUGAUUGAUUCUACAUUACUAAAUAACUUGCGCCAGUAUGGAAAAGUAUGGAAAGUUCUGAUCUGUUUAGAUUUCUUUCGAGGGUGACGCGAAAAUAAACCGAUGAAGUGGGGGGAGGGGACAAAAAAAAUCUACGAAAAAAAACCAGUGAAGGUGGGGGGAGGUACCAAAAUAAACCAUGGGAGGUGGGACGAAAAAAAACCAGGAAGUGAGACUACCAACUGCUCCAUUAGGAGUAGAGAUUACUGGAAAGUAGAUAAAAGUAAAUGAUAAUAUUCUUCUCUGCUUUAUUGAGAGGGGUCGGCCCCUUUAUAUAAAAGACAAGACUUGGCCAACUAGCUGGUAAAUCUAUUCAAACUCUAAUACUAUCUCUAAACUGACUGGACUGUUUCCUAACAAAGAUGCUUAAUCAACUAGGACUCUAAUUAAGGGAUAAGACUCCACGUUUGAUGCACUGGUCCACAUAACAUCUCUCCCUUCCUUGAAAAACAGCUUGUCCGCAAGCUGUAGGUUGUCAAUUGCCUCCCAGGGGACCUUGGUCAUAGUCAUCAGCCUCGAUGAAGAUGAGCCGCGCGCAUCCGUGACGCUGAACAUAAAUCUCGUUGCAGUUGAAGCAAAGGCCCUAGCGACGACGUUCUGCUAACUCUGCUGGAGUGAGGCGACGAACCUGCUGUGGUGGGGUUGGGUCUGGAGUGGUUGAUGUCAGAACAGGUGCUAGUGACACUGGCAGGGAAGGUAUUGUAACUGCGUUGACAGCAGGAAGAGCUGAGGGGCACAAGGGCUCUGUAGGACCAGAAGGCUGGUGUGGUGACGUUGUUGGAGGGAAAUGUCGCUGCUCAUAGGCCUUGGGGAAGAAGAUGGCGGUGUGGAGGUCAGAUGGCCGCUGAAGCUUGACGUCAACACGAAGACCAUCGGGCAGCCCUGCUGUGUACAGAAACCGUUGUUGGGACGGUUUUAACGGCUCAUUGUUGUGGCACAUGAGUGCUAGAGACCUGCUGGUGUAGUCGGCAACUGAGGAAGUGAACGGCAGAUGUGCCAACUCGCCCAAAGGGUUGGCGCGGAGUGACAGCCCAAACUGAACAUGGCAAGCUUCCUUGAACUGCUCCCAUGCCGGCAUGCGGAAUUCGCUCUCGAGCUGCAAGUACCAGAACUGAGCGUCAUUUGUGAGGUGGUACGCUGCAGUCCAGACAUUGUCAGCCUCGGCCGUGCGUUGUCCACGGAAAAACUGAUCGCACCUAUGGAGCCAACCAAGAGGAUUGGCCGAACCAUCAUACCUCGGGAAGUCGAGCUUGUGGAAGCGAGGCACACCUGAACCAGAACCUGAGCCGAGGUGAUUUUUUGGCAGGGGUGGAAGGGAGGUGAUGGGCGGGGUGGAUCCAUAGAUGGGUUGUGUAGGGGGGCGAGGCCAUAGUGGUGUAUGAAAUCUGUUGGCAGGUGGAGAUGUGAAGGCAGUAGAGGCGGCUGCAAAAAUCUGCUGCUGCCGCUGAUGGUAGGGUGGCUGCUGCUGAUGGUGGGGCUGCUGGUAGGUGGGUGGCAAAUUUGGGGUAGGGUUUGGGGUGGGAUUUGGGCUGUAGGGUGAGAGUGCCAAGUGGCCCAGAUUGAUAUUAGGGGGUGGCUGUGGCGAGUAAGGAGAUGGCUGGAGGUGGUAAAAGGGUGCUGGAAUGAUCUGAGGGUGGUUGGCAGCAAAAGUGAGGGGGUGGUGGGGGUGGGCAAUCUGCCCGCCGGGUGGAGGUCUGCCGCCGACGGUGAUUUCCUCGCUGGAAAAGGGGACACCAGAGGUGCUGUUGGCGAGGGGAAGUACGAUGGGCGAGUAGUCGUUGGGGAGGAGGGCCUGACCCGCGGAGGUGGCGGCUGCUGCAGCCUUGGAAUCUGGAGGUGGGGGCAGGGCCGGCAGCCGCUGCUCGAGCGCCGUCGAGCGCUGCACCAGCCUGGCGAGGAGCGUCUUGUCCUCCUCUCGUUGACGUGCGAAGGCCUCCACUUGCUUCGUGAUGAUCUUCAUCUGCUCCACAGCCUCGAUCUCGAUUUCUUUGCCCCUCAUUGUAGAUGGAUCUGAUACCAAAUUGGAAGAACUACUACUGAACUAACCCUAAUUACUGAAGGGCAGCCCGGUGCAUGUAGCUCCCGCUUGCGCAGGGUCCGGGGAAGGGUCCGACCACUUUGGGUCUAUUGUACGCAGCCUUCCCUACAUUUAUGUAAGAGGCUGUUUCCAGGCUAAUCCUAAUUACUGAAAAGUAGAUAAAAGUAAACGACAAUAUUCUUCUCUGCUUCAUUGAGAGGGGUCGGCCCCUUUAUAAUAGACAAGACUUGGCCAACAAGCCGGUAAAUCCAUUCAAACUCUAAUACUAUCUCUAAACUGACUGGACUCUUUCCUAACAAAGAUGGUUAAUCAACUAGGACUCUAAUUAAGGGAAUUAAGGGAUAAGACUCCACGUUUGAUGGGCUGGUCCACACAACAAUAUGUGCCAUGGAUCCAUCAGGUACACGUACCUUAUCCUUUCCUGAACAAGGUGUAUAGGAAGUGAAUAUAUUUGAAGCUCCUGUCAUGUGUUUAGUAGCUCCUGCAUCAAUAAUCCAAGAUUUGAUUGUGUUGUAGAACUGUGGGCCUGGUGAGGUGUCAUAGCUUGGUUCUUCCACAGCCUCGAUCUCAUGCAAGCUAGAUUCAGCUUUUGAGGAAUCCUGGGAGGAAGACAAGUCUUCUGAGAGUCUAAGCUUGGAGGUGAAACCCUCAAGAGCUCGCACAUCUACCACCUACAACUGGUAGCCCCCCCCCCCUCCCCCCGCGGAUGUAGUCAGAUUAGCUUGUCUUGUAUGAGCUCCCUCAUCUCCCCCUUGGCUGAGACUUUCAUUUUCCCCACCAAAUUUGAUAGCCAUGCAGCUCAAAGCAUGUAUCCUUUGUGUGUCCAACAGGCUUUUUGCAGUGGCUGCAAAAGAGUUAGCUUUUAUCUAUUUUAUCAAAGUACUUGGGAGCACCAUGAGCUUGCAUGGACAGGGCUGCACGUGCAUCUGCUUUUUCUUGACCAUGCUCCUUGGGUUGAGCAAGACGUGUCUCCUCAACCACACUGGAAAUGAUAUCGUCAAGGCUUAGCCAUUUAGUUUUGGAUAAUAUUAGCUGACGAAGGAGAUGAAACUCCUGAUUUAGGCCAUCAAAGAAAAGCUUGCCCACAAAUGGUUCAAAGCAGGUAUGGUGAGCAGCCAUGUCAUUCUUGUCAACAGGUGAAAAGGCUGAUAAUAAUGCAACUCCCUGUACAAUCUCUUCAUUUCACCUGCAUAUUCGGUCAUUGAAUUUGAGCCUUGCUUCAAGUUAGUCAACUCCUGCAUAAUGCGAGUAGCCUGCAUCUUAUUUGAUUUUCCUGAAAUGCUUCUCCAAAGCUUUCGAUACUUCAAAUGCAGUGUUCAUGGUCUCAACUUGUUCUCGAAUCGGUGGUUCCCUGCUUGCUAAUAAUCAGACCAACACUUGUCAUUGAUCUGUUUUGUGCUAGUGCCACUUUUCAGUUUCUGUUCAUCAGCACUAACCAAUGAGCAAUUAUUCAUAAACAUGAGAACUCAGAAUUAACUGGGCAUGUCAUGCCCAGCUGAUGUAAUUGCCCGGUAGGUGCAUACUUGACUGCUUUAGGUACCACUUUGAGUUGUUGCUGCUGCUCAAAUACUUUUGCUUAAAAUUUCAUACAACUUAUUCACACUAGAAUCCCCUGAUUCCCCUUCCUUGGAUCUGCCGUGACUACCACGACAAAUAAAAGGAACCAGUCACACAGGACUUGAUUUUGUAGCACUCCACUAACAACAAUACACUAGCGCAAACGCUGAUGGCAAGUAGAUGUAGUACUAGUACGAGUUGUUCUCGAAUGCACAGAGGCAGCACAGGCAGAGUAUUUUAAUCCGGCCACCAAGCAAAGAUGAGCUUUACAACAGCACUAAUCACAAUUGUCCAAAGGCAACCGCACUUACUAUUACCUUCUCACAGAGAUGGCCAAAUGCAGCGAUGAAGAAAGUAAAAUGUACUUGUAUGCACGCCUGGCCAAAUCGCAUGGGAUAAGCACCGGCAGAAGUACUAAAUGCACGUACCACUACCAAUCAGCUGGCCUUAGCAAUCAAUUGGACACCCAACAAGCCUGCAUACUGCUUAGACAUGGACAAGGCAGCAGCACCAAGUAUUUCCCGGCGGUAGCACACACAUCCAGUUUUCAUCACCGGCUGUCUGCGCAGCCGCACCGAACAGUGGUCAGCAAUGUGAUAGGCAGCAGUAUGCCAGUCGCGCCGCUCCUUGCUUCAGCUUUGAGACGAUGCAGUGGCAACUCGCGAUGACAAAGAGGAGUGCAUAGCAACCAACACCCACAGCGACACAACACCGCAAUCGGCCUCCACGAAGGUCCAAAUCACAGCGAAAUCACAUGGCAUUAACCUGUCCUGAUUCCAUGUUGGAAAUCAUCCAUGAUUUGAGGAGAUUAGUGUUAGGGAUUGGAGGGAGCCAUGGAGAGAACUAGGGGAAUUUCUGGACACGAUCCCCACUCCCUGUAUUCAAUGUGUAUAUUUUACUCUCUUAAGGAAUUACACAUUUAUAGUACUCAUACAUCAACAGUAUGAAGUAGAUAACCUGCUUGUGUUUAUAGUUAUAUGAAUUUGAGGAUGAAUGUCUUUAAUUCUUUCACCCCACAAAGGUUUAGAUUUGCAAUCUUGUUGUGUGAUGCAGUUAAGGUUCAACUUAGACAUCACCGCAAUCUGAAGUGUAGGAGUGCCCCUGAAGUUACCAUGGCCGAUGUGAGUGGACCUACUGCUAAUUUGACAUUUUAUUGGAAGAGAACAUUUUAUAUACAUCUAUUUAGAUUUUUAGUUGCACUAACCAAUGAUAUUUUCAUUUUUAGAUUGCUCCUGGUUCCAUCAACUUCCACAGGAACAUCGAAAAUUGUGUGGUUCGGAUAGUAUAUCGUGUGGAUGGAGAUGUUGUGAAAUCUACACUGGGUGUUGUGGUUUCAGUUGGGAGAGGCUACUGUGACAUUGUAGCAAGGAAUUCUAUAUUGGAAGUGAAGAAACCGAAUCGAGUUCGGGUUUAUUUUCCUAAUAAUGACAGAGUUCGUAUUACAUCAUCUGAGGACCUUGGCAAUAACAUUGGCAUGUUCCAUAUCUUGGGUAAUGAUCUACAAGUAGCUCCAAUGGUGCUUAGUUCUCAGGACCCUCUUCCAAAUGAGACUAUAUAUCUCUUCACAUACAAAUCAUUUGGAAGACAGUGUGCAAUAUUACCCCCAGGAAAUGUGACUAGGUGAGUUUCUCAAACCUACCUUUAGUGUUUUGUACUUCCUUUGUAAAGAAAUAUAAGUGUUUAGAUCACUACUUAGUGAUCUAAACGCUCUUAUAAUUCUUUACGGAGGGAGUAGCAUAUAAUUUUAUUCUUAUCUACUUUUUUUGUUGUUGUUAAAAACAGCAUUGCUGGAUGUCAGCUUAAACAUGAUUCUACAACUCCUGCCGAGGUUGAUGAAGAAGAUAGUGAUGGGGAAAUUCUAGUUAAUGCUAGAGGCGAACUUGUUGGUAUUGUUGAUGAAAAACACCGUCAACAUGCCACUACUUCAAGAGUAAUAAGAAAUGCACUCAAUAAGUUGGGAGGUUAAAGCUGAAUAGGCCAAAGAUCUAUUGGAAUUCCUUUUGAGUGGAUAUUUGUAAUGUGAAGUAACAUUUUGGUUUCAUGAAUUUCGCCACAAUGGUUAUUAAUGGUAUCAAGCUGAAUGCUUUGUGUGCCUGUCGUUUGGUAGUACCUGGAAAUAGACGGGCGAUGAAAUAUCUUGGAGAAAUAAUUCAUCAAAUGUGUCCUAACGCACAUAUUAUGCUCUCCAAAUAUACCAGCAAUCGCAUUAUAAAAUAACAUAUGGUUCCUAAUAUUCCCUGCAUGCUAACUCUUACAUGAUUCCGUGUAGUGUUAUAUUCCCUAUAGUGAUCUACUCCCUCCGUCCCAAAAUAAGUGUCUUAAAGCUUUAGUAUAAUUUUAUACUAGAGUUAGUACAAAGUUUAGACAUUUAUUUUGAGAGAGUGUCUCAAGCUUAGUACAAUUUUAUAUUAGAGCUAGUACAAAGUUUAGACAUUUAUUUUGAGAUGAAGGGAGUAAAACAGUGAUCUACUUACUCCGUCUCAAAAUUAGUGUGUCAAAGCUUAGUAUAACUUUGUACUAGAGUUAGUAAAGUUGAGGCACUUACUUUGGGAUGAAGGGAGUAAAACGUACUCAGCAUUAUAACUGUUUAUAGAGAGAGUAUGAUAUAACACCUAUAAAAAUACUUCCACUCAUCUAGCAAUCCUACAUGUGUAUAUAAACUCUUCCAUUGCUCAUACGGUUGUUCACUCGAAAGUCACAACCGAGGAAGGUGAAAUCAAGGAGCUUGACCUCAAGAUUGUCCUAUCCAAUUACGAAAUCGUUGUUGCUGGUAGUGGCUUCGAAGAUAUGAUUUUCUUCCCCGGAUAAAAAUUACGAAAUCAAGGAGCUCAUACGGUUGUUCACUCGAAAGUCACAACCGAAACAGUGAUUUUCUUCCCUGGAUAAAAAUUACCGUGAUGUUUGGACCUAAUUUAUCAGGUAAGCGGUUCGUAUAUUACCAUAUUAUUUUACGCAUAAGUAACUGAAGAUAUGAUUUUAAGAAAGAAAAAUCCCAGGUCAAAGUUAUCACAUUGUCUGUGCCUAAGUUAUCUGGUCUAUGGUGCGCAUAUUUUCAUGCUAUUUAUAUUGAAGUCAUCAAGUUGUGUAUUUAACCACUAUUUUCUGCCGGGUCAAAAAUAACGUGAGUAUUAUGUACCACUGAAGAUGCCGGAGUAUAUUUAAGCAACUUUUUUCCGGGUCAAAGUUAACAUAAUAUUUGUUCAUCAAGCUAUGAGAUGUAUAUCUCGCCAAAACAAGUCGUUUUCGUGGGCCGGACCACUAGCACGCUAUAAGGAUGUUUGUACAAAAGUUACCACGAUGUUUGUAUAUAAGUGAUCAAGUUUGUUAUGCGUGAGUUACCAUGCUAUUUACACAUAAAUUAUUGUCAAACAACACUCCCCCACUGGACCAAAAUUAUCAUGUAUACGGUACUUAUGUUAUCAUGCUAUUUUCACACAAGUUACCGGGGUGUGUUUCAAAAAUGGGUUUUCACCUGAUCGAGGUUUCUACAAUAUUUGUACAGAAGUUAUCAAGGUUGUGGUGAAUAAAUUAUCAUGUUAAGACCAUGAACUCAGCUCACAUCUAUGUACAAAGAGUACAAGAGUCUACUAUGUCAAACCGUGAGGUCAACUCAUAUCUCUAAUAUAUUUUUGAUAAAAAUGUAUGUUUUGUACAUUUUUUGGUAAAAAGUUUGUAAGAAAAAACGAAAACGACAGCAGAAUAACAAUCGAUCAGAUCUGUGAGUAGAAGAGUCUGCCUCAACUUGAAGGUAUGAAAAAUAUCUAACAUGAAUCAAAUCACAACAUAGAGUUUUUUUAGGUGGUUGCUGGUAGAUUCCUAAUACUGCUUGGUCUGUCAAAUCCGAGGUUCGACUCCCCCAACACUCCUUUUUUAGCGAAAUUAAAAAGAAGACAACCCAAAAACGCGUCUUGGAGUUGGGCAGGGAAUGAGCGGGAAUUACGGAUUGAGCGGGGACGAGCGAGACGUGCGGGAAUUGUGGAUCGGGAGCGGGCGGGAGCGGGGGCGAUCGUAAAGAAAUCAAAAGAAAAAAAACAGGCGGGAGCGAUCGUACGUGCCUGUCGCUAACUGCCAGUCGACAUGAAAAUAGCAUUCUCGUUAAGAAAAAGAGAAUUGCCUAGUUAAUUAAUGGAAAAUCGGGCGAAAACCGAUACAUAUGUGCCACAUGUAGACUACUCGCUAAUGAAGAAACUUCAUGAUCCCACGGUCAACCCGACAAACAUAUCUAACACGAAACAACCACGAACCCCCACACUUUUAUGUCGCAAAGAAACCAUCAACAAAAACAAGGUUGAAUACAUCGAACCUCACCAAAUCCACAGAGACGAGUCAGUCGGAGAUGGAGGAUGAAGAGACUGAGUAUUCUCCAUCAAGGAGCCGCGAACGCCUUACCCAUGGCGCUACUCUUCUUGCCUAUGCUCUUGAGAGCCUUCUUCACCUUCUUUAUUUUUCCCGUAGAAACCUCCUCCAUUAGGAUGCAAGCAAUCGCCUUGCGAGACCCAGAACAAGCUUCCUCCGAGGAGGCGAGUAAGCCGCCAACUUUUUCAUAAAGACCGCCUCAUCAAUACGUGCUAACAUAGCAUCACGGUCAAAGAUGGGCGACCGAAUGCGCUUCAACACCUCAGAAUUAGGUGCCAAAGCACCUACCUCAUCAACCUCGGCACCCACAGACGCCACCUGGCCAACAACCUCAAGUGAGAGAGCAAUAGCAGCAUCCAAACCUUCGUGGUCCACAAAGGUGAGCGGCUGACUAGACUCCAACGACGGUGGUGAGGUCACAGUCGACGUCACCAAGUCCCCUCCAAGCAAACCCAUCUCCUUAGGAAGCACCAUCGAAAUAAGCGAAGUGGGCUCCUCACAAAGCUUCUGCAGCUCAGGCAUAAUCUGUAGCACCGGAGCCACAACCUCGACAACGACUUCACUCCCAGAAGUAACUAGCAUGACAGGCAGCGGCAACUGAUAGGAUGUAGCACGAGGGGAGAGAUCUCCAUACAUGUCUGCAUCCCCAUCAGCAGAACCAACUUGGAUCUUGGGAAGCAGGGACACAUCCGGCACAUCCCCAAUCUGAAGCUCAGGUAGCGAAAACACAUUUGGCACCACCUCUAGUUUGGCAAGAGUAGCCUCCACCCUCCCCAAAACACCCAUGACUCGCGCAAGGCAGUCAUGAAGCUUAGUGUGAAGCAGCUCGGUCUCCUCCGCCAACCCGACCUGCUCAGCCAAGACAGACUGGAACUGCACAUCUAUCAUGGAGACAUCACAUGUGAAUGUAGGCGAUGGAGCAGGACAUUGGAGCGGUGAAGCUUGGUGGGCAGGCUUCUUAGCAUGGAAGAAGCGGGCAAUGUGACCGGAUCGAAGGAAAUUCAUGCAUUGGAUCAGAUCCCUACAUGAGUGUGCAUAGUGACCUCAACAGAGGCAUCAGAAACACAUGUCUCUUAGCCACGCCGGAAGGGGACACCGCAUAUUGAUAAUAGGGUGACAGAAAGCAACAGGAACCGAGCGAUGCCCCCUCGAGGGUUGCAAAUGUGGGAACAUCGAAGCAAGCAUUCAACAACAUUGCUGAGGCAGACCCCCCACCUGUCCACACCGGAGAUGAUGAGACUAUCACAACAGGCGACAAGAUGUUAGAGGACAUGAGAGUGGAACAACUGAAUUUUGCAAUGAAACUGAUGAAAUGUACCACGUUCUGAAAUAUUGAGAUUGUAAAAACUUGAUUCAAAGCCUCUUUUUUCAUAAGACUGCUUCUUUGUUUUUAAAAACUUGAUUUAAAGUCAGGUUGUUUGCGAGUGAUUUAAACCGAUUUAAUAAAAGUAAUUUAAAGUCAUAAACAUCAACUCCCUAAUUAGUGAUUACCUAGGGAACACUACCAUAACGCAUGGCAUAUUUGUACCUACCAAUAAAGGGAAUUGAUAUUCUUGGUCUAUUGUGCUGUUUUGCGAAAUUCCCCCUAACAUUUUUAUUAUCAACCCACAUUCUAUCAUGUGCCUUAUUUUUCACACACAUGCUAGCUUUGUGGGAAGAUAUCAGGUGAUACCAAGGCUUAGGUGAUACCAUGAUACGGGCUCCCGAGAGCCAUUGGAUCUCAUAUUUGAUGGCUAUCAGAAGCUCUUGAACAUUUAAAAGAAACGUCUGAGAGUCACAAAAUUGCGCACAGGUACAAUAGUUCUUUAGAUGCCAUCAAAUCUGAGAUCCAACGGCCGAGAAAUCCGUAUCACGGUAUUAGCUAAGUUUCGCUAUAACCUGAAAUUUUCCCUAGCUUCGCACGAACGGACGCCGCUAGCCUAUGCCCAUUUUUUCGCUCUUGCCCGUUCUGGGGGGUCACGUAGCUGUCCUACUUUUAUGGGAUGUGAGCCAGGCAAGUGGGCCUUUGACAAGAAUUCAUUUUAUGGGCCGAGACACGCCAGUGGGCUUCCUAAAAUCAGAAAAAAAUAGUUGUCAAUGAGGGGAAUCUAACAAGAUGAUAUCAUGUACCAAGAUCAAGUUGUAGUUACCAAUUGGGCUAGCAUAUAUUUGUGAACAAGGAGGAGGCCGUGCUACACAGGGAGGGCGCUCAAAUGAAUGAGGCAGAGCUGGGAGGGCCGGCGGGAGUUCUCCACCACCCCAUCAUAAAUCACUACCCCGCAAAAGAUAUUCACAAGAUGCCGGCUUUGAUGCUGAACCGGAGGACAUGGAUGAUGUAACAAGCCCGCUAAGGCCUUGUUCGGUUGCGUGUGAAUCCAAGUGGAUUGAAGGGGUUUGGGGGGAUUUAAACCUAUUAUAAGUCAAAAUACGAACCAAUCCUUGCCAAUCCCCUCUAAUCCUCUUGCAGAGAUGAUUAACCGAACAAGACGUGAAGGGGAAGGAAUCUGUAUGCUCUAAGAUGAGUAAGGAGUCAGCGACACGUAGAAGCCUGAACUUUUGCAUUGUAUGCAAGUACUGUCAAGCUAGGGGUGGCUACAAAUACAGAGAAGGAGAUGGUGGUUAGUGGCAACCUCACGUUGAUUCCUCCCGCAAAGGGAAAGCAGCUCACUCCAUAACACCUCCUGCAGCCCAGCCAAGUGACAUGUCGCCGCUGCCGCCGUCGUAUUUAUCCCCAUGGGAGAUAAAGAAGGCAAAUAAAGCAAAAUCCACAAAAAAAUUAGCACUAUUGGCGGGCUCCGAGCGGGCACCGUCAGACCCAAUGAAAACCCUAUGCUGGAACUGUCAUGGGAUUGGCGACCCCGUGGUAGUUUGGGAACUCAACAAUCUCGUGGAGCUAUGCUCACCCUCAAUUCUCUGCCUAGUUGAAACCCAACUCUCGAAGAGUUGGGUAGAAGGUCUUUGGUUUACUCUUGGUUUUGAUUUCAGUUUUGGUGUUGGUAGUAGCGGCUGCAAUGGCGGUCUUUGUGUUUUUUUGGAAGAACUCGAUAGAUGUAUUAAUAAAGAAUUUUUCUUAGUAUCAUGUUGAUGCCUAGGUGAAGGAACCAGGGAAGGAGCAAUGUCAACUGUCAUGUUGUUAUGGUGAAGCAAAUCACAGUCUCCGGUAUAAAACUUGGGAUACGCCAAAGUCAUUAAGAGGAGAAAGCACCUUACCAUGGGUUUGUAUCGGCGACUUCAACAAGAUCCUCUGGAUGGAGGAACAAAUUGACCUAAUGAAUGGGCUGGUGCACAAAUGGAGGCUUUCCGAGAAGCUAUAGAUGUAUGUGCCCUUGCUGAUCUGAGGUACAUGGGGCUAGAUUGGACGUGGGAGAAAAAAGUUGCUGGUGGACACCAAUGCCGAGUUCAUCUGGAUAGAGCCUUGGUCACAGCGUGCUGGUCUUUCCUGUUCCCUUUCGCAACCUUGGGACACCUAACAACAGUAAAAUCUAACCACUGUCCCAUCAUGUUGGAACGGAAAGAGUGGAGACAUGUGUUAGGGCAACACUACGACCUUUCAGGUAUGAAUGGAUGUGGGAAUGCGACUCUCGCUUUGGCGUUGUUGUUGAUGAAGCUUGGAAAUCAGUUGGGCGUUCGCACUCGUUGGCGGGGCUCUCGGCGAAACUCUCAACUAUAGAUGCAACCCUACAGAGUUGGGGCCGAAACACCUUUGGCUCAAUCGGGCUGAGCUACGGCAACUUUGAGGAAGGCUAGGGGAGCUUCAUGAUGAACUGGGAAGAGUAGCACCAUCUCAGGAGGAGAAGGAUGUGGAGACACGCAUCAUCAAGCUGUGCAAUUAGGAAGAGGUUAUGUGGCGCCAAAGGGCCUAUAUUCAGUGGCUUGCCGAGGGGGAAAUCAACACAAAGUUUUUUCAUUAAAAGGCGAGCGCCCGCAAGGCCAAAAUCGCAUUGUUGAACUACAAAUAACCGAUGGCUCAGUGAACAAUGACCCAGAGGAAAUGGUAGCCAUGGCCAUGACCUUUCACGAAAAUCUAUAUACUUCUAAAAGUACAAUUGGUAUAGAGGAGGUGCUAUUGCAUAUACCAGUGAAAUUUGAUGGCCUCCAUGAACAACAAGCUGAACGCACCCUAUACCAAGGAGGGGGUGAAGAAUGCACUCUUCCAAAUGUUCCCAACGAAGGCUCCCGACCCCGAUGGAUUUCCUGCUCACCUUUUUUAGAGACAUUGGGAUUUGAGUGGUGAUGAGGUAAUUGAUAUGGUGCUACGAGUUCUCAGUGGAGAUGAUUGCCCGGAGAAGAUAAAAAGACGUUCACUGUUUUAAUUCCCAAAAUUUCCAGUCCAAAAAAUCUAGGAUAGUUUCGACCGAUAAGUCUCUGCAAUGUGAUCUUCAAGAUCGCAUCAAAGGUACUUGCUAAUUGGCUCAAACUCAUUCUCCCCGAUGUCUUUUCCGAGGAACAAUAUGCAUUCAUACCUGGAUGAAUUAUUACUGAUAAUUUCAUCUCAGCCUAUGAGUGUUUACAUUGCAUGAAAACUAGGAAAGUAAAUGGGAACAAGUUUUGUGCUCUUAAGCUUGAUAUGAUGAAGGCCUAUGAUAGGCUUGAGUGGUCUUAUUUGAAGGCAGUGAUGCUAAAACUUGGGAUUAGUAAACGGUUCACAGAGACCAUUAUGAGAUGUAUCACUUCCAUGUAUUUCUCAGCUAUGUCCAAUGGAGGAAAGUUAAAAGAGUCUAAGCCUUCUAGUGGGCUCCGGCAGGGAGAUCCUAUCUUCCCCUAUUUGUUUUUGGCUGCGGCUGAGGGCUUGUCUUGCUUGUUAAAAUCAGUAUUACUAGAAGAGGUCAUCCAUGGUAUCCAGGUGGCCCCCAAUGCUCCACAGGUUAAUCACCUUUUCUUUGCGGAUGAUAGCUUACUUUGUUUCAAUGCUACUUGAUGACCCACAAGUAUAGGGGAUCAAUCGUAGUCCUUUUGAUAAGUAAGAGUGUCGAACCCAACGAGGAGCAGAAGGAAAUGACAAGCAGUUUUCGGUAAGGUAUUGUCUGUAAGCACUAAAAUUAUUGGUAACAGAUUGUUUGAUAACAAGGUAAUUUGUAAUGAGCAACAUGUAGCAGCUGUAACAAAAUUGCAGCAAGGUAGCCCAAUCCUUUUUAUAGCAAAGGACAUGCUAGAAUGGUUUCUUAUAGUAAGCAAAGCAUUCUCAAGGACACAUGGGAAUUUCAUCUAGUCACUUUCAUCAUGUUUAUUUGAUUCACGUUCUCUACUUUGAUAAUUUGAUAUGUGGGUGGGCCGGUGCUUGGGUGCUGUUCUUACUUGAACAAGCCUCCCACUUAUGAUUACCCCCUAUCGCAAGCAUCCACAACUACAAAAGAAGAAUUAAGAUAAAUCUAACCAUAUCAUGAAACAUAUGGAUCACAAUCAGCCCUUAUGGAAGCGCAUAAACUAGGGUUUAAGCACUACAAAAAAAUACACUUCCGUGUUGAUAUGUGUUUGUCACAGUAGGUCAUGUUUUCUGUCAUGCAUGUACAUCCAUGACAAUUUUAUGACAGAAUCAAGAUAGUCAUACAUGUGUUGUCGUAGAAGUGUUCCAUGACAUUACCAAAAUUAUCAUCACGGAAGUGUCCACUUCCAUGACGAUAAAUCGCGCGUCAUAAAAGUGCUUUCAUCAAGGGUGACUGACACGUGGCAUCGAUUGUAACGGGUCGCCGUUAAGCUAACGGGUCCGGUUUUGGAUCCGAUAACCCGCUAACAGGCACGACCAAUGAUGAUUUUCCACGUGUAAAAUUCUCAUUGGCUGACGGAACCACAUGUCAGCUCCGCGUUGGCACAGGUGUCACUCAUCCAAUGGGCGAGAUGCGCCUAUGAUACGUUGACACGUGGACUAGCCCAAAAGUGGCCCAUAAAGAUUAAAUGGGCCGGCCCAACUAAAGGCCCACAAGAUUUAGCGGACCAUAAUGGGCCGGCCUAGCUAAAGGCCCACAAGAUUUUGCAGACCAUAAUGGGCCGGCCCAGCUAAAGGCCCAACAUUCUCAGUUAAGGCCCUUACGGCUAGUGUCAAAUCGGCCCGUCAAUGGCCUGUCCUAAACUUGUCAUCAUCGCGGCCCAUGGUCACUUCUGGCUCGUUAACAAUCAGCUAAGUAUUUGGGACAAAUUACGGCCCGGUGUGUUUCCGGCCUGUUAAAGGUCCUGCUUCAUUUGGGCCCAUUUAUAGGCCAUUGAAACUUUCGGCCCAUAAACGACCGUGAAGGAUAUGGGUCAUAUUCGGCCAUGUCUGACAUUCGGCCUGUUAGAGGCCCACUAUAGAUUUGGGCCACUUUAAGCCUAUUGUGACUUUCGGCCUGUUAAUGUCAGACAAAAUCCAUGGGCCAUAUGUGGCCCAACGCCACAUCGGGCCUACUAACGGUCCAUAUAAAAAUGACACUAAUCAAGCCCGACCAAACUUCCGGCCUGUUAAAGGCCCGUGUAGUAGGUCGACGAAUUUACGGCCUGUCUGAAUUUCGUCCUGUGGAUGAUCCGCAUUGCAAAUGGGCCACCAUUUCGGCCUGGAGACCAGUGGGUUGUUUGGCACAAUCACGGCCCAAUCUUACUUUCGGCCUAUUAAAGGCCCAUGUUUUUAUGGGCUCGAGAUAUUUACACCUAUAAAUGGCCUAUUAUUAUCGAGGGCCCAAAUUACGUUUAGGCCUGUUAAAGGCCCACUAUGGGCACAUGCCUACCAGAAAAAUAUGAAAGCUUAUGCUGAUUUAGGCCCAGAUAUUUUUAGUGGGAUACAUGCAAAUUUUGGCCCAGAAUCGUUUUUAGCCCAUUGGAAUGGGCCCGAUGAAUGUUGGCAUGUUCGGCUCCUAUGAAGCUUUCAGCCGAAUACAUUACUAAGAUAAACCUACACUAUAUAGAAAUAGCGUCGUAAUUACUCCAGCCUUUGGUGGAAACAUAAAUGCUGUAUCACAACAAAAUAAAUUCCAACCAUACAACAAAAGGCCUGUUGGCAUAAAGUUUACAGUCCUUGCAGAUAAAAGCACCAUUAGAUGUAUAGAAGCACAUAUCAUUUGACCUGAGUGCUAAUAUUUCAGACUGUAGAAUCUAAUGGAGCAACAUGAUCUUCCCCUUUUUUCCGCCAUUGCUCUUGAACAAUGAAGCAAAUGUCUGAUAGUACGGUUUCAAAACCAUUCAUAUCUUCACAACAUUUGUCAACCACUAUUCUUGUUUCCGACACAACGUCCAUUAGGGGUCCAUUAGGGAUUGGACUUGUGUCUGGAGCACAGAUAUAUCACUCUGUCUAGCCGGAAGAUUUUGUUUAGUAGGCGAUUUGGACGAGGUUACCUUGACAACCAAACCAGAAUUACGCAGGAAGGUGCUUUUGCACUGUUAGUGGAGAGAUAUCAACGCACUGCAGCAAGAGGUGACAUUGUGCCUGUGGUAGCCUCGUCACCUUCAGGUGGUUGUGGCUGUUCAAUCAUUUGUUCCAUAGCUUGCUAAAAGUUUGAACUUGUAGAUUAGUGUACCAGAUAAGUUACUAAUGAGACGAAAACAAACAAACUAGAUUUCACGUUUAUACAUAACUUAUUUUGGUGAACUACUGUAAUACAUUAGCAUGUAUUGUAGUGCCAACUACAUAAUAAAAUCACUUUCUGAACAUAUGUCCAUGUAGCAUGCCUACUGUAUUGUCUAUUUCCUCACAUUCAUUGACAUCUAAGGAUAAAGAGACAUGGUUUAAAGUAGGAUGAACAUAGUAUGACAUCAUUCAUAUCAUGGGCAAACAUAUAUAAAACAAGCAGGCUAUUGUAUCAUUGUGUGCGCACGUGAACAUCACAACUAGAUUACAGAUCAAGACCAAAAGAAUAUCCUUCAUCUCUUUUAAACCAUGUAAGGUGAAAUGAUACGUUAAGACAACUAUGAAUAAAAGUGAACAGAGUAACUGACAUUGGCUGCAAACCAAGCAGUUAAAUGAACACAUCACAGUACCAAUUAGUUCAAAGGCAGGAGGAGUAAGGACUUACAACAGUGGCCUGAACUGGUGUGCUCAUGCCCUUCAUCUUGCUAGUGUGGCUAUCCUUGAAGAUUUGUACUGCAUUUGGUUUAGGUUCUUUUUGGUCCGCAUGGGUUUUCCUCUGUAUUUGAACAAGUCAAUAUAGAUACAAUAAUAUGGCACAAAAAAAGAAGGAACUAGCAGCUAUUUACAAGAGCCUCGCAGUGUGCAAUAUAGCUACGAGAUCCUGUUGUCUGUUGGAAUUUCACUGUUGAACUGUUGGUCUUGUUCUUCAAAUAGUUAGCCUAGAAGAAGAUACACUUGUAAGGCACAUACAUAAAUACAAGUUCAAUAUGUGGUCUAGUCAAAUACAUAUACCCUACCUGAUACUUUGGAUCAGACCAGUGUUUAACAAGGGCUGCCCAGUCUUUGUCUGUAAUAUAUUCCACUGGAGAUGUUUGGGCGAUUUCAUUGUUAGCCCUGCCUUCAAAGUGAGAUUUUCUAAGGUGGUACCGAUACUGUCAAAACUAGCGGAUCUCAGGUAGGGGGUCCCGAACUGUGCAUCUAAGGUUGAUGGUAACAGGAGACGGGGGACACAAUGUUUACCCAGGUUCGGGCCCUCUCUAUGGAGGUAAUACCCUAGUUCCUGCUUGAUUGAUCUUGAUGAAUAUGAGUAUUACAAGAGUUGAUCUACCUCGAGAUCGUAAUGGCCAAAACCCUAAAAGUCUAGCCUGUAUGACUAUGAUUAUUCUUGCCUCUACGGACUAAGCCCUCCGGUUUAUAUAGACACCGGAGGGGACUAGGGUUGUACAAAGUUGGUUACAGAGAAAGGAAUCUUCAUAUCAGGGCGCCAAGCUUGCCUUCCACGCCAAGGAGAGUCCCAUCCGGACACGGGAGAGAGUCUUCGGCCUUGUAUCUUCACAGCCCAUCAGUCCGGCCUACGUAUCAUAGUCCGAACGCCCGAGGACCCCUUAAUCCAGGGCUCCCUCAGUAGCCCCUGAACCAGGCUUCAAUGACGAGGUGUCCGGCGCACAGAUUGUCUUCAACAUUGCAAGGCGUGUUCCUUCUUCAAAUACUCCAAUCGCAGUCCAAUCCGCUGACAAUUUUUUAGAGAGUAUAAUAUUUCACGAGUCCAAUCCGCUGACAAUUUUUUUGUAACGUGAUAUCACAUCCCUGCCCGGUUAUUAUUUCGAACCGUUUUUUGGCCUGCCGCUUCACAUUUCAAGAUGCGGUUUCUAUUGGCACGUCUUGUUGCAGCAGAGAUCGUGUCCCCUUAUUACGGGAUUCUCAUCAAUACGGGCGUGGGUAAUGCAACCGUGCUGUCUGCAUAGCCCUUGGGAACAGGCGAGUUUUAAGGUGAGUGGGGAGGCGCUUGAUAUUCACUGCCUUUACAAGGAGAUAAGGAUUCCUUUCUUUCACCCACACCUUCUCUCUUUCUCUGCCCUCCCACUCUCGAGCUCCAGCACCCAAGUCCUCGUCUUUUCCGCCUCAAGAAAGCACUCGAUCAUGUCCGGAUCUGGAGCGCAAGGCAAGUGGAUGGCCUCCUCCGUCAAGGAGAAGGACAUCACUAAGCUUCGGGAGGCCGGAUAUCUGACCAAGGAAAUCGCCCACCGGCUUCCGGCCAAGGGGCAGAUCGUCCCCACCCCGGAGCCCAAUGAGAGGGUGGUGUUCAUUCCCUACUUCGUCCACGGGUUAGAGUUGCCUCUCCACCCUUUCGUCUACGGACUCAUGUUCUACUACGGGCUAGAUUUCCAUGAUCUGGCCCCAAAUUCUUUCCUCAACAUCUCGACAUUUAUGUCAUGUGUGAGGCCUUCCUCUGCAUUCCACCCCACUUCGGACUGUGGCUUAAGAUCUUCAACGUGAAGCCGAAGGUGGUGGAUGGCCAACACGCAGAGUGCGGAGGUGCCAUGGUGAGCAAGAUGCCCAAUGUAAGAUGGCCCAAAGGUACCUUUCUGGAGACCGUCAAAGGGUGGCAGCAACUAUGGUUCUAUGUCACAGAGCCCCGCGACGCCACCUGGGCCGCGGCUCCCGAAUUCAAGUCCGGAGCCCCAAUCCGGCUCACCUCCUAGCUAGAGAAGGGCCUGAAUUGGUCUUCGUCCGACGAGCUGACAGUGUUGCAAACGCGCAUCCAGAGCAUGGUGGACAAGAACAUCAAGCUCGUCAAUGUGAUCUAGGUGAUGCUAGUUCGCCGGAUCCUUCCAUGCCAGAGCCAUACUUGCCAUUUAUGGGAAUUCAAUCCGGCCGAGCACCAGACCUUGCAACGGUUCUUCGGAACUAUGCACGGAGAUAUCUGGAAGGUGCUCUUUAAGGGCAACGGGACGCGGCCGGAGACGACCGAGGACCGUGGGCACGCCCUGGUCCAUCCUGCCAGUGCGGUAAGUCUUUCGCAUUUCAAGGUGCAUACUUUACUUGAUUAGUCAGGGAAGAUAUCUAAACCUCACUAUUUAUUUUUCCAGGGCUGGACAAAGAAGGCAGAGUGAAUGCGGUGUCCGGCUCCGCUGCCCGAGGAACCAGUAAUUCCACUUUUGACGAAGAUGCUGGUUCCAGCGCCCUACCAGGCGCUGGAGAAGAAGGCCAAGGGGGUCAGAAGUGGUCCCUGCCGCAAGGGUGCUUCGGACGUGACGUCCGAAGAUGCCGAGAGUCACUCCUCUGCCGCCGAGGAUGAGGAGGAGGAAGAAGAAAGCAACUCUCCCUGUGAGGGGGGAAGGAAGAAGACAGCGGCCUCCACAGAUCUGGAGGCAGAGGCAUCCAAGAGGGGGAAGGGCUCCCUCGUGGAUAGCUCCACGUGGGACAUCGACAGCAGCCCAAAGCGGUGCCCCCGAAACAAGCCCCUGGCCGAAUUGUGAGUACCUGACACAUUCAUGUAUUCAGCCUCUUCAGUUUGUAGUUUUAACGUGUUGAAUCAUGCACUUGCAGUCUGACCCGUUCUGACCUCGAGCGAUCCUCAUCUUCGGGGAAUUCGCUAGACCCGAAGGUGAUGGACAGCGGGUCCCUUCCGGCGGCCUCCUCUCCCCGGGCCAUGAAUGACACCAAGGUGUUGUCCCGAAGGAUCCCAGGCCAGGGGAGACACAGGAGGCCGCCAGGACGGCACCAGAGGGUGAAGCCUCGGCUGUCGAACACAUGAGGGAGCAAAUCCCCAUGGAGACUGGCGAUGGGGGCCAUAUUCAGUUCGCCCCCCAGCCGAAUACGGUCCCGGAGACCUAUGCGGCUCCGGAACCCGGCAAGCAGCCUCCUUCGAAAGAAGGAGGUGCGCCUAUCCGGCAGGUGACCUCAGUCCAACCAGAGGCGUCGGACACCCUAAUGGACGCACCGCGAAGUGCUUCCAUUGUUGAGGAACACCGUACCCUUAUGGGUACGGUGGUUGGGAGGAUUUAGUCCGCGAAGAGCGGACUGACCGAAGCCUGCACAAGCCUUCUAACAGGCUUAGGUAAGCAACGCAAUUAUGUAAAAGAAUGUCACAGUAUAAACAGUAGCCCCUGAGACACUGUUCGGUGUUCGAAAAGAAAAGCCGGACGGAGGAUCAAGUAAUUUUCGUAGAAAACUAACUAAAUAUGCAUUAUGUGAAUAAGCAGGUGUCGUUGCAGGCCGCAACCUCUCAUGCUGCUGAGGUCUCCGGACUAAAGUAGAGUCUGGAGCGGGCCGAGGAAGAGCUCGGCCGUGUAAAAAAGCAGCUGGAGGACAAGCAAGGUAUGUGAUGACCUUGUGUAUAUCCGGAAAAGGAUGAAUGACUUGUGCUGACCAUAGUGCCAUGAUAUUUGUAGGAGCGGCUACUGAGGUGGAAACCCUCAAGAAAGCACUAGCUGAGGCCAAAAAGAAAGCGGCAAAGGAGCAAGCCGCCCGUGAAAAACAUAAGGCCAAGGUUGGUGAGGUCCAGCAGGAGCUCCAGAACAUCGUCAAGAAAUGGGAGUCAUUGGAGCGCGACAUUGCGGAUCAAGAGACCGAACUCGCCAAGGCUCGCCAGAGCGCACAAGAUGCCCGGGUUGAAGCCUAGGGCGCCCUCCAGGAAAUCCAGGAGGUCAAGAAAAUCACGGCGGGUUAGGCUUUUAUUAUGCAAAGCAAGUAUGUGAAGAAGAGGUAUCUCUUACUAACCCAGAUUUGGAGUUCUCCAAUAGCGUUUGCGGAUCUGCUGUGCAGUGUUUAUGAUGCUGCGGAAUUCUUUCGAGCCGAAGAGGGGAGCUCAACGGAGAAGCUGUUCUUAUUGCAAUACCUUGCGCCAGAACAUCCAGUGCCCUUUAGCGAUCAACUAAAAUAGCUGGUCGAACUGCAUCGGGUGGCCGAACUGGCCAUGAAGGAUUUAAUAAUCCGGCUGUGGCCUGCCGAAGCUAUACCCAGCAGCUACUUCAGGCUCGUGAAGCGGCUGGUUAGUGCCUGCCCCCGGCUUGAUGUUAUCAAGCGAUCGGUCUGCAUCGAGGGUGCGCGGAUGGCCUUCGCCCACGUCAAGGUGCAGUGGACGAAGAUGAAUGCCGUCAAGCUCGCGACCGAGGGACCGCCCAAGGGCAGGGAGCACCGCACGCCCGAGCAAUAUUUUAGCGAUGUCCUGGAGGGAUCCCUCGUUGUAGCGGAGCAAUGUGUGAAAGAUGUAAUCUUUGAAUGAAUACAUUUAUGUUAUCUUGCCUUGUAUUAUGAAACAAAGUCAAUUAUGUAAUAUAGUGCUUGUUAAAAUUUUCCCUCCUGUGCGGCUAGGGUUGGAAUUCAAGCCGAGUCGAGCCAGCUCGGCUCGACUCGCCAGAGCUCGUUUCGUUAACGAGCUAGCUCGACUCGACUCGUUACUAUAACAAGCUCAAACCCAAGAUUGGUUCAACUCGUAUAACUCGCGAGCUGGCUCGUUUAGCUUGUUAAGCUUGUUAAAUAUAUAAACAUAAAGCCCUCAAAUAUAAUAAAAAUGAUUAUGUAUAUAUAUUAAAUAUAUAUAUCACUGAACAAUUGUAAUUUCCUUGUAACGCAUCAGUCUUCUAGGAGGCUAGGCCUUCAACGGCUAGGCCUUGGGUUAUGCACUUGGGACCUAGGCUCUUUAGUGGCUGAUCUUUCUUUGUAUUGGUAUUGGCUGAUCUAUUGUAUCGAGUCUAACGAGUUACACGAGUACUCGUGAGAUUAGCUCAUUUAACUUGGUAUGUAAACGAUCUUAAACUAAAGCUCGGCUCGACUCGUUAUUCUUUGAGUUCGAGUCGAUUCGAGCCGACUCACGAGCUACUUGUUUAGCUCGCGAGCUUCGAGCUUUUCUUCCAGCCCUAUGUGCGGCCGUGUUUAUGAAAUCUGAGAGUUGGCCAGUCGUUGGCUUCAACCCCCACAUAGGUAGUAUGGGGGUGUUCGGGAUGGAAUCUAAACACUCUUGAUCCAAUUAUUUGGUCCUUGAAGGAGGUGUUUAGCACAACGAACCAGGCAAUCGGACUAUGUGGCUUUAUCACCCUCACUUAGCCAUAGGAGCUUGACAAUAAAAAUUUAGGCACAUCCCCUAGUAUCCGAACUAGGGUGCUGUAAACACCUGAUUGGGUAAGAACUGAUUCAUCGCAUAAUGCGAAAAAAAUCGCUAAAGAUUUGAAACCUCCGAAGAGCUGACUGGCUCACGCUACAUCAUGACAGUCAAUUUUUGGCUUUCUCUACUAAGGUAAUCAUCCGGAUAAACCAAGACGCAACCGCAGUAGUUCUCCCUGUACUACCCUGGCCGAUAUAGCGGAACAUAAGGUAGUAAGCACAGGAGUCGGGCAACCCAACUAUUGACCAAAGACAUGAUUCAGAGCCAAUGCAUAUAAUGCUAAAUUUGGGGUGCCGAACUACAUUGUAAAAAGUGUUCAGACUUUGUUGCCAUAUUAUGGGGCGCAAUGAAGCCCCUAGUGAAUUAAAGCGUACCAAAGUGUACAGGUGCGAUUUGAUAAGAUUAUCAAAAAAAGGUAGCAAGCUAGUGCCGCGGAAGUUGGGACGCAAACUAUUUCCAUUAUAGUUUGAUUAAUACGUCAAAGCAUAUUUGUACAAGUAGUGCAAUAAGCAACAUGGCUAUUUAAUAUGCCACAACCAAGGGAGAGCUGCGUGCGGGUCCUGAAAACAGGUAGAGUGAUCAUUAAAGAGACCACCUAGAAAUUCCUUUAUACGUCAGUGCUUCUUGCCGUCUUGGUGUAUCUAUCCUUUCGAAAGGACCGGUGAUCAGGCCGUCAGAAAAAGCCUGUGGAAAAGAAACCUGAAAAGGAUAAAAAAGAAAAAGUGAAAGUAUGCGUGUCCAGGGGGGUCGAGCUGUAUUAUGGAUCACAAUCUGGUUAAGCCUCCGUCUAUGCCCAUGGUAUUUUGAGUGCGUAGUUAUGUACGCGCGGUACAAACGCCACCACUUGGUCGGGACUGGGAUGGAGGCUGAAUUGCUAGUCGAGCUCUUGACGAGUCGGGCUGUCCUGCUGCAGAGUAGUCUGGACUCGUUUGACAGUGUCCGGGACCUCGGCCGCCGAAUUAAGGUUCUGCUUGAGAAGGCCGCUCUGUACUUCUGCUGCUAAAGGAUCGGUGUGCUCCUCGGUACGGAGGGAGCAUUCCAUGUUUCCAUUGACUGUUAUGACACCGCGUGGUCCGGGCAUCUUGAGCUUGAGAUAAGCAUAGUGUGGCACUGCGUAGUCCAACACCUCGUCAUCAAAUUGAGGUAACAAUUUGUGCUUCCGGUAAACUUUUAGUUGGGUGAUCGAGGCCGUGUUCCUCGGCUGCCAUGACAUUAGUCCAUCUGUCGUUGAGCAGGUCUUGAUCAGCUUGAAGCUGUUGCUGCUUCUUUUUCAGGCUCCUCGCAGUGGCUAUUAGCCGGCGCUUAAAGCGCUCCUGCUCGAGAGGUUCCUCAGGCACGAUGAAAUCCUCGUUGCCGAGGCUCACCUCAUCCUUGGAGAGUGGAAGAUAAUUACUGUCCCCCGAGUCUUUGUUUACGGCCAGUUCAUCAGGGCUGACUCGCCCGUCCUCCCGUUCGUCCUGUUCGGAGGUUGGCUCAGCGGGGUAUUCCUUAUUUUCGGCAUCGUCCGGAGUAUUGUUUUCUCUUGUGCCGGUAUCGCUGUCUUUUCCACGACAUGACUUAGAGCAGCGCUGCUGACGUCGGUGUUUUGGCUGUAUCUCAGGAGGUUUAUCCUCGACUAGAUCCUUCUCGUUAUUGCCAUUGUUCUCUUUAGGUGUAUCCACCAUGUACACGUCAUACGAAGAAGUGGCCGUCCAGCGACCGGUGAACGGCGGAUUUUGGCCCUGCUCCUCUUCGGCAUCGUCGUCCAUACCAUCGAUAUCUUCAUAGCCGUAGUCGAGCGUGUCAGUUAAGUCUUCGACAAUGACUAUGAAGUGGGUGGUGGGUGGGAAGCGAAAUUCUCCGUCAUCAGCCUCCAGUUCGAACCGGAUAUAUUCGGCUGUGAGUCCUCCGCUAAGGAGAGUGUUUUUAGUGAAUUUAGCACAUCGCUUAAAGGUGAGUGGUGGAAGAUGUCCGCGGAGCUAAAUUCGAUGAUCGAUGUCUGAUCAAGCUCGACAUACGCGGAUGCACGUGGUUUGGAACCCGUAGCCGGAAACGAGUCCGAGGCUCCGGUGGCGCAAAUUCCACCUGAGGUUGGGUCCGUGUGCGGCUCCAACGCCACUGAGUCUAUGGCUUCCAUGGCGGGGUUGAGCUUCUCGUCCCUGGACGAUGCGAUCUGCUCCAGAUCUAGGGCCAGAGCAGUUACAGAUCUAGAGCCAGUCAGUGUUAUGAUCUUCCACGAAACACCAGCGACCACCGACCCAGUCCCCUGCCUCCGCCCUCCCCUAAAACUCACCGCAGUGCCAUGCUUGGCACCGCCUCCCGGCCAUCCCUUCAAACCCCGCCGACCUCCAGAUCGGGUGCAAGUAGCUCCUGCACCCCACACCCCUAUGAUAGGCACUGAUGCGCCACUUCCCCGACGAACUGGCAGACUAGAUGCUCCGCACGCCUAAGCAGGUGCUGCUUCUUUUAAUUGCGAUUCGACUGACCCUAAAUUAAAAUCCAGGCGGGCUACUAACCUCUAGCAAAGGUGUAAUAGUAAAUGAGAGGAAACCUUAUGCAUUUAGUAUCAUGAAUAAGAUGCAGUACGAAGCGCUCAACUAGUUUCUUUCAUGGGAUGAAUACGGUGUGAGCAGAGACGUAAGAUUUGCACGAAUAAGGGAAGAGGAGUACCUCUUUCUACUGGCAGUGUUGUGUCCUACUUCUGCUUUUCCAACGAUCUUCUUGUGGUUCACUAGAAACGAGAAGUUGCGGAGGACGGUGGAGCCUUGGAUGAACCCAUGGCCAAGUUCUUGAGUGUGGUGCGGUGGCCGUCUGUAGGUGGCGGGGAACCAGAUCUGAGGCGGUGAACGACAGCGCCGCGAGAACAACUCUGGUGCGGUGGACGGUUGUGACAGUGGAGCGGCAGCGGUGAGGCGUAUGACAGCGUGGUCGACAUGGUUCUGAUAUGGCGCACGUCGGCGUCGGCAUCGUGGAGGCAGCUCUGCCUCGGCUUCAGCUGGUAAGUCCUUGAAGGUGUUGCGGUUGCGGUUGCGUUGGACGAUGACGUCGGGGUUCUUGCUACCUCUUGAGCACUGCGUUGGAUUUCCCCGCAGAGGAGAGGAUGAUGCAGCAAAGUAGCGUAAGUAUUUCCCUCAGUUUUUGAGAACCAAGGUAUCAAUCCAGUAGGAGACCACGCACAAGUCCCUCGUACCUACACAAAAUGAUAGCUCCUCGACACCAACCCGAUUAGGGGUUGUCAAUCCCUUCACGGUCACUUACGAGAGUGAGAUCUGAUAGAGAUGAUAAAUAAUAUUUUUGGUAUUUUUGAUAUAUAGAUGCAAAGUGAAAAGUAAAAGGCAAAGCAAGUAAUAAAGUAAUGGAGAUUGAUAUGAUGAGAAUAGACCCGGGGGCCAUAGGUUUCACUAGUGGCUUCUCUCAAGAGCAUAGAUAUUCUACGGUGGGUGAACAAAUUACUGUUGAGCAAUUGACAGAACUGAGCAUAAUUAUGAGUAUAUCUAGGUAUGAUCAUGUAUAUAGGCAUCACGUCUGAGAAAAGUAGAUUGAAACGAUUCUGCAUCUACUACUAUUACUCCACUCAUCGACCGCUAUCCAGCAUGCAUCUAGAGUAUUAAGUUAAAAACAGAGUAAUGCCUUAAGCAAGAUGACAUGAUGUAGAGGGAUAAAUUCAUGCAAUAUGAUAAAAACCCCAUCUUGUUAUCCUCGAUGGCAACAAUACAAUACGUGCCUUGCUGCCCCUUCUGUCACUGGGAAAGGACACCGCAAGAUUGAACCCAAAGCUAAGCACUUCUCCCAUUGCAAGAACUACUAAUCUAGUUGGCCAAACCAAAAGGAUAAUUCGAAGAGACUUGCAAAGAUAACUCAAUCACACAUAAAAGAAUUCAGAGAAGAUUCAAAUAUUGUUCAUAUAUAAGCUGGAUCAUAAACCCACAAUUCAUUGGUCUCAACAAACACACCGCAAAAAGAAGAUUACAUCGAAUAGAUCUCCACGAGAGAGGGGGAGAACAUUGUAUUGAGAUCCAAAAAGAGAGAAGAAGCCAUCUAGCUACUAGCUGUGGACCCGAAGGUCUGAAGUAAACUACUCACACUUCAUCGGAGGGGCUAUGGUGUUGAUGUAGAAGUCCUCCAUGGUGGAUGCCCCCUCCGGCGGAGCUCCAGAACAGGCCCCAAGAUGGGAUCUCAUGGAUACAGAAGGUUGCGGCGGUGGAAUUAGGUUUUUGGCUCCUGUUCUGAUCGUUUGGGGAUACAUAGGUAUAUAUAGGAGGAAGGAGUACGUCAGUGGAGCAACAGGAGGCCACGAGGCAGGGGGGCGCGCCCUAGGGGGGGGGGGGGCGCCCCCCACCCUCGUGAAUGACUCUGUUACUUCUUGGAGUAGGGUCCAAGUCUCCUAGAUCAUGUUCGGUGAGAAAAUUACGUUCCCGAAGGUUUCAUUCCGUUUGGACUCCGUUUGAUAUUCCGUUUCUUCGAAACACCGAAAUAGGCAAAAAAACAGCAAUUUUGGGCUGGGCCUCCGGUUAAUAGGUUAGUCCCAAAAAUAAUAUAAAAGUGGAAAAUAAAGCCCAAUAUAGUCCAAAACAGUAGAUAAAGUAGCAUGGAGCAAUCAAAAAUUAUAGAUACGUUGGAGACGUAUCAGGCAUCCCCAAGCUUAAUUCUUGCUCGUCCUCAAGUAGGUAAAUGAUAAAAAAAGAAUUUUUGAUGCGUAGUGAUACUUUGGCAUAAUUUCAAUGUAAAUCUUCUUAAUUGUGAUAUGAAUAUUCAGAUCCGAAAGAUUCAAGACAAAAGUUCAUAUUGACACAAAAAUAAUAAUACUUCAAGCAUACUAAUCAAAGCAAUCAUGUCUUCUCAAAAUAGAAUGGCAAAAGAAAGUUCAUCCCUACAAAAUCAUAUAGUUAGGCUAUGCUUCAUUUUCAUCGCACAAAGAUAUUCCCAACUUCUAUACCCCCGAUGACAAGCCAAGCAAUUGUUUCAUACUUAAAUAAUCUCAAACUUUUUCAACCUUCACGCAAUACAUGAGUGUGAGCCAUGGAUAUAGCACUAUGGGUGGAAUAGAAUAUGAUGAUGGGGAUUGUGUGGAGAAGACAAAAAAGGAGAAAGUCUCAUAUUGACGAGGAUAAUCAACGGGCUAUGGAGAUGCCCAUCAAUUGAUGUCAACAUGAGGAGUAGGGAUUGCCAUGCAAUGGAUGCACUAGAGCUAUGAAUGCUCAACAAAAGAAAACUAGUGGGUGUGCAUCCAACUUGCUUGCUCAUGAAGACCUAGGGCAUUUGAGGAAGCCCAUCGUAGGAAUAUACAAGCCAAAUUCUAUAAUGAAAAAUUCCCACUAGUAUAAAAAGACAACUUAUGAGACUCACUACAUGAAGAACAAGGUGCUACUUUGAAGCACAAUAUAUGAGACUCACUACAUGAAGAACAAGGUGCUACUUUGAAGCACAAGUGUGGAAAAAGAGAUAGUAGCAUUGCCCCCUUUUUUUCUUUUUUCUUUUUCUUUUUUUGGGCCUUUUUUUGGCCUUUCUUUUUCUUUUUCUUUUUGGGCAAUGCUCUAACAAUGAUGAUCAUCACACUUCUAUUGAUUACAACAUAAGGAUUACAACUCGAAACUUAGAACAAGAUAUGACUCUAUAUGAAUGCCUCCGGUGGUGUACCGGGAUGGUGCAAUGAAUCAAGAGUGACAUGUAUGAAAAAUAAUGCAUGGUGGCUUUGCCACAAAUACGAUGUCAACUACAUGAUCAUGCAAUGGCAAUAUGACAAAAGUAAUGUAUGUCAUGAUGAUGAUGAUGGAAGUUGCAUGACAAUAUAUCUCGGAAUGGCUAUGGAAAUGCCAUGAUAGGUAGGUAUGGUGGCUGUUUUGAGUAAGAUAUAAGGAGGUUUAUGUUUGAUAGAGCGUAUCGUAUCACGGGGUUUGGAUGCACCGGCGAAGUUUGCACCAACUCUCAAGGUGAGAAAGGGCAAUGCACGGUAUCGAAGAGGCUAGCAAAGGCGGAAAGGUGAGAGUGCGUAUAAUCCAUGGACUCAACAUUAGUCAAAAGAACUCAUAUACUUAUUGCAAAAAUUUAGAAGUCAUCAAAAAUCAAGUACUACGCGCAUGCUCCUAGGGGGAUAUAUUGGUAGGAAAAGACCAUCGCUCGUCCCCGACCGCCACUCAUAAGGAUGCACAAGCCAGGUACACUUCAUGUUUCAAAUUUGUUACACAACUUUAACCAUACGUGCAUGCUACGGGACUUGCAAACUUCAACACAAGCAUUCUUCAAAUUCAUAAUCACCCAACUAGCACGACUUUGAUAUUAUCACCUCCAUAUCUCAAAACAAUUAUCAAGCAUCAAACUUAUCUUAGUAUUCAAUUCACUCAAAAGAAAGUUUCACAUAUCUUGAACACCAAGUAUAUUAACAUUAAGCAAAUUACCAUGAUAUUAACGACUCUCAAAAUAAUCUAAGUGAAGCAUGAGAGAUCAAUUGUUUUUUUAAAACAAAUCCACCACUGUGCUCUAAAAGAUUUAAGUGAAGCACUAGAGCAACAAUUAUCACGCUCAAAAGAUAUAAGUGAAGCACUAUGAGCAAAACUAUCAAGCUCAAAAGAUAUAAGUAAAGCACAUAGAGUAUUCUAGCAAAUUCCAAUUCAUGUAUGGCUCUCUCAAAAGGUGUGUACAGCAAGGAUGAUUGUGGUAGACUAACAAGCAAAGACGCAAAUAAUACAAGACUCUCCAAGCAAAACACAUAUCACGUGGUGAAUAAAAAUAUAGCUCCAAGUAAAUUACCGAUGGAAGUGGACGAAAGAGGGGAUGCCUUCCGGGGCAUCCCCAAGCUUUGACUUUUUGGUGUCCUUGGAUUAUCUUGGGGGUGCCAUGGGCAUCCCCAAGCUUAGGAUCUUGCCACUCCUUGUUCCAUAAUCCAUCAAAAGAAUUCACCCAAAACUUGAAAACUUCACAACACAAAACUCAAUAGAAAUCUCGUGAGCUCCGUUAGAGAAAGAAAACAAAAGACUACUUCAAAGUACUGUAAUGAACUCAUUCUUUAUUUAUAUUGGUGUUAAACCUACUGUAUUCCAACUUCUCUAUGGAUUAUAAACUAUUUUAUUAGCCAUAUAUUCAUUAAAUUAAGCAAACAACACACACAAAACAGAAUCUGUCUAAAACAGAACAGUCUGUAGUAAUCUGUAACUAACGCAAACUUAUGGAACUCCAAAAAUCCUACCAAAAUAGGAAGUCCUGGAAAAUUUGUUUAUUGAACAGAAGAAAAAAUAAUCAACGCAAAAUCACGUUUCUGUGAUUUAACAAAAUUAUAUUCGUGCGUGCAAAGUUUCUGUUUUUCAGCAGAAUCAAAUCAACUAUCAUCGUAGGUUAUCCUAUAGGUUCUACUUGCACAAACACUAAUUAAAAGAUAAAACCACAUCCAAACAGAGGCUAGAUGGAUUGUUUAUUCCUAAACAGAAGCAAAAACGAAAAACAAAAAUAAAAUUGGGUUGCCUCCCAACAAGCGCUAUCGUUUAACGCCCCUAGCUAGGCAUUGAGAAUUUUAAUGAUGCUCACAAGAAAGACAAGAAUUGAAGCGCAAAGAGAGCAACAUGAAACACGUGACAAACACAUCUAAGUCUAACAUACUUCCUAUGCAUAGGCAUAUUAUAAGGAAACAUAUUUUCAAGGCAAACAAAAACUAGCAUAUGCAAGGAAGAACAAAGAGAUGAUAGCAAUCUCAACAUGAAGAGAGGUAAUUUAGUAACAUGAAAAUUCUACAACCAUAUUCUCCUCUCUCAUAAUAAUUACAUGUAGGAUCAUAAGCAAAUUCAACAAAAUAGCUAUCACAUAACAUAUUCUCAACAUGAUCCACAUGCAUGUAAAGUUGACACUCUUCCAAAAUAGUGGGAUUAACAUUAACUAAAGUCAUGACCUCUACAAACCCACUUUUAUCAAAAAUACCAUAAGAUUGAACAUUCUCCAAAUAUGUGGGAUCUAAAGUUGACACUCUUCCAAACCCACUUUCAAUAUUAUUGCAAAAAUUAUUAUCAAUCUCAUAUUCAUCAUGGGACUUAAAUAAAUUUUCAAGAUCAAAAGAAGAAUCACCCCAAUCAUGAUCAUUGCAACAAGUAGUAGACAUAGCAAAACUAGCAUCCCCAACCUUAGGGUUUUGCAUAUUAUUAGCACAAUUGUCAUCAAGAGAAUUUAUAGUGAAAUCAUUGCAAUCAUGCUUUUUAUCAAAGGAACUAGCAAGUAUGGGUGCAAUAGCAAUGAUCUCAUGUUUAACAUACGAAACUAUAGGAAAUUCAUCUCCAUAAAUAUUAGCAUCAUGGCCACAAGAAUAGCAAGCAUCCUGUUCAUCAAGGGAUAUUUCAAUCAAAUCAUCGGAAUCAUCAUUAUCUAUAGAUUCAUGCAUAUCAUUAUUUUCUUCCAAAGCAACGGCCAUUCUUUCAAUAAAUUCUUGGACAUAGACAUUAUGAGGAAGGUUUUCAUUGCAAUAUUUAAGUAUGACGGAAUUUUCAGAUUUGUUGAGAGUAAUAUCAUACUUUUCAAUCAAAGAAGCAACUUCAUGAGCACCCUUAAAAACGACAAAUUCUUCAAUUUGUUCGAUAUCAUAGUAACUAUAAACACCCUUUGCAUAAGAAGAUAUGAUUUCAUUUUCAUUAAACUCACAUAGGUAGGGAAGGUGUUUUUAGGGUUCUUAGAGCAACAAGUAAAGUCACACAUUUCACAAAGAUUCCAAGCAUAGCAUAGCAAACUAUUUAUAUGAUACCGUAAGAGUCUCCCUUUUUCAGACAAACGAUGACGCACAAAAUGAGCACGCUCAUCUAAAGAUUUCCCAUCAACUAGGCUAGUUGGGGUUUCAGCACGAGCGCAUAAGGAUCAAAGAUGAUCCAAGUAGAACACUUAAGUGGAUCCAUAUCAAUAGAUUUUCAGCAAGCAAAGAUGCAAGCACAUAGAAGGCACAAGGAAACACAAACAAAGAUACAUACCGGAAGAAGGCGAACGAAAAAGAGAGGGAGAAUAAAACGGCAAGGGUGAAGUGGGGGAGAGGAAAACGAGAGGCAAAUGGCAAAUAAUGUAAUGCGAGAGACAGGGAUUGUGAUGGGUACUUGGUAUGGUUGACUUGCUCUUGCGUGAGCCUCCCCGGCAACGGCGCCAGAAAUUCUUCUUGCUACCUCUUUAGCACUGCGUUGGAUUUCCCCGAAGAGGAGAGGAUGAUGCAGCAAAGUAGCGUAAGUAUUUCCCUCAGUUUUUGAGAACCAAGGUAUCAAUCCAGUAGGAGACCACACACAAGUCCCUCGUACCUACACAAAACGAUAGCUCCUCGCAACCAACGCGAUUAGGGGUUGUCAAUCCCUUCACGGUCACUUACGAGAGUGAGAUCUGAUAGAGAUGAUAAAUAAUAUUUUUGGUAUUUUUGAUAUAUAGAUGCAAAGUGAAAAGUAAAAGGCAAAGCAAGUAAUAAAGUAAUGGAGAUUGAUAUGAUGAGAAUAGACCCGGGGCCAUAGGUUUCACUAGUGGCUUCUCUCAAGAGCAUAGAUAUUCUACGGUGGGUGAACAAAUUACUGUUGAGCAAUUGACAGAAUUGAGCAUAAUUAUGAGUAUAUCUAGGUAUGAUCAUGUAUAUAGGCAUCACGUCCGAGACAAGUAGAUCGAAACGAUUCUGCAUCUACUACUAUUACUCCACUCAUCGACUGCUAUCCAGCAUGCAUCUAGAGUAUUAAGUUAAAAACAGAGUAACGCCUUAAGCAAGAUGACAUGAUGUAGAGGGAUAAAUUCAUGCAAUAUGAUAAAAACCCCAUCUUGUUAUCCUCGAUGCAAACAAUACAAUACGUGCCUUGCUGCCCCUUCUGCCACUGGGAAAGGACACCGCAAGAUUGAACCCAAAGCUAAGCACUUCUCCCGUUGCAAGUACUACCAAUCUAGUUGGCCAAACCAAAAGGAUAAUUCGAAGAGACUUGCAAAGAUAACUCAAUCAUACAUAAAAGAAUUCAGAGAAGAUUCAAAUAUUGUUCAUAGAUAAGCUGGAUCAUAAACCCACAAUUCAUCGGUCUCAACAAACACACCGCAAAAAGAAGAUUACAUCGAAUAGAUCUCCACGAGAGAGGUGGAGAACAUUGUAUUGAGAUCCAAAAAGAGAGAAGAAGCCAUCUAGCUACUAGCUAUGGACCUGAAGGUCUAAAGUAAACUAUUCACACUUCAUCGGAGGGGCUAUGGUGUUGAUGUAGAAGUCCUCCAUGGUGGAUGCCCCCUCCGGCAGAGCUCCAGAACAGGCCCCAAGAUGGGAUCUCAUGGAUACAGAAGGUUGCGGCGGUGGAAUUAGGUUUUUGGCUCCUGUUCUGAUCGUUUGGGGAUACGUAGGUAUAUAUAGGAGGAAGGAGUACGUCGGUGGAGCAAUAGGCUAGGGCGCGCCACCACCCUUGUGACCGCCUCUAUUACUUCUUGGAGUAGGGUCCAAGUCUCCUAGUUCAUGUUCGGUGAGAAAAUCACGUUCCCGAAGGUUUCAUUCCGUUUGGACUCCGAUUGAUAUUCCGUUUCUUUGAAACACUGAAAUAGGCAAAAAAAUAGCAAUUCUGGGCUGGGCCUCCGAUUAAUAGGUUAGUCCCAAAAAUAAUAUAAAAGUGGAAAAUAAAGCCCAAUAUAGUCCAAAACAGUAGAUAAAGUAGCAUGGAGCAAUAAAAAAUUAUAGAUUUGUUGGAGACGUAUCAGGGGUACAGGCUCUGGCGUGAUGGAGGAGGGUGGCGGUGGAUUUGGCACGAUGGGGUGGAGGAUGGAGGAGGCUAGGGUUUUGCGGCUGGUGGAGUGGGUGUUUUGGCGCCCACGGAGUAUGAAUGGGGAAAUAGAGGGAGGGGCGACUAAGGGUGAACAAUGUUCGGUUUGGGGCGCACUUGUUUGAAAUUUGGGGAAAGUUACAAACUUUGGCCCCAUCUAAAAUUUCAGACAUAUUGCGGGUUGGGGGUAGGACAGUAAUCUCAGGUGUCCCAAUUGGUGGGCGGGAUAGAUUUCGGCCGAGCGCAUGGGUGUUUAGGCGCCCACGGCGUAUGAAUACUUCUCGGAGGUGGUUGAGACUGGCGUCUUGGUGAAGUUACAAACCUACCCCAGUUUAGACCUUUGGACAUCGGGCCAAUAGGCUACACGUGCCAGAGUCAGGACAGUAAUUCCUACCACCAAACAUUAGUGUUCGAGUGACCAGAGGCUUAUUUGGCGCUUCAUUCAAUAUUUUGGAGCAGAAGCAUUAACAUUUUCGGUUCUCUUGAAUUGAACUUUCAAGAUUUGUCAAACUUCACAAAUCUUUACUCUUGAAAAUCCUAAAACUAUGAUUAUUUUGGAAUGGAGGGGGUACAUUUGAAUAUACAUUGUACAUGAGUAUAUAUUAAAAAAUAUGCAACUUUCUCAGCUCAUGCAUGGUUCCAGAUAUAAUCUCCUUGGUUGCAAAAAAAAAUAGUUAGACAUGCGUAUGAAUAUAUAGCAUGUUCAAACGCACAACUAAGAUUGAUGCCCCCCUUUAGAUCUGAUUUACAAAUGCCAUUAUCUCGGGUUCAAAUAGAUGAAUGCACUUCCUGUGAAUUCGAAUCUUCGAAACCCCCUUUAUGUUGAAUUCAACAUGUAUUCUAUUUCCUAGCUAGCAAUUUGGAAUGUAUCCAUGUAAGUGACAAAUGUAUAAAGUGCUUCACACUAACAACAUGGAGUGCACUAAUUAAUGUUUAUAUAUGAAUUGCAAAAGCAAUGCCUUGCCUGUAUUUCAAACCGCUCUCACCCUAUGGAUCGAUAAUAUGAAAUAAACACAUGCACAUGCUAGAAUUCAAUAGAGUAUGGGUGUCUGAUAGACCGAUUUUCGUUCAUACCCAAAUUGCAAAAUUCAUGAUCUCAUCCAAAAAAAUAAUGCCAUUUAUAUUUUAAUUUAAUGCGUAGAACCGCCUCUUACACGUAGAUGCACUAUGCCUCGGCCAGUUCUCAGAAACGCGCUAUAUAUCUCUCUAUCUAACGCAUAAGUGCACACACUUUAUAUACAUCGGCAUUUCUCUUUCACACAUGCUCACAAUCUCUCCCGGGGUGUCGGGGUGUCUCACUCACUCUCUCUCUCUCUCUCUCUUUCUGACUACUAUGUACGACUCUUUUCACUAAUCUCAGUUGGAAAACACUAUUUCUCUCACAUGCAUAUAUACACACGCAUGGUCUCUACUAGCCCUCUAUACGCACAUAUAUGUGCCUACGUGUCUCCCGCACGCACAUUAUCUUUAGGCCUCUCUCGCACACAUUGCCCCCCCACAGACACACCUCUCUCUUAGUAGUUGGCAGAUAUGAUUCCAUCAGAUCAUUCGGUAGGAUAUCCCUGACUGUUAGGCUAAUACGAGGCAAAGUUUUACCCAAGUUCGGACCCUUGCAGUUGAGGAAAAAACCUACUCCUGGCACUGUAUAUUAGUGAUAGGGGUGUGUACAAAGUACACGUGAAUACCAGGCAUUGUGCGUGUGUGUAUACUAUCAACGAACUAGCCCCCAUGCUUCUAUAACAUACUCGGGGCCUAGGGUUACAAAUCAUAUAUAGUCGGCUUAUCACCGGUGGGGAUAGAGUCCUCCACGACUUUGGUAGCUUUGUGUUGUACGCGGAGUCCUCCACAUGGGUCUUCGUAUAAUGCGUCUCAGUCCAACCUAUGUGGUGCAGGAUGGAACUGACCCAUGAGUCCUCAUGUUGACCCACCACAACUAGAAAUGAUGUGCCCACCCCAACUAGAAAUGAUGUGCCCCACCACACCACACACGCAAUCGGCCACUAAGAAAAUAAGCAUAUACAAUAGUACAAUGUUAUACAUGAAAGUUAAUCGCAUGGUGCAUCCAAAAAUAUUUGUUCUGCAUUGUGAAUGUUUAUAUUUUCCCCCAAAAUAUUAGUCACGGGAAAGAGAAACGAAGGGCAUAUCUCUCCUUGUCUCCACCGGACACCCCCUCUUUCUACACCACUUUCACGUACGCACACAAACUAUCUCUCGGCCCUCUAAAAGUAUGCAUGCUCAUGACACAUUCACGCGUGACGGUCACUGUGUUUCAAGCGAAAGCACUAUACGGUCACUGGACUUCAGAAUAUGCUCAUUACGGUCACCAUAUACAUUCUCAUGGUGAUCAUACGGUAUCUAGCUCACGAUACGUCUCCGUAUUUUGUUGAUGACACUGACAACAUUGUAUUUGAUGCGUGCUCCGUAUUUUGUUGACGACACUUAAUGUCAUUGUAUUUGAAGCGAAAGCACGAUAUGGUCACUGGACUUCAGAAUAAGCUCAUCACGGUCACCACAUACAUUUUGUGGUGCUAACCAACCUGUGGUUGGACGAUUAGGAGGACAGUGGUUUCUCGAGCCGGGUUAAAGUCCUGGUGCUCACAUUUAUCCUGGGUUAAUUUCAGUAUUUUUCUGGCGAUGUGCGUUCAGUGGGAGGAGACGUUCCACUCGACUAUGAGGCACCUAUGGUGACUUCGUAUAAUCUCAAGAUCAUAUGCUGGCUCACUCUCUCAAAGGUGCUCAUAGCGGUAGGGUCUGCUUGUGUGCGCUUACAGCGGUGAGUUCUUGCACGUAUAUAUGAGCGCUUGCAUCUGUACCAUGUUAGAAAAAUACAUGUCAUGAUUAUACGGUAACUAGCUCACCCGUGCAAUUCCGUAUUUUGUUGAUGACACAAUCAAUUGACCAGUCAAAUGUUCCACGUGGCGCAACUAGUGUUGCACCAUCGGGGCGCGUAACCAUGGGCCCCACCUGUCAACGUGUAUAUGAAAGAAAGAAAUGGUAGUUCGAGUCUAUAUUGUAUUAAUAAACUACAUUUUAGGGUGAUCAUACGGUCACUAGCUCACCAUACAACUUCGUAAUUUUUUGAUGACACGAUCAAUUGACCAGUCAAACGGUCCACAUUCAGCAACGCACAUUACCAUAGGGUCCACCCCUCAGCGCGUAUAUGAAGGACAAAAAUGGUAAUAAAUUAGUGGUCGGUGGGGAUUCAAAGUCGUGAGACCUCUGGUUGGUAGUCGCCGGCGGUGGGGGGGGGCGGUGAUUGGGCGGUGGCAUGGGGAUCACCGGAGAAAAAGCUCGGUGCGCGGGGGGAGGGGGGCUAGAUGGAUGGCCGGGGCGGCAGCGGACCGACGACGGGUAAUGGUUUGGGGGCGGGCGAGGUAGUGUGGCCACGCGGGCAGGCCGCAGGCGGCGACGACCGGCGGUGUCUGGUGGCUCAGAGGGGUGGAGGUUGAAUAUAAACUGCAGGCCCUUGAUUUCGUAUCCAAUGGCUGGAAAAUCUACUGACCAGAGAUGAAAAAGUCAGUCGACUGACGUGUAGCCUCACCCCUCACGUACACAUGCACGCAGACAACACUCGCACGAACACACGCACACAUGCAGGCAUGCAACACUGACACAUACACAUAACGAACACACGCACGCAUGCAACACUGACACGUACACAUGCACUCACGAACACACGCACGCAUGCAGGCGUGCAACACUGACACAUACACAUGCACUCAAGAACACAUGCACGCACGCACACAUGCAUGCAACACUGAAACGUAUACAUGCACGCAUGCAACACUUGCACGCCUGCAUGCACACAACACACGACGCAAGACACACGCUCAACCUAUACGUGCAUGCACCCUUUGUUAAGGACAUGGAUUGUUACGGGUAUUAAUCAAUCUCAUCUGUGAUAAGCAGAACAUUGAUGUUUGCAGCAGUCUUUAUGAAUCACAACAUAUCGAACGGGCUAUCAACGUAUAUAUGAAAAUUUUAAAAUUCUCUUACAUUAUAUAUUAGGCUUAUCUAGAUGAAAUAGAUGACGUCACACUCAAUGAACAAUCAUUGGUUUAUGAAAUGCCCGCUUCUGACCGCCCUGGCCCACCAAAAGUUCCUCUUCCGUGCGCUACCUGCAUUGGGUCACUAACAUGUAGGCCAUGUACCCAAAGAGCCCACACGUCAGUGGAAGAACGGUGCGGUGUCGUACGCCAGAGUUGAGGGCGCCACUUGAUGCACGCCCGGCUGAACACGCCUCCUUGCCACAUUCAAAUGUCUAGGUUUGUAUCUCUCUCACACACACCUACGUAGGUGGGGGACAUGCACGAAGAGAAGAGGUGCACACACGACGCACGUACUCCCAUCUCUUUCCAGCCACACCCAUGUGGGUACACGGUGGAGCUCAUUUCUGUACGAAAAGGCAGCCCACGUGGUAAUUCGACACGUGUACUGGUUGUCCACUUGAUGGAGGAUCGUCUACCAUGGGUGAACAUACAAAUUGCGACUUGACGCGUUAUGUUAAAAAAGAGGCAAACCAUGUGGGGCCUACCUUAGAGGCAAGGCUCUAUACACUUGAGAUGCUCUGUACGUUUUACUUUUGAUGUAUCCCGUCAACUCGCAAAACGAGGAGAAGCUUGCUUACUAUGCCGUCUCCCCCGCCCACGGGCAUGGUGGCUCACAGGACGAGGUGAAGCUAGCUUACUAGUACUACCUCCGUUCUGAUUUAUUGGCCCCCAUUGUAUAUUGUGUCAAAUUUGGACUAUAGAUUGAACUAACAAAACGUUCGUGCAUGUUACCAAAAAUUAUAUCAUUGAAAACUAUGUUGAAAUACGAAUCCAACAAUAUAAUUUUUGUUGACAUGCAUUAACUCCUAUCGAGAUACAAGCUAUUACCAACCUGAUACAAUGCAAGUCACAAGCUUGACACAGCGAGAAUGGCUGCAACUGACAACUCCUGCAUCUGAGAUUGACAACUCUAGUAACAGAGAAUGACAACCCCUGCAACAGAUAUUGACAGAGCAUGACACUCUCAACUAAGCUCAAUCCAGCUGUGAACAAUAAACAACACUGAAAGUAAACAACACGGUUAUCACAAAACUUGGAUUUAGGAUUACAACACUAUAGGCAAUGAACCACCACUAACGGCCCAUAACGUUAGCUGAUAGCCGCUGACCAUGGAGUACUUGCCGAUCCAUCAGCGAGGACUGUAUCAUUUAGCGAGCUAAAAACUUAAGGCACAUGCAUGUGAGAGUUCCACUUUAGCUCCCUCAACACCAGGCGGGACGAGCAGCCCUAUAACACGUGUAGCCACACUCUAGUGUCCUUUUCUACUUAGUUGGACAGAUCACUUCAGAAAAUCGUAUAAAAAUCAAGCAAGAAAACGGAUGCGCUAAUGCGCAACGGCUUUCGCUCUAGUUACUCAAAAAAUUGCAUAAAAAUCAAGCAAGAAAACGGAUGCGCUAACACGCAACGACUUUCGUGUUAGUUGCUCAAUCCGUUGCUUGCUUCUCUUCUGUCUUGGAAAAGUGAGGAUUUCCUAUCUGAUCCAAGGGAAGGAAGAGAGGUGGAAAGUGUUGCUGUGUCAAAUCGAGAUUGUGUGGGUGUUCGCUCAUGUUCGACGCUAUCAAAAAUCAUGCGUUGGAUGGAUGCACAUGCUCCAAUGCACCAAAGUUGGUUGAAAAAUCACAUGUGUGUCUAUGGGUGAAUUAUAGGUCCCAUGCAAGAAAUAGGAAUGAAAUUCAAACAUCUGGGCAUCGUGGCUCGGCCGGAAAGAUUGAGAAACUUGGUUUUUUAAUUCCUGUAAUAUCGAAAACAUGCCUGAAAAUCAUGAAACUUGGCAUGGUGUCAUGACAUGGCACCAACAUGUUGCGGUAAUUUUUUUGGCCGAACUGGGACAAGCUUUGGUGUAAGCUUCUUGCAAAUCGGAGCUUCCCUCUAGAAGGCUCAUUGUUCCGAGAGGAAACAUCUCACCUCCAUGUGCGAAACGACAUACGUACACUGCCUUCUCCCGCCUUAAUUUUUUUACACAGGCAGGUUAGACCAAGUCGAAGUAUCGUGCUAAAAUUUUGAAUUAUUCCGGGUUCGUUUGGCCUUUUUUAUACAUUCAUUGAGUUUCUGGGCAUUUAAUGUGCAUAAUUCAAAUUUGAACUAGAAGCACAUGCUCCAGUGCACCAAAGUUGGUUGAAAAAUCACAUGUGUGUCCUUGGGUGAAUUUCAAGGUCCCAUGCAAGAAAUGGGAAUGAAAUUCAAACAUCUGGGCGUCGUGCCUCGGCCGGAAAGAUUGAGAAACUUGGUUUUUUAAUUCCUGUAAAUCUAAAACACACUUGAAAAUCAUGAAACUUGGCAUGGCAUUAUGACAUGGCACCAACAUGCUGCGAUAAUUUGUUUGGCCGAACUGGGACAAGCUUUGGUGUAAGCUUCUUGCAAACCGGAGCUUCCCUCAAGAGGGCUCGUGGUUCCGAGAGGGAACAUGUCACCUUAGUGUGCGAAACGACAUACGUACGCUGCCUUUUCCCGCCUUAAUUGUUUUACAUAGGCAGAUUAGACCAAAUAGAAGCAUCGUGCUAAAUUUUGGAAUUAUUCCGGGUUGGUUUGCCGUUUUUAAACAUUAAUUGAGUUUCUAGGAAUUUAAUGUGCAUAAUUCAAAUUUGAAUUACAAGGACAUGCUCCAGUGCACCAAAGUUGGUUGAAAAAUCACAUGUGUGUCCUUGGGUGAAUUUCUAGGUCCCAUGCAAGAAAUGGGAAUGAAAUUCAAACAUCUGGGUGUCGUGGCUCGGCCGGAAAGAUUGAGAAACUUGGUUUUUUAAUUCCUGUAAAUCCAAAACACGCAUGAAAAUCAUGAAACUUGGCAUGGUGUCAUGACAUGGCACCAAUAUGCUGCGGUAUUUUUUUCGCCAAACUGGGACAAGCUUUGGUGUAAGCUCUUGCAAACCGGAGCUUCCCUCAAGAAGGCUCGUGGUUCCGAGAGGAAACAUGUCACCUCCGUGUGCGAAAAGACGUACAUACACUGCCUUCUCCCGCCUUAAUAUUUUUACACAGGCAGAUUAGACCAAAUAGAAGUAUCAUGCUAAAUUUUGGAAUUAUUCCGGGUUCGUUUGUCCUUUUUUAUACAUUAAUUGAGUUUCUAGGAAUUUAAAUUCAAAUUUGAACUACAAGCACAUGUUCCGGUACCCCAAAGUUCGUUGAAAAAUCACAUGUGUGUCCUUGGGUGAAUUUCUAGGUCCCAUGCAUGAAAUGGGAAUGAAAUUCAAACAUCUGGGCGUCGUGCCUCACCCGGAAAGAUUGAGAAACUUGGUUUUUUAAUUCCUGUAAAUCCAAAACACGCCUGAAAAUCAUGGAACUUGGCAUGGUGUCAUGACAUGGCACCAACAUGCUGUGGUAAUUUUUUUGUCCGAUUUGCGAAGCCGCACACAUUAACAAUCAGCACAGUCAUUUUGGAACAAGUGCUGUCAUGUUACAAAUCGGAAACACGAGUAUCACUGAAACUGUGGGCGUUCUACUUACCAAUUACGUGCCGCCGCGCAUCCCGUUUUUUAUUGGCUAGGAGGUGCUGUGAGGGGUAGCUAUUUGAGUACGGGAGGCGUGCGAUCAGACCCCUGUGCAUGCUCAUCGGGAGGAGAGCCUUUUGACCGCUACCCGCUGCGCACAUCCCUCCCAACGUCUCCAUUAAUGGCGCCUGAGCCCCUGUUCUACGGCGUGGCUAUAUGUCUCACUGGACUGAGGUUUAAGAGAGAAAAUGAAAAUCUGAAAAGAAAGUUUUGCACGGAUCUUGAUGUAAGAUCCAGCAGACCUAUAUAGCAUCGACUGCGACUUAUAGCAAGCAUGAUGAAUAUAAGGACGAUGAGAGUGGAUAAUAAUUGUCUUACAUAUUUAGGAACAUAAUUUAAAAAAGCCACAUGCGGCAACGCCCGAAAUACACAAGGGCAAAAUAAGAAGGAAGACAAUGAUCUGGCUCGCUGAUCUCUACAUUCUUGAUGCGUUGCUGUAGGCCGCAUGAACUAUUCUCUGUGGCGAGCGGCGAUGAGCUCUUUCUUGUCCUCAAGAUGCUGCUUGAGAGCAUCCACGAAUUCCUCCACCAACCUUCUGCGCUCGAUGCACAGCACGGCAUUCUGGUCCAUAAGUUUCUCGAUGAUGACGCCGGUCCUCUUCAACAAGGCAGUGGUCUCCUCCUGCUGCUCCGCACUUCUGACGAUCUUCACCCUCAGCAGGUCGCGCUCGGCCCGGAGCUUCGCAUUGCUCUCAUUUAGUUGCUGGAUGACGCUGGUAGCCUAUUCAAAAGAGGCUUUCUUGUCAUCCUGCAACCUCGCCUAGCCGGAGAUCUGAUCCAUCUGGCUAUGGACGAUCGCAUGCAUGCACCUGUAAGAGUCCUCGCCUGCCCAGGAGACAUUUUCCCAGGCUGCCACGACAUGGGAGGACAUCUGUGCUGGAUUCACGGCGCGGCGGGACAUCUCUUCUACUUCCACGGCGCAGCCGGACCAGUCUGCCACAUCGACGGCGUGGCGGGACCUGUGUGCUGCUUCGGCGGCGCGGCGGGACCUAUGUGCUGCUACGGCCGCAUGGUGGGAUAUGCCGGCUGCGUUCGCGGCGAGGUGGGAUGUCACGCCCAAUAUGCGAUACUAUCCUAAAGAGACUCGAAGGUCCCACCAAGGAUUAGAACCGCAUAUUGAAACACUUUUGCAAGGUGGAUAUCAUUACAUCAACAUUACAUAAUAGAUGGGGAUACAUACAUAAGGCAUACAAUGCCACACGUAUACAACAUCACAAUACAUCAAAGCACCAUCCGACUACGGAUGAAACACAAACAGGAGCUCAAACGACAUCCACCCUGCUAGCCCAGGCUGCCGACCUGGAACCUAUCCCCUGAUCAAAGAAGAAGCAGAGGAAGAACUCCAAAACAAGCAAACAUCGCUCUCGCGUCAUGAUCAUCGCAUAAUCUGUACCUGCAACUGUUGUUGUAGUAAUAUGUGAGCCACGAGGACUCAGCAAUCCCAUUACCAUGGGUAUCAAGACUAGCAAAGCUUAAUGGGAAAGGAAGGGGUAAAGUGGUGAGGUUGCAGCAGCGGCUAAGCAAGUAUGGUGGCUAACAUACGCAAAUAAGAGCAAGAAGAGAAGCAAAGGAACGGUCGUCAACUAGUAAUGAUCAAGAGGUGAUCCUGAACUCCUACUUACGUCAAACAUAACCCAAAGACCGUGUUCACUUCCCGGACUCCGGCGAGAAGAGACCAUCACGGCUACACAUGCGGUUGAUGCGUUUUAAUUCAGAUCCGGUGUCAAGUUAUCUACAACCGGACAUUAACAAAUUCCCAUCUGCCACAUAACCGCGGGCACGGCUUUCGAAAGAUAAUACCCUGCAGGGGUGUCCCAACUUAGCCCAUGAUAAGCUCUCGCGAUCAACAAAGGAUAUACCUUCUCCCAGGAAGACCCGAUCAGUCUCGGAAUCCCAGUUUACAAGACAUUUCGACAAUGGUAAAACAAGACCAGCAAAACCGCCCGAUGCACCGACAAUCCCGAUAGGAGCUGCACAUAUCUCGUUCUCAGGGCAACACGGGAUGAGACAUCCUACGAGUAAAACCAGACCUCGAGUUUCCCCGAGGGGGCCCCGCAGUCUACUCGGUUCGGACCAACACUUAGACAAGCAUUGGCCCGAGGGGGGCCUAAAAUAAAGACGACCCUCGGGUUAAUUACUCCCAAGGGAAAUAUAUGUGGUGGUGAGGCAAAUGGUAAAACCAAGGUUGGGUCUUGCUGGAGGAGUUUUAUUCAAAGCGAACUGUCAAGGGGGUCCCAUAAAUCACUCGACCGCGUAAGGAACGCAAAAUCCGGGAACAUAACACCGGUAUGAUGGAAACUAGGGCGGCAAGAGUGGAACAAAACACCAGGCAUAAGGCCGAGCCUUCCACCCUUUACCAAGUAUAUAGAUGCAUUAAUUAAAUAAGAGAUAUUGUGAUAUCCCAACAUAACCCUGUCCACCAUGGAGCAAUCUUCAACUUCACCUGCAACUAGCAACGCUAUAAGAGGGGCUGAGCAAAGCGGUAACAUAGCCAAACAACAGUUUGCUAGGAAGGGUGCCAAAGGUUAGAGGUUCAUGGCAUUUUGGGAGGCUUGAUAGGACAAGGGAUAUGUAGUGCAACAAAGUGAUAGAACGAAGCAACUAGCAUAGCAAUGAUAGUAGUGAGAUCCAGGGUAGUGGUCAUCUUGCCUGAAAUCCCGCAAGGAAGAAGAACGAGUCCAUCAAGAAGAUGAAGCCACGAAGACGAACCAAGCGUAGACGAACGAAUCCUCACGAUCGCAACGAAACGGGAACUAUCGAGAAGAAGCACACAACAUGGUAAACACACCACACAUGAACAAGACAUGAUGCUCAACCAAGUAUGAUGCAUUACAAAGAUACAUGGAGCUACUCGUGGCAAAAGAUGAUGCAUACAAGACCAACACAUCAAAGCAAGUUUAAAUGAGGCCGGAAACAACAUAUAACAAUUCCUGUAAGUCCUCAUAUGCAGAUCUAGAAGUUGGUCCAGAACUGAACGAACAUUAAGUUGAAGUUGUUAAACAGCAAGUUAAGAUGCACCAAGAUGAUCUACACGAGAUUCUAGUCAAGUUACAUAUAAAGUUCAUUUAAUUCGGAGCUACGGCCUAGAAGAUAUGAGCAAAACAAGUUAAACAUGGCAUUGAUGCAAAAUGCAUACAAACAUCAAGCAAACACGUCAAAACAAGGAUGCAACAUGAUAAUAUGAAACUACAUGCAAAAACAAGCAAGUUUCAUAUAGAGCACACUCAAAACUGAGCAACGGUUCAACAUAUACACUAUAAGAUAUGACAACAAUCUGUCCAAAACAGCAACUAGGCAUAUUGCAAGCAUCAAAACAACAAGCUACAACACCCCAACAUAAGAACAAAAGGCAUGGGCAUGAAGUACAGGUAAAGCAUGACAAAAUAUGAACACUGAGCUAUCUCCGUAAAACACUAGAACAUGCUCAAAAGGACAUGGCAAGAUUGCAAAUAAUAACAGUUACAGACUUGGCAGAAAUAACAUCAGGUUGCAAUGUUUAGAGCUAUCAAAGAACAUGUUACAGGAACUUAUCAUGGCAAACAAAGGCAUGACAUGAAUCUACUAAUGGCAUAUAACGGAAGUCCCUUACUGACCAUGAGACAAAAAGGAGCAGAAGAUAUGAUGGCACCCAUGUAAACAUGGCAAAUAAUAUGACAGAUUCAUACAUGGCAGGAACAACAAUAAGUAGGCAUGUUGGUGAGCUUGACCCACUCACCACAGAACAAUACAUGGCAUGGCAAGGCAACCAACAGCAAGAAUACAUGUUUAUGAAGCUAAGCAUGGCAAGAACAAGUUCAUAGCGUACAUGGAUCACUAGCAAAGCUCAUGGCAAAACUGAACUUAAUGUUAACAGUCUGACAGCAACAUUAUUUAGCAAGUUUGGAGCAAGAUAACAACAAGUUACAGCAGGCUAUAAAUGCAACCAGGGGAAUGAAUGGAUAUAGGAUGACAUGUAUAACAAAUAAUCCUUAGUGAACAUCUCCAGAUUAUGCAUAGAAUGACUUGUAGCAGCAGGUUUACAUAGCAACAAAAUAUAACAGAAUCAACCUAGCAAAACAGUAACAGCAAGUACCCUACUUAACAAGCUUGAUGCACUCAGCACACAACUCACAAAAAUACAUGGACAUCACCCAUGUAAAGAUGGCAUAUCAUAGAUCAAAACACAUGUUGAGCUCAUGUUCAUAGGAUGCACACAUCAAAUGCAACAAAAAUGACAAAUCAUCAAGUUAUAACAAUUUCAGCAGAUUAACAUCAUAUAGCACUCUUGCAAUGAUGAUUCAGGCGUCAAGAUGGAAUCAAAUGAACAUGGUGCAAUGGAAUGAAAUGAAGUACUCGUUGAGGCGAACAAUCUGAUAUGCUACACGCCCAAAAUGGAGCAGUAUGCAGCAAGUUAUGAUGCGAUGAACAUGGCAUGAUAAUGUAAAUAAUCUUAGGGACUUGGGUAGGAAAACAAAGUCAACCUCGGAUCUGGAUCGGGCAUGGACUUCGAGGCAGCCGGAGAACUCGCCGGAGUUGGAGGAGACGGCGGAGAUGGGCGGAUCCGGGCCGGAUCUCACCGGAUCUGGCCGGGUCCCGGCGUGUGGGGGCGCGGGGAGACACGGGGAGGCGGCGGCGCCGAGCAGNNNNNNNNNNNNNNNNNNNNNNNNNNNNNNNNNNNNNNNNNNNNNNNNNNNNNNNNNNNNNNNNNNNNNNNNNNNNNNNNNNNNNNNNNNNNNNNNNNNNNNNNNNNNNNNNNNNNNNNNNNNNNNNNNNNNNNNNNNNNNNNNNNNNNNNNNNNNNNNNNNNNNNNNNNNNNNNNNNNNNNNNNNNNNNNNNNNNNNNNNNNNNNNNNNNNNNNNNNNNNNNNNNNNNGGCCGAGGGACCCGGAGGCGCGGCGGUGCUCGACGACGAGGGGCGCCGGCGGAAGGACGACGGUGGAGGCGGCGGGAGGACGGCGCCGGCAGCGGGGAAGAGUGGGGGUGGCAGCGCGCGCUCGGGCCCCGAUGGGCUCGGGUGGCCCCGCGAUGUGCCACAGCGGGCUUCGGCGGCCGGCAGCGGGGACACGUGGCGUGCCCUGAUUGGCGCGGGGAGCGGCGGCGGACAUGUCCGGCUGCGGCCGGACGUGUCCGGUGAUGGCGGGGAGGAUUAGGCUAGGGUUUUAUUCGCGAAUUUUUGGGGGGAGGGCAUAUUUAUAGAUAGAGGGAGCUAGGAGAGUCCAAAUGAGGAGCGGUUUUCGCCCACACGAUCGUGAUCAAACGACCAAGAGCAUGGAGGGGGUUAGGAUGGGUUUUGGGCCACUUUGGAAGGGGUGUUGGGCUGGACACAAAAGAGGCCUUUGCGGUUACCCGGUUAACCGUUGGAGUAUCAAACGACCUCCAAAUGGCACGGAACUUGACAGGCGGUCUAUCGAUGCUAUACCAAGGCCGCUUGGCAAACCUCGGUCUAUUCGGACAACGUUUAACACCCGCUCACAACAAGAGACAAAAGGGAGACGCUGGAGGACAUAGGAGCGCCGGAUUACAAACGGACAACGGGGAAAAUGCUCGGAUGCAUGAGACGAACACGAAUGCGAAAUGAGAUGCACAUGAUGAGAUAAUAAAAUGCAACACGCAAGAAAAUGACAUGGCAACGAAGGCGAAUAACUGGAAGACACCUGGCGCAUCGAAUCCGGGGCGUUACAUGGGACAUCUCUCGUGCUUCCGCUUCCAUGCUCGCAUCUCCCUGGUGGCAAUCUCUCGACCCAGAACUCACGCUGGCCAUGGCAAACGCAAGGGAACGAUGAUGAAUGACUUGUUUGUUUUUGUGGAUGAGGAGUUGAGGAGGAAUGUGCAGUCAUCUUGGAGUAGUAGAUUUAUAACCGAGUAGUAAUACGCUCCUAAGUGGGAAACCAUUUAGGUUUUGAUUGGUGUGAAUAUGUUUGCAAUUUGGAAUGUGACGAGACACAUGCUCAAAAUUUACUGACAGUUAUAAGUGCGGCACUAUUCCCGGAAGGCGUAACGUGGGCACGUACGCCUUCUCUGCCACGUACGUCGCGUUUGCACCAUAGGGUGCACCGCAAUAGGCAAUGUCAGCACACGUCUUGUUCCAACAACCGUGCACGCUCGUUAUUACCAUCGCACACACUUCUUCUAAUUAGAAUUUGUGUGCCCGUUUAGUGCACACAUGUUGAUCUAUCUAAUUGUUUCAGUUUGUUGUGGCUAAUCGCAAACAGUUCAUCCGUGUGAAGUGUAUGCCAUCAAUCGCAGACACUUUGAUCUAGCUGACCCGUAUCUAUUCUAUUGCCUAAUCGCAAAUAGUUACUCCUUCUGAAGCGUAUGAACUCAAUCACACAUACCUUUUUCUAGCUGCCCGUUUCUAUUGUUCCUCCUGAUCACAAACAGUUCAUCUGAGCAAACCGUAUGCUAUAUAUGGCACACGCCUUCAUCUGGUCGCCCGUUUCUUUUGUUUCGCCUCAUCGCAAAUAGUUCAUUAAACUGAACCGUAUGCCCUACAUAGCACACGAAACUAAAAUCUGAACCGUGUUAGAUGGCUCCGCCAUCGCAAAUGUUUUGCACCUUCUUUGACGGUUCUUUUACACCAGUGUUUGCGAUUAUUGCAUUGCACACAGUUUCGUUGAAGGGUCUCUGAUCGUAGUGUCGCGUUAGCAGCACCCUGCAGUAGUGCUAGUGCAAUCGCUCGGGUUCAGUUAGAGCCCAACGCCUCGCUCGGGUUCACUUAGAGCGCAAUGCCUCGCACACACGCGCGCACGUGUACGAGAGAAACGCUCAAACCUCCGUGCAUCGCUCGGCCCCAACCACCCACCAUAACCGGGAACUCCCCGAUAUUUUCCUCGCCCUCGCUUCUACCACAUUUUUUUCCGUCAUGGGUGACCCAAAGAAUGUCAUGCAACUAUGUCUCCAGCCCUCCCAGGACGAAAAGCCCAUAUUCUAUCAUGAUCUUUGUCAUAGAAGUAGGAGCCCACCACAUCUAUGAUGAUAUCAGGUUUUGUCACAAUUGUCAUCAUAGAAGUGUCAUAAUUAUGACAGAAAAAAAUUCGUUUGACCCAAAAUGUCACGGAUGUGUCUUUUUUUGUAGUGACCAAAGAGGUGGCUCUUGGUGACGUAGUUGUUCGGGUUGUCAUCAUGCUCGAUGAAGAGUGGGUUGGUAGAAGAACUUGGCCUAUCCAUCAUCCCAAGCAAAUAUGUGAGUGGGAGAAAGAGAAGAACUUGUACCAAAUGUACCUUAACCGAUGUUAAAGAUGGAUCUAUGAUCACUCAAAUGUGUAACAAGGAAAUAUCACUUUUGGUACCAAUUAUUGUCGAUUCUCGCACCUAAACAAAUAAAGUUUAUAGUGGAGCUCGGUUAGGAUGGUGGUACAAAAUUUAUGCGAUUGUUAGUGAGACUCAAUAAUGUUGGAAAAGAUUCGUAAAUUUGAAAAUGCAACAAGUAGACCCAUAGCAAGAGAUGGUACAUGGAAACACAUACGCAAAUAGAUAAGUGGAGUUGUGCAAACCAAAAAUGAGCUCAAAAUGUGGAACCCACGGAAAAUGCUCUUGUUGCACAACUCUAGAGAGACGUGAUUCAUACUGUUUUAUUAUCAUUCUUGGAUGUUUCACAAUCAUUUUAUAGAAACAUCAUGUCAUUUUUUGGGACUGACCUAUUGACCCAGUGCCCAGUGCCAGUUACUGUUUUUUGCUUAUUUUUUACAUCACAGGAAAUCAAUAUCAAAUGGAGUCCAAACACCGCAAAACUUUUCGUGGAUUUUUUAUGGACCAGAACACUCGCGAUGGGCCAGAGCAGCACCUAGGGGGUGCCCCGAGGGGGCACAACCCUCCAGGGCGCGCCAUGGGGGCCCAGGCGCACCCAGGUGGGUUGUGCCCACCUCGAUGGCCUCCCGCACCCCUCUUUGCCCUAUAAAAUCCCAAAUAUUCCAAAACCCUUGGGGUUAACCUAGAUCAGAAGUUCCGCCACCGCAAGGCUCUGUAGCCACCUAAAACCAAUCUAGAGCCCGUUCCGGCACCCUGCCAGAGGGGGAAUCAUCACCGGUGGCCAUCUUCAUCACCCCGGCGGCCACCACGAUGAGGAGGGUGUAGUCCACCCUCGGGGAUGAGGGUUUGUACUAGUAGCUAUGUGUUUAACCUCUCUCUCUCUCAUGUUCUUGAGAUGCCACGAUCUUGAUGUACCGUGGGCUUUGAUAUAGUCGGAUCAUAUGGUGUUUUCCCCACAGUAUCUUGUUGUGAUGAAUUGAGUUUUUCCCUUUGAGAUUUCGUUGUUAUCGGAUUGUAUACUUUUAUGGAUUUGAGAGCACUUGAUAUACGUCUUGCAUAUGAAUACACGUGGUGACAAUGGGGUAUUGUAUUGAUGCACUUGAUAUAUGUUUUGGCAUUCAACUCGCGGAUUCUCGCAGUGACAUUGGGGUAAUCUAUGCAUAGGGGUCGAUGCACGUUCUCGUCUUUUGUUUCUCCGGUAGAAAUCUUGGGGCACUCUUUGAGGUUCUUUGUGUUGGAUUGAGUAUUAUGAAUCUGAAAUUAUUUGGUGUUAUUUUAGUACGAACUCUUGGAUAGAUUGAUCAGAAAAAGUACCUUCGAGGUGGUUUCGUACCCUACAAAUAAUUUCUUCUUAGGUUCUCCACUAGAUAGGAACUUUGGAGUGAUUCUUUAUCACACAUUGAGGGAUGGUUAUAUGAUCCAAUUAUAUUAGUACUGUUGAGAGAUUGCACUAGCGAAAGUACGGUCCCUAGGCCUCAUUUUCAAGCAUUGCAAUACUAUUUUUGUGCCCGUUUACUAUUUGCUACCUUGCUGUUUUUAUUUAUUCAGAUUAUAAAAAUAUAUUUCUACCAUCAAUAUUACACUUUUAUCACCAUCUCUUUGCCGAACUAGUGGACCUAUACAAUUUGCUAUUGUAUUGGGUGUGUUGGGGACACAAGAGAUUUCUUGUAUUUGGCUGCAGGGUUGUUUGAGAGAGACCAACUUCAUCCUACACCUCCCACGGAUUGAUAAACCUUAGGUCAUCCACUUGAUGGAAAAUUGCUACUGUCCUACAAAACUCUACGGUUGGAGGUCCAACACAAGUCUACAAGAAAAAAUUGCAUAGUAGACAUCAAGACGCUAGCACGAUUGCACAAUAGGCGGAUACGAGACUUGUGCACAACCUAUAAAGCAAAAAUGCAACAACUUAUAUCCCAAGUAUGCUAUUUGUAUGGUAUUUCUAUGAUAUGAUCCAAGAUGAUCGAGUAUGACAAUCUUAAUGUAGUAUGUUGCUAUGGUUCUUGCUUAGAAGCUCAUUGCUUAUCUUUCCCUUUUUUCUUCUUCUUAAAAGCUUGUUUGGCUCUUUCUCUUUUGAGUUAUUUCUCAUGCAAAACUUCACAAAACAAGAUAACAAUUGUGUAUAUGCUAUGACAACCUUGUGGGACAAGAAACGAUAUCAAGAUAUGGAUACCAAGAUGAUAUGAUAUAUGCAACAAGAUGAUGAUCACUAAUGUGCACAAGUGAAGUUGCCGGCAAUACUCAAAGGCUAGUCUAGGUGGGUAAGCGAUACAAAAAGGAAGGCUAUGGGGUUAUCAAUUCAAUGGCAAGGAGUAGACAAAGAUGUCAUCAGAGUUACCGUCAAUAGUUUGUCUAUUGUAAGUAAGGACGGAUGAGGAGGAAGUGGUCGGUGUCGAUGACGAGUUCGUGGCGAAGAUGAGCGUCAAUGCUGAUGAUGUUGUAGUGCACGAUCUUCAGUACAUUGGCGAAUAUACCACUGCACAGUAGUCGAAGUUGGCAAAGUAGGGAAAGUUGUCGAAGAUGCGCAGACUUUCUGUUAAGGCUGGAUGUUCUAGGCAAGAUGGAAGGUCCAGGGUCCGAAAGUUCCGGGUGGGGUCGGAAGGUCCGGGCUGGGCCGGAAGUUCCGGUGGUCGCGAUUCCGCCAAGAAUAGGAAAUUUGGGGAUCAUGGAUUUGGGCAGAGAAACUUUGGGAAAAAACCCAAAUCCAAUGGGGGAAAGAAAUUUUUUGGGUGGAUGAAAUGGUGGGAAAGCUAGGUCUAAGUGCCACACACGAAAUCCACGGAUCAAAUCCAACAAAACUUCAUCACACCAACAAAUCACAAAAAUUUUGGGAGGGCUAUUUUUGUGGGGAUUUUCAAAAUUAGGGAAGAACACAAUAAAAUUAGGCUAGAAAACAAAGCGGGAGGCUCCAAAGUCAUGAUCAACGUGUCUCAUGAUACCAAGAUGAUGUAGGGUUGAACAGAACCCUAGAUGCCUGAUCUUUCAUGAUUGGAGUACAUCCCGCAAGGAACACGAGGGGAAACACGGGAGAAAUCACUCAAACUAACAAGAUUUGAUUACACAUGUGCUAGAUCCAUGAAACACAAAGGGAUACACGAUCCACAAUCAACAAGGGACGAUACAAGUAGCAAGUUCAUCUCCAUGAGGAGGUCUUGAGGGAUCUUCCCAUGAGGGGUCUUGAUCCACUUGGGGGAUCUUCUCCGUAGAGGUCCUGAACUCCGAUGGAGAAGGGAUCAAGUGGAGAGCAAAGCUUCUCAAAUGAGCUACUACUUUGCUAACGCUAAAACGUAGGUAGAAGAUGAGUAUAUAUAGUAUAGGGGGCGAAAGGGUACAUGGGCCUCGGCCCAAGUCAUUGCGCGUAGGCAAGGCCGGAAGUUUCGGGGAGCGGAGGUUGUGGGCCAAGGUCCGGGGAGGGUCCGACCCUAACCAGAGAGUGUUGGGGAAUGUAGUAAUAAUUCAAAAUUUUCCUAUGUGUCACCAAGAUCAAUCUAGGAGAUGCUAGCAACGAGAGAGAAGGAGUGCAUCUUCAUAUCCUUGAAGAUCGCUAAGCGGAAGAAUUACAAGAACGCGGUUGAUGGAGUCAUACUCGCGGAGAUUCAAAUCACGGAUGAUACGAUCCAAGCACCAAACGGAUGGUGCCUCCGCGUUUAACACACUUACAGCCCGGGGACGUCUCCUCCUUCUUGAUCAAGCCAAGGGAGAGGAGAAGUUGAGGGAGAACUCCGGCAGCACGGUGGCGUGGUGGUGUUGGAGCUCGGGGUUCUCCGCAGGGCUUCGCCAAGCACUACGGAGGAGGAGGAGGUGUUGGAGGGGGGAAGGGUUGUGCGAGGGAAGGGGUGCGGCUACCCUCUCUCUCCCUCACUAUAUAUAGGGGGAACGAGGAGGAGGAGGCACCCUAGGGUUGCUCUAGGGGAGGGGCGGCGGCCGUAGGGGAAACCCUAGAUGGGUUUGGGCGCCCCCACCCCUAGGAAACUUGCCCCCCAAGCCGGGAGGGGUGGCUGCCCUAGGGGAGGCGCCCAUACCUCUCCAAGUUACGUGAGAUGGGGUGGGAGGGGCGCACAACCCCUUUGUGGGCUGGUGUGCCCCCUCCCCUUGGCCUAUAAGGCCCUCCAACGCUUGCCGGGGCCUUCGAAACUCCUUUCGGUCAUGCUGCUCAUCACUCGGUACUCCCAGAACAAUUCCGGACUCCAAUACCCUUUGUCCAAUAUAUCGAUCUUCACCUCCGGACCAUUCCGGAGUUCCUCGUCACAUCCGGGAUCUCAUCCGGGACUCCGUACAACCUUUGGUAACCACAUACUAUUCCCGUUACAACUCUAGCGUCACCGAACCUUAAGUGUGUAGACCGUAUGGGUUCGGGAACCAUGCAGACAUGACCGAGACACCUCUCCGGCCAAUAACCAAUAGCGGGAUCUAGAUACCCAUAUUAGCUCCCACAUGUUCCACGAUGAUCUCAUCGGAUGAACCACGAUGUCGGGGAUUCAAUCAAUCCUGUAUACAAUUUCCUUUUUCCAUCGCUAUGUUACUUGCCCGAGAUUUGAUCUUCGCUAUCCCUAUACCUUGUUCUAUCUCGUUACCAGCAAGUCUCUUUAUUCAUUCCAUAACACAUGAUCUCGUGACUAACUCCUUAGUCACAUUGAGCUCAUUAUGAUGAUGCAUUACCAAGUGGGCCCAGAGAUACAUCUCCGUCACACGGAGUGACAAAUCCCAAUCUCGAUUCAUGCCAACCCAGCAGACACUUUCGGAGAUACCUGUAGUGCACCUUUAUCGUCACCCAGUUAUGUUGUGAUAUUUGAUACAACCAAAGCACUCCUACGGUAUCCUGGAGUUGCACAAUCUCAUGGUCUGAGGAAAUGAUACUUGACAUUAGAAAAGCUCUAGCGAACGAACUACAUGAUUUUGUGCCAUGCUUAGGAUUGUGUCUUGUCCAUCGCAUCAUUCUCCUAAUGAUGUGAGCCCGCACUACUGUAGGAUGCUGUUAAUGUGACACUACGAUCAGAGACCCUUAGACGAAACUGUGUGCGAUGCAAUAAUCGCAAACGGUGGUUUAAAAAAACCGUCAAAAAAGGUGCAAAACGUUUGUGAUGGAGGAUGCAUCAAACACGGUUUAGAAUUUAGUUGCAUGUGUGAUGCAGGGCAUACGGUUCAAUUCAAUUAACUGCUUGUGAUGAGGAGGAACAAAAGAAAUGGGCAGCUAGAUGAAGGUGUGUGUGCGAUAUACAACAUACGGUUCACUCGGAUGAACUAUUUGUGAUUAGGCAACACAAAAGAAACGGUCAGCCAGAUCAAGGUGUGUGCGAUAUACGGCAUGCGGUUCACUUGGAUGAACUGUUUGUGUUGAGACAAGAGAACAGAAACGGUUCAAUAUAACAAGAUGUGCGUGAUACGAGGCAAACAAGUCUGUAAUCAGAAAUGUGUGCGAAGACCGAUAAUAACACAGACGGUUGCUGCUAAUAAGACGUGUGUGUUGUGCGAUGGGAUUGAAUACAGAAUAACAACAUUAUAUACACACUUGUAAGGACAUGGUUGCAUAAUCAAAUUAAACAUCCACUUACAUAGGUGGCUACUACAACCAUGGCAUUUGCACACACCAAAGUAAACUAUUACAUGCAUGAUUACAUAGGUGGCUACUACACACAUGACAUUUCCACACACCAAUAAGGUAAACUAUAUAUUACAUGCAUGAUUAACUAGCAUAAACGAUCAUCUAAUCAUCAUCUACUUCUUGUGACGCUUGCUCUGCCUGUGGAUCGAUCCAGGCUCGUCGAUUUGGGUAACGAGGCACUUCCUCAUGUCGACGAUCCGCCUGUGCAUCUCGUAGCAUGUGUACACGCUCUUGGCCACGAACCUUAGGUGAGGUUCAUCCAGUUGCCGCAUCCAGGCCCUGUGCUAGGAUAGGGGACUUGUUCUCUGGCAUCCUGCUUCAUCUUAUCAUAGUAGGGGUCGAUGAUGGCAAAGGCAAGUUCGACCAGGGAGUCCUUCUUCGUGCUGCCCUAGACCCUGUAGUGGUCAUGGAUUUCAACAAGGUUCUUGCAGGCCAAGCUCGUAACACUAAGCGCUUUUAAAUCGUCGGGGGUUUCCGCCAUGGUGAACUUCCAGUCGGUGCUGUUGACAAACCUGUUGAAACGGUCGCAAGGCUCUGUGGCCAUGCAGUAGUGGUAGAUGAGGACAUGAUGGUGCACGCACAACUAGGCGAUGGCAACCUUCCGAUCUAUCUCAAUUUUCUUCGACAGUAAAUCGGAGCCACAACGCCGCCAUGCUCAAUUGACCUCGCGACUGAAACUGGCACUUGGGGGGUCUUUUCGGGAUGUUGUAUGUGCGCACACGGAACACAAAAAUCAUGCAAGAACUCACAUAGAGAACAAUAGGUAGGGAUGGACGCCGGAGAUAUGUAGCACAGAGGACCGUGCACAGUCGUCCGCAUCAAGGAAGGUUGACCCGAGGCUGUAGCGCCUGGGGAAAGCCAACACAGGGAGGAGCCACCUUGGUGGGGAGGCCAGCCCGGGGAGGAACCACUGUGGAUCAGCAACAUAGGUGGAGGGAGCUAUCGAAGCACAGGAGGUGGCAAAGGCGACCUGAUGCUAGUGGUGGCUGGCGACCCAGCAGCUCGUCAGCCCUCUGGCCGGAGGGCCACGUGCAAGAUCCGUCACCCAACCGCCUCUCUCCUCUCUGCCGAAUGUGGCCACCAAGCAGCAAGUCGUGCCCUCCUCUUGCUGUAGGUCGAGCCCUCCUCGAGGUGCAGGUGGAUGGCAGGUAGGCACGGUGAACGGCGACAUCGUGCAUCGGUGGGGAGCACGGGGCGGGUGGCGGGGGCAAUCCGAUGGGGAGCACGAUGCAAGCGGUGGAUCAUGCUGGAGUGAAUGCCGGAGUGAAGUGCAGGCGGUGGCCGUGGUCGGGGCAGCUUAUUUUGAUAGAGGCAGCGAUGGUUGGGGAAGAUGGCGGUGAUGAUGGGUGAGUCGUGGGAACCACGACGAUAGUCAUCGAGGGCGCCGUGGGCGCCUACUUCCUCUGGCCCGCUGCGGCCGCCCCCACUGCUGCCAGCACCAUGAUGAAGGCGCCUGGUGUUGCCGGCUUCCUCAUCUCCCGCACGGCAUUUGUGGCCAACCCUGCGGGUCGGCCGUGACGGCGCGCUGGGAGGGAGAGGAGAGGUGGCGACAGCGGGUGGAGGGGGCUGGGGAACCUUAGUGCAUCGGUGAAAGGAGGCAGGGACGGAGAUGAGCGGGAGGAGGCGGGGACGGCAGCGCGCCGGAGGGAGGCAUGGGCGGAGGCGAGCCUGGAAGAGGCGGGAACGGCGGCGCGCUGGAGGGAGGUGUGGGCGGAGGCGGGGGCGGCGGAGGAAUCGAGAGAAGGUGGAGGAGACGACGGGAUCAGGCGAAGGUCAUGGGGUAGGUGGUGGGCAGCUGGUGGGUCGGGGGGUUACGAAGGAGGCGGGUGGGUCGGGUUUGGGAACACCUAAUCGGUCUUAUAUAGGGUGAUCGUGAUCCAAAUAGUUAUUUUAAUUCUGGGAUUAGAAUAAGGCACAAUCGAAAGGUUGAAGAGAUUAAGGUUAUAAUGGCCCGGGAAUUAAAGGGGAAGACGAACGGCCAGGAAUAUCGGCUGGCCCUGAUGGUAGUUUUAAUUUGCUGCGCAUAACUCCAUCGUGCCGCACGUAACUGCAUUGCGUGGAAACGCGCGCGGCAGAACCACAUGCAUAUGGGGCCCCCGACAUGAUCGUGCGCACGCCCAACUGCUGGCAGAGCAUGCACGGAGGGACGCGAGCAGAGCGCUCCACAGUCGCCUCAACGGAGAGCAAUAUAUGCAUAUAGUAGUUGAACACGCAAGGAAAAGGUGUCCACAAGCCUACCACGCCGACGGACACGAGCAAAGCGCCACGGCGCCUAAUGGUGAGCACAGCGUGCUGCGGCACCUAACGCGAUCAGAGCUUGCCAAGGGACUCGAGCAAAAGCCGGCACAGUGAUAGGUGGAAAAUAAUACGAACUGUGCGAGCAAUGUCGGAGACAUCAAACAUGAAUCAGAUUAGAGUUGCGUGUGCGAUACGUGGUAUACAGUUGAUCAAUUCGAGUUGUUUGUGAUGGAAUAAGCCAUGUGUGUUGCGGGCAAACGCUUGCUGGUAUAUAACCUUAAAUUUAACCAAAAAAGUGUUAAUGCAUGUUACAAAAAUUGUAUAGCUGGAAACUAUGUUCAAAUACGACUCCAAUGAUAUAAUCUUUGGUGACAUGCAUUCAUAUUUUAUUAGUUAAAUCCUACUUAUAAACUAGGACGGGGGUAUAGUAGGUAAUUAAAUUGCAAAUGUUUUUUUAUUAACCGUAUGUGUACGUGGCCUUUCGUCCUCCCCUCGCACGUCUUGUCACCCCGCUGCCGCAGACGGCUUACAGCGCAAGCUUGCGCAGCUUGCGGGGGCGUUCUUUUGGCCAAACGGUGGCGCCAACGAAUCAUCGGUGACCCCGUUCCCACGCAACCUCGCAAGUUUCCGCGCAAGCUUCCCUCCCAACUUUGUGAAAUCCCCCAAAAUCCCAAUGCUUACCGACCUGCUAUAUAAACCCUCACGGCCGGCGUGUCCUGCGUCGCAUUUUCCCCUCCCUCCCUGUAGCUUAUCUCGUCUGCUUCUCCCACAAUCGCCAAUGGCACUGGUCCGUCGUCGUCGCUCAGCCAUCUGUUGUCAUUAGAGGACAGCUCCAGCUGGGAGGCUGCACAGCGGCGGCGGCGUAGUCCCCGGUGUAGUGUAGUGCGCGUGGCAUCUCUGUUGGGUGUGCGCGGAACACCCACCAUACGCUCCGUCGCUGCUGCCCGUUGGCAGCUGUUGCCGACCGCCGUUGCCGCCACACCACCGCCGAAAGCCCGGGCCAUCUCCCGCUCCACCACCGCCGAAAGCCCGGGCCAUCUCCCGCUCCACCACCGCGGCCCGAAGGUGGGAGGUGGCCGUCGUGGCCUCCACCCCACUACCGGCCACCGUGUCCAUCACCCGCUCUGCCACCGCGACCCGAAGGCGGGAGGUGGUGGUUGUGGCUACCGCCCCAUCAUCGGCCACCGUGGCCGCCAGCCCACCGUUGACCGUCGCCCGAAGGAGGGAGGCGGAGGUGGAGGCCCACAAGUGCGUCAACGACCUUGCGUGCUACAUCGAGUUCCUACGGGAGGAGGAGGAGCGCCUCGUCGAGCAUGCAAAGAGCCUUACCACAGCCGUGGCCACAACACAAGCCAUCGUAGAGGCAAGGAAUAAGGAGAUCUAUGAGUAGUCCGGCCGCUUCGAGAGGGAUCAUCUGGAGCGGCAGUGGGUGUUCGAGCUGGCGAGCGUCACUGAACGUGAAGCAGCGGUAGGAACCAUAUUGCAUUUGUCCAGGUCAUUGGUAGGCUCCUCCUCUCCUCCUUUGCCUCUUACUGAGCAUGCUCGGCAGAGGAGAGGCUGCCGAAAGUAGCACAAAGCCCCUCCGUAGUAGUAGUAGUAUUUAGGGGCUAUUUUGUUCAGUUCAUCUGACUAUAGAUGUGUGGUGGAACUGUACAACGUACUUAAAAUUAGCUAGUAUAUAGUUCAAAUUUGAAUUAUGCACAUUAAAUUCCUAGAAACUCAACUAAUGUAUAAAAAAGGCCAAAUGAACCCGAAAUAAUUCCAAAAUUUAGCACGAUACUUCUAUUUGGUCUAAUCUGCCUGUGUAAAAAAAUUAAGGCAGGAGAAGGUAGUGUACGCAUGUCGUUUCACAGAUGGAGGUGACAUGUUCCCUCUCGGAACCACGAGCCCUCUUGAGGGAAGCUUCGGUUUGCAAGAAGAUUACACCAAAGCUUGUCCCAGUUCGGCCAAAAAAAUUACCGCAGCAUGUUGGUGCCAUGUCAUGACACCAUGCCAAGUUUCAUGAUUUUCAGGCGUGUUUUGAAUUUACAGGAAUUAAAAAACCAAGUUUCUCAAUCUUUCCGGCCGAGCCACGACGCCCAGAUGUUUGAAUUCCAUUCCCAUUUCUUGCAUGGGACCUAUAAAUUCACCCAAAGACACACAUGUGAUUUUUCAACCAACUUUGGUGCAUUUGAGCAUGUGCUUGUAAUUCAAAUUUGAAUUAUGCACAUCAAAUUCCCAGCAACUCAAUUAAUGUAUAAAAAACACCAAACAAAUCUGGAAUAAUUCCAAAAUUUAGCACGAUACUUCUAUUUUGUCUAGUCUGCCUAUGUAAAAAAUUAAGGCGGGAGAAGGCAGUGUGUGUAUGUCGUUUCGCACACACAGGUGACAUGUUCCCUCUCGGAACCAAGAGCCUUCUUGAGGGAAGCUCUGGUUUGCAAGAAGCUUACACGAAAGCUUGUCCCAAUUCAGCCAAAAAAAUACUGCAACAUGUUGGUGCCAUGUCAUGACACCAUGCCAAGUUUCAUGAUUCUUAGGCGUGUUUUGGAUUUACAGGAAUUAAAAAACCAAGUUUUUCAAUCUUUCCGGCUGAGCCAUGACGCCCAGAUGUUUAAAUUUCAUUCCCAUUUGUUGCAUGGGACCUAGAAAUUCACCCAAGGACACACAUGUGAUUUUUCAACCAACUCUAGUGCACUAGAGCAUGUGCUUGUAAUUCAAAUUUGAAUUAUGCAGAUUAAAUGCCCAAAAACUCAAUGAAUGUAUAAAAAAGGCCAAACGAACCCGGAAUAAUUCCAAAAUUUAGCACGAUACUUCGAUUUGGUCUAACCUGCCUGUGUAAAAAAAUUAAGGCGAGAGAAGGCAGUGUACGUAUGUCGUUUCGCACACGGAGGUGAGAUGUUUCCUCUUAGAACAACCAGCCUUCUAGAGGGAAGCUACGGUUUGCAAGAAGCUUACACCAAAGCUUGUCCCAGUUCGGCCAAAAAAAUUACCGCAACGUGUUGGUGCCAUGUCACGAUACCAUGCCAAGUUUCAUGAUUUUCAGGCUUGUUUUCGUUUUACCGGAAUUAAGAAACAAAGUUUCUCAAUCUUUCCGGCCAAGCCACGAUGCCCAGAUGUUUGAAUUUCAUUCCAAUUUCUUGCAUGGGACCUAUAAAUUCACCCAAAGACACACAUGUGAUUUUUCAACCAACUUUGGUGCAUUGGAGCAUGUGCAUGUAGUUCAAAUUUGAAUUAUGCACAUUAAAUUCCCAGAAACUCAAUUAAUGUAUAAAAAGGCCAAACGAGACCGAAUUAAUUCCAAAAUUUAGCACGAUACUUCUAUUUGGUCUAAUCUGCCUGUGAAAAAAAAUUAAGGCGAGAGAAGGCACUGUACGCAUGUCGUUUCGCACACGGAGGAGACAUGUUCCCUCUGGGAACCACGAGCCUUCUUGAGGGAAGCUUCGGUUUGCAAGAAGAUUACACCAAAGCUUGUCCCAGUUCGGCCAAAAAAAUUACCAUAGCAUGUUGUUGCCAUGUCAUGACAACAUGCCAAGUUUCAUGAUUUUCAGGCGUGUUUUGGAUUUACAGGAAUUAAAAAACCAAGUUUCUCAAUCUUUCCGACCGAGCCACGAUGCCCAGAUGUUUGAAUUUCAUUACCGUUUCUUGCAUGGGACCUAUAAAUUCACCCAAGGACACACAUGUGAGUUUUCAAUGAACUUUGUUGCAUUGGAGCAUGUGCUUGUAGUUCAAAUUAGAAUUAUGCACAUUAAAUUCCUAGAAACUCAAUUAAUGUAUAAAAAUGCCAAACGAACCUGAAAUAAUUCCAAAAUUUAGCAUGUACUUCUAAUUGGUCUAAUCUGCCUAUGUAAAAAAAUUAAGGCGGGAGAAGGCAGUGUGUGUAUGUCGUUUCGCACACGGAGGUAACAUGUUCCCUCUCGGAACCAAGAGCCUUCUUGAGGGAAGCUCCAGUUUGCAAGAAGCUUACACCAAAGCUUGUCCCAGUUCGGCCAAAAAAAUUACCGCAUCAUAUUGGUGACAUGUUCAUGACACCGUGCCAAGUUUCUUGAUUUUCAUGCGUGUUUUGGAUUUACAGGAAUUAAAAAACCAAGUUUCUCAAUCUUUCCAGCCGAACCACAACGCCCAGAUGUUUGAAUUUCAUUACGGUUUCUUGCAUGUGAACUAGAAAUUCACCCAAGGACACACAUGUGAUUUUUCAACCAACUUUGGUGCACUGGAGCAUGUGCUUGUAGUUCAAAUUUGAUUUAUGCACAUUAAAUUCCUGGAAACUCAAUUAAUUUAUAAAAAAUGGCAAAUGAACCCGGAAUAAUUCCAAAGUUUAGCACGAUACAUCUAUUUGGUCUAAUCUGCCUGUGUAAAACAAUUAAGUGGGAGAAGGCAGUGUACGUAUGUUGUUUGACACACGGAGCUGACAUGUUCCCUCUCGAAACCACGAGCCCUCUUGAGGGAAGCUCCGGUUUGCAAGUAUCUUACACCAAAGCUUGUCCCAGUUCGGCCAAAAAAAUUACCGCAGCAUGUUGGUGCCAUGUCAUGACACCAUGCCGAGUUUCAUGAUUUUCAGGUGUGUUUUAGAUUUGUAGGAAUUAAAAAACGAAGUUUCUCAAUCUUUUUGUCCGAUCCACGACGCCCAGAUGUUUGAAUUUCAUUCCCAUUUCUUUCAUGGAACCUAGAAAUUCACCCAAGGACACACAUGUGAUUUUUCAACCAACUUUGGUGCACUGGAGCAUGUGCUUCUAGUUUAAAUUUGAAUUAUGCACAUUAAAUGCCCAGAAACUCAAUAAAUGUAUAAAAAAGCCAAACGAACCCGGAAUAAUUCCAAAAUUUAGCACAAUAGUUCUAUUUGGUCUAAUCUGCCUAUGUAAAAAAAUUAAGGCGGGAGAAGGCAGUGUGUGUAUGUCGUUUCACACACGGAGGUGACAUGUUCCCUCUCGGAACCAAGGGCCUUCUUGAGGGAAGCUCCGAUUUGCAAGAAGCUUACACCAAAGCUUGUCCCAGGUUGGCCAAAAAAAUUACCACAACAUAUUGGUGCCAUGUUCAUGACACCAUGCAAAGUUUCAUGAUUUUCAUGCAUGUUUUUGAUUACAGGAAUUAAAAAACAAAGUUUCUCAAUCUUUCCGGCCGAGCCACGACACCCAGAUGUUUGAAUUUCAUUCCCAUUUCUUGCAUGGGACCUAUAAAUUCACCCAAGGACACACAUGUGAUUUUUCAACCAACUAUGGUGCACUGGAGCAUGUGCUUGUAGUUCAAAUUUGAAUUAUGCACAUUAAAUGCCCAGAAACUCAAUGAAUGUACAAAAAAGGCCAAACAAACCCGGAAUAAUUCCAAAAUUUAGCACGAUACUUCGACUUGGUCUAACCUGCAUGUGUAAAAAGUUAAGGCGGGAGAAGGCAGUGUACGUAUGUUGUUUCGCACACGGUGGUGAGAUGUUUCCUCUCGGAACAACGAGCCUUCUAGAGGGAAGCUCCGGUUUUCAAGAAGCUUACACAAAAGCUUGUCCCUGUUCGACCAAAAAAAUUACCGCAACAUGUUGGUGCCAUGUCAUGACACCAUGCCAAGUUUCAUGAUUUUCAGGCGUGUUUUCGAUUUACAGGAAUUAAAAAACUAAGUUUCUCAAACUUUCUAGCCGAGCCACGAUGCCCAGAUGUUUGAAUUUGAUUCCUAUUUCUUGCAUGGGACCUAUAAAUUCACCCAAAGACACACAUGUGAUUUAUCAACCAACUUUGUUGCAUUGGAGCAUGUGCAUGUAGUUCAAAUUUGAAUUAUGCACAUUAAAUUCCCAGAAACUCAAUUAAUAUAUAAAAAAGGCCAAACGAACCCGAAAUAAUUCCAAAAUUUAGCACGAUACCUCUAUUUGGUCUAAUCUGCCCGUGUAAAAAAAUUAAGGCGGGAGAAGGUAGUGUACGCAUGUCGUUUCGCACACGGAGGUGACUUGUUCCCUCUCGGAACCACGAGCCCUCUUGAGGGAAUCUUCGGUUUGCAAGAAUAUUACACCAAAGCUUGUCCCAGUUCGGCCAAAAAAAUUACCGCAGCAUGUUGGUGCCAUGUCAUGACACCAUGCCAAGUUUCAUGAUUUUCAGGCGUGUUUUGGAUUUACAGGAAUUAAAAAACCAAGUUUCACAAUCUUUCCGACCGAGCCACGACGCCCAGAUGUUUGAAUUUCAUUCCCAUUUCUUCCAUGGGACCUAUAAAUUCACCCAAAGACACACAUGUGGUUUUUCAACCAACUUUGGUGCAUUGGAGCAUGUGCUUGUAGUUCAAAUUGAAUUAUGCAUAUUAAAUUCCCAGAAACUCAAUUAAUGUAUAAAAAACACCAAACGAACCCGGAAUAAUUCCAAAAUUUAGCACGAUACUUCUAUUUUGUCUAAUCUGCCAGUGUAAAAAAAUUAAGGCGGGAGAAGGCAGUGUGUGUAUGUCGUUUCGCACACGGAGGUGACAUGUUCCCUCUCGGAACCAAGAGCCUUCUUGAGGGAAGCUCCGGUUUGCAAGAAGCUUACACCAAAGCUUGUCCCAGUUCAGCCAAAAAAAUUACCGCAGCAUAUUGGUGCCAUGUUCAUGACACCAUGCCAAGUUUCAUGAUUUUCAUGCGUGUUUUGGAUUUACAGGAAUUAAAAAACCAAGUUUCUCAAUUUUCCGGCCGAGCCACGACGCCCAGAUGUUUGAAUUUCAUUACCGUUUCUUGCAUGGGAACUAGAAAUUCACCCAAGGACACACAUGUGAUUUUUCAACCAACUUUGGUGCACUGGAGCAUGUGCUUGAAGUUCAAAUUUGAAUUAUGCACAUUAAAUUCCUAGAAACUCAAUUGAUGUAUAAAAAACGGCAAACGAACCCGGAAUAAUUCCAAAAUUUAGCACGAUACUUCUAUUUGGUCUAAUCUGCCUGUGUAAAAAAAUUAAGGCAGGAGAUGGCAGUGUACGUAUGUCGUUUCACACACGGAGGUGACACGUUCCCUCUUGGAACCACGAGCCUUAUUGAGGGAAGCUCUAGUUUGCAAGAAGCUUACACCAAAGCUUGUCCCAAUUCAGCCAAAAAAAUACCGCAACAUGUUGGUGCCAUGUCAUAAAACCAUUCCAAGUUUCAUGAUUUUCAGGCGUGUUUUGGAUUUACAGGAAUUAAAAAACCAAGUUUUUCAAUCUUUCCGGCCGAGCCACGACGCCCAGAUGUUUGAAUUUCAUUCCCAUUUCUUGCAUGGGACCUAGAAAUUCACCCAAGGACACACAUGUGAAUUUUCAACCAAGUUUGGUGCACUCGAGCAUGUGCUUGUAGUUAAAAUUUGAAUUAUGCACAUUAAAUGCCCAAAAACUCAAUGAAUGUAUAAAAAAGGCGAAAUGAACCUGGAGUAAUCCCAAAGUUUAGCAUGAUACUUCCAUUUGGUCUAACCUGCCCGUGAAAAAAACUUAAGGCGGAGAAGGCAGUGUACGUAUGUCAUUUCGCACAGAAGGUGAGAUGUUUCCUCUCGGAACAACGAGCCUUCUAGAGGGAAGCUCCGGUUUGCAAGAAGCUUACACCAAAGCUUGUCCCAGUUCGGCCAAAAAAAUUAGCGCAACAAGAUGGUGCCAUGUCAUGACACCAUGCCAAGUUUCAUAAUUUCCAGGCGUGUUUUUGAGUUACAGGAAUUAAAAAACCAAGUUUCUGAAUCUUUCCGGCCGAGCCACGAUGCCCAGAUGUUUGAAUUUCAUUCGUAUUUCUUGCAUGGGACCUAUAAAUUCACCCAUAGACACACAUGUGAUUUUUCAACCAACUUUGGUGCAUUGGAGCAUGUGCAUCUAGUUCUAAUUUGAAUUAUGCACAUUAUAUUCCCAGAAACUCAAUUAAUGUAUAAAAAAGGCUAAACGAACACGAAAUAAUUCCAAAAAUUUGCACGAUACUUCUAUUUGGUCUAAUCUGCCUGUGUAACAAAAUUAAGGCAGGAGAAGGCAGUGUACGCAUGUCGUUUCUCACACGGAGGUGACAUGUUCCCUCUCGGAACCACGAGCCUUCUUGAGGGAAGCUUCGGUUUGCAAGAAGAUUACACCAAAUCUUGUUCCAGUUCGGCCAAAAAAAUUACCGCAGCAUGUUGGUGCCAUGUCAUGACACCAUGCAAAGUUUCAUGAUUUUCAGGCAUGUUUUGGAUUUACAGGAAUUAAAAAACCAAGUAUCUCAAUCUUUCCAGCUGAGCCACGACGCCCAUAUGUUUGAAUUUCAUUCCCUUGCAUGGGACCUAUAAAUUCACCCAAAGACACACAUGUGAUUUUUCAACCAACUUUGGUGCAUUGGAGCAUGUGCUUGUAGUUCAAAUUUGAAUUAUGCACAUUAAAUUCCUAGAAACUCAAUUAAUGUAUAAAAACGCCAAACAAACCCAGAAUAAUUCCAAAAUUUAGCACGAUACUUCUAUUUGGUCUAAUCUGCAUGUGUAAAACAUUUAAGGCGGGAGAAGGCAGUGUACGUAUGUCGUUUCGUAGAUGGAGGUGACAUGUUCCCUCUCGGAACCACGAGCCCUCUUGAGGUAAGCUCCGGUUUGGAAGAAGCUUACACCAAAGCUUGUCCCAGUUCGGCCAAAAAAAAUACAGCAACAUGUUGGUAUAAAAAAGGCCAAAUGAUCCCGGAAAUUCCAAAAUUUAGCACGAUACUUCUAUUUGGUCUAAUCUGCCUGUGUAAAAAAAUUAAGAUGAGAGAAGGCAGUGUACGUAUGUCGUGUCGCACACGAAGGUGAGAAGUUCCCUCUUGGAACCACGAGCCAUCUAGCGGGAAGCUCCGCUUUACAAGAAGCUUACACCAAAGCAUUUCCCAGUUCGGCCAAAAAAUUACCGCAGCAUGUUGAUGCCAUGUCAUGACACCAUGCCAAGUUUCAUGAUUUUCAGGCGUGUUUUGGAUUUACAGGAAUUAAAAAACCAAGUUUCUCAAUCUUUCCGGUCGAGCCACGACGCCCAGAUGUUUGAAUUUCUUCCCAUUUGUUGCAUGGGUCCUAGAAAUUCACCCAAGGACACACCUGUGAUUUUUCAAAAACUUUGGUGCACUUGAGCAUGUGCUUGUAGUUCAAAUUUGAAUCAUGCACAUUAAAUGCCCAGAAACUCAAUGAAUGUAUAAAAAAGGCCAAACGAACCCGGAAUAAUUCCAAAAUUUAAUACGAUACUUCUAUUUGGUCUAACCUGCCUGUGUAGAUUAAUUAAGGCGGGAGAAGGCAGUGUACAUAUGUUGUUUCGCACACGGAGGUGACAUGUUCCCUCUCGGAACCAUGAGCCCUCUUGAGGGAAGCUCCGGUUUGCAAGAAGCUUACACCAAAGCUUGUCUCAGUUCGGCCAAACAAAUUACCGCAACAUGUUGGUGCCAUGUCAUGGCACCAUGCCAAGUUUCAUGAUUUUUAGGCGUGCUUUCGAUUUACAGGAAUUUAAAAACAAAGUUUCUCAAUCUUUCCGGCCGAGCCACGAUGCCCAGAUGUUUGAAUUUCAUUCCCAUUUCUUGCAUGGGACCUAUAAAUUCACCCAACAUGUGAUUUUUCAGCCAACUUUGGUGCAUUGGAGCAUGUGCUUGUAGUUCAAAUUUGAAUUAUGCACAUUAAAUUCCCAAAAACUCAAUUAAUUUAUAAAAAAUGCCAAUCGAACCUGGAAUAAUUCAAAAUGUUAGCACGAUACUUUAAUUUGGUCUAAUCUGCGUGUGUAAAACAAUUAAGGCGGGAGAAGGUAGUGUACGUAUGUCGUUUCUCACAUGGUGGUGACAUGUUCCCUCUCGGAAUGUCGAGCCCUCUUGAGGGAAGCUUCGGUUUGCAAGAAGCUUACACGAAAGCUUGUCCCAGUUCGGCCAAAAAAAUUACCGCAGCAUGUUGGUGCCAUGUAAUGACACCAUGCCAAGUUUCAUGAUUUUCAGGUGCAUUUUAGAUUUAUAGGAAUUAAAAAACCAAGUUUCUCAAUCUUUCCGGCCGAGCCACGACGCACAGAUGUUUGAAUUUCAUUCCCAUUUCUUGCAAGGGACCUAGAAAUUCACCCAAGGACACACAUGUGAUUUUUCAAUCAACUUUGGUGCACUAGAGCAUGUGCUUCUAGUUCAAAUUUGAAUUAUGCACAUUAAAUGCCCAGAGACUCAGUGAAUGUAUAAAAAAGGCCAAAUGGACCCGGAAUAAUUCCAAAAUUUUGCACGAUACUUUAAUUUGGUCUAAUCUGCCUGUGUAAAACAAUUAAGGCGGGAGAAGGCAGUGUACGUAUGUCGUUUAGCACACGAAGGUGACAUGUUCCCUCUCGGAACCACGAGCCUUCUUGAGGGAAGCUCCGGUUUGCCAGAAGCUUACACUAAAGCUUGUCCCAGUUCGGCGAAAAAUAUUACCGCAGCAUGUUGGUGCCAUGUCAUGACACCAUGCCAAGUUUCAUGAUUUUCAGGCGUGUUUUGGAUUUACAGGAAUUAAAAAACCAAGUAUCUCUAUCUUUCCGGCUGAGCUACGACGCCCAGAUGUUUGAAUUUCAUUCCCAUUUCUUGCAUGGGACCUACAAAUUCAACCAAGGACACACAUGUGAUUUUUCAACCAACUUUGGUGCACUGGAGCAUGUGCUUGUAGUUCAAAUUUGAAUCAUGCACAUUAAAUGCCCAGAAACUCAAUGAAUGUAUAAAAAAGGCCAAACGAACCCGGAAUAAUUCCAAAAUUUAGCAUGAUACUUCUAUUUGGUCUAACCUACCUGUGGAAAAAAAAUAGUAGGCAGUGUACGUAUGUCGUUUUGCACACGUAGGUGACACGUUCCCUCUCGGAACCAUGAGCCUUCUUGAGGGAAGCUCCGGUUUGCAAGAAGCUUACACCAAAGCUUGUCCCAAUUAGGCCAAAAAAUUACGGUAGCAUGUUGGUGCCAUGUCAUGACACCAUGCCAAUUUUCAUGAUUUUUAGGCAUGUUUUGGAUUUACAAGAAUUAAAAAACCAAGUUUCUCAAUCUUUCCGGCCGAGCCACGACCCCCCAGAUAUUUGCAUUUCAUUCCCAUUUCUUGCAUGGGACCUAGAAAUUCACCCAAGCACACACAUGUGAUUUUUCAACCAACUUUGGUACACUGGAGCAUGUGCUUGGAGUUCAAAUUUGAAUUAUGCACAUUAAAUACCCAGAAACUCAAUUAAUGUAUAAAAAGGCAAAACGAUCCCGGAAUAAUUCCAAAAUUUAGCACGAUACUUCUAUUUGGUCUAAUCUGCGUGUGUAAAAAAAUUAAGGAGGGAGAAGGCAGUGUACGUAUGUCGUUUCGCACAUGGAGGUGACAUGUUCCCUCUCGGAACCACGAGCCCUCUUGAGGGAAGCUCCGGUUUGGAAGAAGCUUACACGAAAGCUUGUCCCAGUUCGGCCAAAAAAAUUACCGCAACAUGUUGGUGCCAUAUCAUGACACCAUGCCAAGUUUCAUGAUUUUCAGGCAUGUUUUGGAUAUACAGGAAUUAAAAAACCAAGUUUCUCAAUCUCUCCGGCCGAGCCACGGCGCCCAGAUGUUUGAAUUUCAUUCCCAUUUCUUGCAUGGGACCUAGAAAUUCACCCAAGGACACACAUGUGAUUUUUCAACCAUCUGUUGUGCACUUGAGCAUGUGCUUGUAAUUCAAAUUUGAAUUAUGCACAUUAAAUGCAUAGAAACUCAAUUAAUGUAUAAAAAGGCCAAACGAAUCCGGAAUAAUUCCAAAAUUUACCACAAUACUUUUGUUUGGUCUAAUCUGCCUGUGUAAAAAAAUUAAGGCGGGAGAAGGCAGUGUACGUAUGUCGUUUCGCACACGGAGGUGACAGGUUCCCUCUCGGAACCACGAGCCUUCUUGAGGGAAGCUUAGAUUUGCAAGAGGCUUACACGAAAGCUUGUCCCAAUUCGGCCAAAAAAUUUACUGCAGCAUGUUGGUGCCAUGUCAUGACACCAUGCCAAGUUUCUUGAUUUUUCGGCAUGUUUUGGAUUUAUAGGCAUUAAAAAACCAAGCUUCUCAAUCUUUCCGGCCGAGCCAGAACGCCCACAUGUUUGAAUUUCAUUCCCAUUUCUUGCAUGGGACCUAUAAAUUCACCCAAAGACACACAUGUGAUUUUUCAACAAACUUUGGUGGAUUGGAGCAUGUGCUUGUAGUUCAAAUUUGAACUAUGCACAUUAAAUGCCUAGAAACUCAAUUAAUGCAUAAAAAUGCUAAACGAACCCAGAAUAAUUCCAAAUUUAAGCACGACACUCAUGUACUAGUUGCAUGUUCAUUGUACGUAAAUGUUCUAGCAAUUCAAACACCAUUCUUUCCCUCCGUAACACCAUUUUUUCUUUCAAAACAUAAUGAAAAAAAUUAGGUAUACCACAAACUGUAUACUAGAAAGAAUUGUGUGGGAUGCGAUAUAAAAUAUCUUGGCACACCGUCUUGUCUGGCUUACGCAAGAAGCUUCAUCGUCUACAGUCCACCGCCCCCGCUUGAACCACACUUGCGUGCCAGUUUCUCGCAGCACCGAGCAAAUUUUUUUUGCCACCACAGAAAUAUCUAUCUCCCCGCCCCCUCCCUCCCACCAAAAGCCACAUUUCCACUAUUCCUCCUUGAUUUCCAAGUUCAAACCUUCACUGUUGCUUUACUGGCAGCUCAGCCUCCUUGCCGGUGACCCUUCUUCUUGAAGCAACGCCUCCUCGCUGGCUAACCUUAUUCUUGGAGUGCCGCCUCCUUGCCGGCGACCCUUCUUCUUGCAGCGCCGCCUCCUCGCCGGCGACCCUUCUUCUUGCUGCGCGGCCUCGUCACCGCCGACCCUUCUUCUUGCUGCGCGGCCUCGCCGAUAUGGUCAGGUAAUCCACACCCCACCCACACCAUCCUCCUCCUUUCCCGUCCCACAUGCCCCGACCGAUGGCUCGACACCUUCCACCAAAAACACUACCCCCUCCUCCAAUUAAGUGCCGCCCACAACCAUUUUGCACGCAGUAUAACAUGGAGCUCAGUAGCAUGCGGCCGCAUGCGCGCAUGAGGUCGCUAUGGCUGCCAUGCAUGUCGACCGCCAAAUCUUGGAGGACCACCUCGUCUUUGAGUCCACCGUCGACACCGACACACAAUUAUCUACUUUAAAAUACGGUUCGUGCUGUUUUCUCGAGGCCACCGCCAGUGCCUUCUAGUGAUUUGUCCUCUGCAACUUUAAUAUGCAAUCUGAUGUUCAACUAACAGUUUGGUCCUCUGAAAUGUAAUGUUUAGCUAACACUUUGGUCCAACAAUUGGUACAUUUCCUAGUACUAUUCUCAAGCAUUCUUUGUUUUGUUAACCGUCUUAUCUUUGAGUACAUGCUUCUAUUAUGCAAUGUUGUGCUUAGUUAACUAUUUUGGUUCAUUUGGUCUAUUGUCCAUUUAAUUGUUUGGUUCAGUUCUGCAAUUUGAUUUUCAUUUGCUGUGGGUACAAUUUUGUAUUGUUAUGCAUGUGACACCGAAUUUGGCUAUACUCAAUACAUGUUCUACUGAUAGUAUGGCAACUCUCAGCUUACCCGAUCAAGAUCUUCCUUAUGUGUCUUGGAGGGAAACAAUGGGAGACACUACGGUUUACCAUCGAGGUUUGUUCAAGGAGGGUCCUUUGAUAAUAGCACAUUAUUGUGCAGUUGCAGGAAUCAUUAUAAUAUUUAGGUUUCUUAUAGUUUGGUCUUGCACAUGUAGGUCCUACUGUCAGAGGCUUAGACCCACUGUUCGACCCAUUUUGCAUAUGGGGAAAUGAGAUGUCCAUGAAUAUCAGUCAAGUCAAGAAACUCAAAAGAUUGUAAGGAUGAAGAAACUUGCGAUGAAUAACAUCAAGAUCUUUGUUUGCACAAUGAAGAAGACAUCAGUCAACUAUAGUAUGGUACUAACUCUUUUACCUUGUUUUUACCCCUUGCACCAUUUCAAAAUUUAUUACAGUGAUUUAUGCAUAGCUUUGUUUUCAGUACUUUUCAAAGCAGUUCACCGAUGAUUACCUCUCGAACCACCUGCAUGGUCAAGAGGCGAGGAAGGUAUUCAUUCAACACCUACGGUACAAUAUUGAAGUCUUGUCAAAGAGGACGAAGGUUGGACGGGCAAUUAUCCAUAGCCACUGGCCUAAAGUUGCAAGGACAUUCAACAUCACUGAAGGCUCAAUAUUUGCCUUCCGCUUCUGCAGUUUCCCAGAUGAGAUUUAUCUGUCUAUUUACCAUGUAGGACGCUACUUUCCAAAGGUUUUUGAUGUUGCAUGUGAAACUUGGUGCUGUUGUGUAAUGGCGUAACUGAGUGCCAAAGCUAUCUGAUGUAAUUCGAUUAUGAAAUCCUGGUUGCUAUUAUACGGAUAUGAAAUAUCUGGUGUGUUUUAUAAGAAAUAUCAGAUUGAUUAGUACAUGGAUUAUUAGUAAUAGGCUAAUUACCCUACUUAUUGGGGUUGUCUAUUACAGACAAUUACUCAGACAGCACCGUGGGCGAUGAACUCAAACAACCCGCACGGUUUCUAGAAUGUAGGAGUGUUCGAUCAACUAACAAUCACACACGGCUUCCGGCAGCGAAUUGUUUGCGUUAGGCCACCUUGCACAAACGUUUCCACAAAAAGAAUUGUGUGUGAUAUACAUACCUACGGAAAUGUUUUUCUAGGAUUCACCAUGUGGGAUGUACAUACCUACGGAAAAGAUUGGGUUUCAAUGCCUCGUCCGAUCACACACGAGCUCGUUUGGUGUCCCAGGAGGGCCUAUCCCCGACGGUUUCUGCGUCAUGUGGGAAGGACCCCCCUAUCGCCCACACUCACUUGGCGACGGUUCCAAACGUCAUCGCGGAAAGGUGUUAAAAACCAUUUGUAUAGCACGUCGUCGUACCAGUGUAGCUAUGUUACUGAACCCCGAUCGAUCCCUUGCUGUUAACUAAACCUGAGUGAUUCCUUCGCUACUUCUGCUAACUGAAGCCGAUCGAACCUGCUGCCUCCUUCCCUUGAUGAACAAUGAGCCUUGUUAGGGUGGGGGGUUGGAUGAACAUAUCCUAGUGGGGGUGGAUGAACAGGACCCCGUGGUAGUAGAGGUCGUUGCCGCUGGAUGAAUAGGAGCCCAUGAAGGGCUGGAUGAACAGGACGACCCCGUGAAGGGCUGGUUGAACAGUAGCCGAUGGAGGGCUGGUGUGACGCCCGGAUAAUCAUGCUACAGUAAUCUCACGUUAAUGAUGGCACGUCACCUCUGUCAUUGUAAUUAAUCUCGGGUUAAUUCAAAACCGUUUCAAAUUUAAAUCCUAAAAAAGUCAAACGACAAAAGUUUUCAAAUAUUAAAAUAAAAAUGUUCGGGCUAUGUCAAUUAUUGCAUCGGUAAUUAUGGUGAAGUAAACACAAUUUUAUAAAAUGCCUAAAUACUUUUAAAUGAACUAAAACAGAAAAGAAAUAAUGAAAGAAAAUACAAAGGUUAAAAGAAAAUAGAAAACAAAACUAAAAAAGACCAAAAGAAAAGAACCCCUCUCCCUGGGCCGAAUGGCCCAGCUAGCUACAGGCCGGCCCGGCCGGACCGGCCCACCCCACCUCACCUACUAACCCCCAGGGGACACCGAACCCUAACCCACUCCUCCCACUCCCCACGUCUCUCCUCUCCUCGUCCCGAUCUGGAUCAGAGACGAGCGCCCCCACCCCCAAUCGACGAGCGCCCCCUUCCCACCCCUCUGCCGCACGCCCCCGAGGGCGCCGCCGCCCCUGGCGCCGCCGCCCUGCCUCUACCUCGCUAACGCCGCCUCCCCACCGGACCAGGGCCACCAGACCGCCUCUCCGCCGGAACGAUCCGCCUCGACCUCGUCUCCUCCCCACCGCGUGAUGUCCCCAUCCUCCUCGCCGGACUCCAUCGUCGUCGUACUCUCCGUCGUCUCCUCGUCCCCGCCAUCGCCGACCGCCUCCCCGGCCCCUCCUCGAGCCGACUUAAGCACAACUACAGGGCCCCGAUGAGGCCUCGUCCGCCCUUGCUUCGUUCCCCUUUGCUCCGGUCGCCGUAGGCCGCCCCACCGCCCGUGCCGCGCUCACCCCUCCGUAGCCGCGUCCGUGCCCACGCACCGGCCACCCCGUGCGUGCCCCGGGGGUCCCCAGCUCGUGCUCCCCGCGCGACACACCCCCUGCUCCUGACUACGCCAACAUGCGCAGAAGGGCUCGCCCCGCGCGCCCCGCCGGCUCGCCCGGUGCCGCUUGGCCCCAGGCCGCUCCUCACCGGCGCCCCCGCGGUGCCCCACCGUCGGCGCCUGGGUCCGCCCCAUCGGGCGCCCGUAACCGCCCGCACACUCAUGGGGCUCCGCCCGAGCAACCACGCCCGAACCCGAUAGGCCUCUGGGCCACUGACAAGGGGGCCCUGCCCCAGAACGUUUUAAUAAAAAAAAGGAAAAUAAAAUAAAAAUAAAUUAUUAAUUAAUUUAUUAAUUAUUUAGUGGAUUAAUUAAGUUAAUUAAUCAUGUUUAAUUAAUCUAAUUAACUAGUUAGUUUACUUAAACAGUAAUUAGUUUAACCUAAACCCUAAUCAACCUAACAGUGUAUGACAGGUGGGUCCCACUGGGCCACACGUCAGUUUGAGCAGUCAACACCUCUGUUGACUGCUGAUGUCAUGCUGAUGUCAUGAUGACGUCAGCAAACACUGUUUUGGAUAAUGUUGAAUUAAAUUAAAUUAAUUAAAAUUCUAAAAGUGAUUUAAAUCUCUUAAAAUUAAUAGAAAAUAAACCGUAGCUCGGAUGGAAAAACUUUGUACAUGAAAGUUGCUCAGAACGACGAUACGAAUCCAGAUACGCAUCUCGUUUGUCCGCCACGCGUCCGUAGCAUAGUGAACCUGCAACAUUUCACCUCCGGUUCAUCUGACCGAAAACGUGAAACACCGAGGAUACUUUCCCGGAUGUUUCCCCCUUUCGCCGGUAUCACCUACUACGACGUUAGGGCACACCGGACACCGCAUAUUGCCUUGUUACACUUUGUGAUGCUUUGAUUGCUCUGUUAUUUAUUAUGUUCCCCCUCCAUUACUUCUUUCCGGUAGAACCCGAGACUGUCGGCGCCCCCAGUUCGACUACGGAGUUGACGACCCCUCCUUCUUGCCAGAGAAACCAGGCAAGCCCCCCCCCGAUCACCAGAUAUCGCCUAUUCUUCUCUAUACUACUUGCAUUAGAGUAGUGUAGCAUGUUACUGUUCGGUUACUCCUAUUCUGUUGCAUAGCCUGUCAUUGUUGCUACAGUCAUUGAUACCCUACCCGCAAUCCUAAAUGCUUAGUAUAGGAUGCUAGUUUAUCAUCAUUGGCCCUACAUUCUUGUCAGUCUGCCUUGCUAUACUAUUGGGUCGUGAUCACUCGGAGGUGAUCACGUGUAUAUACUAUACAUACAUACAUAUUAUACAGAUGGUGACUAAAGUCGGGUCAGCUCGUUGAGUACCCGCAAGUGAUCCCGAUGUGGGGGCUGAAAGGACAGGUGGCUCCAUCCCGGUAGAGGUGGGCCUGGGUUCCCGACGGCCCCCGACUGUUACUUUGUGGCGGAGCGACAGGGCAGGUUCAGACCACCUAGUAGACAGGUGGGCCUGGCCCUAGUCAGCGUUCGCGGUUGCUUCAUAAUAACACGCUUAACGAGAUCUUGGUAUUUGAUCUGAGUCUGGCUACUGUCCUAUACGCACUAACCAACUACGCGGGAACAGUUAUGGGCACUCAACAUCGUGGUAUCAGCCGAAGCCUUCUUGACGUCAGCGACGGAGCGGCGCGCGCCGGAUUGAACCGCGUAACAUGACUUCCUUUGUAAUGGAGGUUGCUAGGUCUGCUUCCGGCCGCCCUCGCAACGUGCAGGUGUGCAAUGGGCGAUGGGCCCAGACCCCUGCGUGCAUAGGAUUUAGACCAGCGGGCUGACCUCUCUGUUGUGCCUAGGUGGGGCUGCGACGUGUUGAUCUUCCGAGGCCGGGCAUGACCCAGGAAAGUGUGUCCGGCCAAAUGGGAUCGAGCGUGUUGGGUUAUGUGGUGCACCCCUGCAGGGAAGUUAAUCUAUUCGAAUAGCCGUGAUCUUCGGUAACAGGACGACUUGGAGUUGUACCUUGACCUUAUGACAACUAGAACCGGAUACUUAAUAAAACACACCCUUCCAAGUGCCAGAUACAACCCGGUGAUCGCUCUCUAACAGGGCGACGAGGAGAGGAUCGCCGGGUAGGAUUAUGCUAUGCGAUGCUACUUGGAGGACUUCAAUCUACUCUCUUCUACAUGCUGCAAGACGGAGGAUGCCAGAAGCGUAGUCUUCGACAGGAUUAGCUAUCCCCCUCUUAUUCUGGCAUUCUGCAGUUCAGUCCACUGAUAUGGCCCUUUACACAUAUACCCAUGCAUAUGUAGUGUAGCUCCUUGCUUGCGAGUACUUUGGAUGAGUACUCACAGUUGCUUUCUCCCCCCUUUUCCCCCUUUCCUUUCUUUCUGGUUGUCGCAACCAGAUGCUGGAGUCCAGGAGCCAGACGCCACCGUCGACGACGACUCCUACUACACCGGAGGUCCCUACUACUACGUGCAGUCCGCUGACGACAACCAGGAGUAGUUAGGAGGAUCCCAGGCAGGAGGCCUGCGCCUCUUUCGAUCUGUAUCCCAGUUUGUGCUAGCCUUCUUAAGGCAAACUUGUUUAACUUAUGUCUGUACUCAGAUAUUGUUGCUUCCGCUGACUCGUCUAUGAUCGAGCACUUGUAUUCGAGCCCUCGAGGCCCCUGGCUUGUAUUAUAAUACUUGUAUGACUUAUUUAUGUUUUUAGAGUUGUGUUGUGAUAUCUUCCCGUGAGUCCCUGAUCUUGACCGUACACGUUUGCGUGCAUGAUUAGUGUACGAUUGAAUCGGGGGCAUCACAAGUUGGUAUCAGAGCCGACUGCCUGUAGAAAUCCCCCUUUCACACUCCUUGGCCGAAGUUGAGUCUAGUCAUUGCAAUUUUUUUACUAACAUGGCUGUGUGCCUUACGGGCCCACGUCGCCAUUGGGUGGUAUUAGGAUCUUUUACUCCUCGAUCUUUACUCCAGGACUCUGAGUUCUCUUCUACUUGGGUUAAAUGAUUUUGCUAAAAACAAAACUAACUUUAGGUUCUCGCAAGUACUUUCUCCCGGAGAGCCCCUCACUUCAGAUGAUCGCCUGCUGCACUAGAAGAUUCCGAAGUUACUCUACGAUGUUCCCUUGAGUCUUUGUGCCAUCGCAUUUCGAUUUCCUUCCACCGUCAACCCCUGUGAAAACUGCAUACAUUUGCCAUUCUUACAAUCAUUCCCCGUUGAUCUUGUUAUUACAAGAUGUCCCGAAAUACUCUUUGUUGUCCCGAGAAUCCUUUGAGCUCACUACCUUGCAUUUCUUUACCACAUGAAUACCCAUACGGAUAAUUCCUUACACUUAUCGAGUAUCCGCUCCUUCUUAGUUGUUCAGGUGUUUCACAUAGGCCUUCAAAAUACUAUUUGAUCAUUCGAAAAUCCUCAACAACCUGUUGUUCUUGAAAUUCUUGCUUGCCUGCAUUAUGGUUAAUCCCAUAAGCAUAAUAAUCUUAUUGGCAUCCUUGGUCACCAUCAUUUUUGAGUCCAUUGAUUCAAUAAGUUGUGAAUGUUCACAAUCAUUAGUCGAAGCCUAGGAUUACCCUUUCGGCUCAGACGUCAAUUGGAUAUGAGCUGGUUCUUGACCAAUCAAUGGCUUGACCGAUUGUGCUUCUAAGUCUAUUAAACUUAUUCAUUUUCGAUCAGAACGAAUGCUUCUGAUCCCUUAAUUUGGAAAUCAUAAAAAUUCUUUGCAUUAAGCUUUGAAUUAGUCAGUUGUUUCUAUAAUCUGAUGCCUUGGCAUUCCUUCUUCCUCUGAUUGAGUACCGAUACUCACAUCAGCCCCGUUGUGGACCGCCAGACCAAUUGCUUGGUUAUUAUCUGACAAUGUCCUUCAUAUCCAAUAACCUUGUCAGUUCUUCCCCUGAUAUAUAAUGCCUUUGGUAAAUUGUAUCCUAUGUUUUUGUCAACCAUGCUCUGCUUUUGAGCUGGUGAUUUUUACUCCGAAGUUUGUGGUACAUAUUCCUAGAUGCCCCGAUGGGUUGAACCAAUGCCUUCCCUAACCUGUGUGAACCCGAAAGAUUUCACGGGUCAUACUUAUAUGGUAUUGCACCAGGUAAAACGUUCAACAACUAAUGUCAUUUUCGAAAUACGAGAGGUGAAUGGAAGGUUAUGCAUUGAGGAAGUGGGAGUCGACCUUGAACCUUUGCGUUCAUGCCCAUGGACACGAUGUAGAUCCUACCAUGGAAGCUUCUUGUAAUAAUAACUAUUUCCGUGAUAUAAUAUCCUUUGGUAUCGGUGAAUUGAUCCUUUGCAAUCGUGGUUCCGACCAUAUGUUCUUCUUUGAUCCCAUUUCUCGGGCAAGUUUAAGCACUUGUCUUCUCUGGAUCAAUACACAUGUCCAACCUUUACUUUGGUCUGUCGUCGAGUAUUACCCCCUAGUAUCUCGAGAUUGUCACGGAACUGCAUAACUUCUUAUGAGUUCUUUGUCAAGUACUACAUUCUCAUUGAUUCCAAUUUUUCCUGGGUUUUGAGUGGUUAGUCACUCGAGGACCCCGAUAAAUGAAUCAAGUCCGGACUAUGGUUCAACAACUCUUAGUAAUCUUCCUUAUGAGUUUCUACCCGAUCACGUCAUUCCUAGCCUAAUCGGCUACAUCAUUAUCAUGCUAAUUUUAACUAUGCUACCUGGUCCUUAUUCUUGGAGCACAACUUUUGACAAUGAGCUAGGCUUACGUCGAUCUUCCUUGUCCAGUUGCUUCACCUAGAAGAGCAAGCUUGGUUCCGAGUUGGUGCCGUAACCAUGGUUCCAUUGACCUUUCGCUGCAUCAGUCCUUUUGCUUGAUGUAGUCGUUGUUCGAUUGCUUCUUCGUGGAGCCUCUCGACAAAAUUUGUUAUGAUCAUCAUCAGCAUUCAGAGCUCUUCUAGGAUAUCAAUUGAAUUCAUGAUAAGAAAUACCAUCCUUGCGCUCGAUGAUUUGUGUUGUCAUUGACCAUUUUAUUGCCUUCCCUCCAACACAAACUUGUUCGUGUUCUAUGUUAUACGUUGAGAUCCUUGCUACCCAGCAGUUGUUCUUCUUUACCUUGGAAGUAUUACCAUCUCUUUUGUCAAGAAUGUGGUGAGAAUUUCACCACCUCUUAAGAAUUCUUGAUAUAAUAAUAUGUCUCUCCGUUCAUUCCUUGGUCCCCGUAUUGUUUUUAACCGGAAUACCGACAAUUGAGCUAUGACGUGUGGAUUCAAAAAUUAUAGCAACCCUAUUGCUUUGGAGUGAAUGGGCGAUAGUUUCAUUCUAAGUCUUCUGAUAUUUGCAUCACCAUUCUUUUCUUGGUCCCCGUGUUGAGUGAACUCUGUUGGGCGAAUUUAUUAUCUCUAGCAACCCUAUUGCUUUAGAGUUAAUGGACAAUUAUUCCAAUUUAGUGUGUUGCUUGCUAAAUUGCCAUUCCGACGUUGGUCGUGCAACCCAGCCGAUAGUUCGGGUGCACUUUUCAACCAAUGUUAUUCGUGGAUGUUCUCCUCGAGCAUACAUCAUUAUAUCAUUUGAUCCGACAAAUGUUAUCUCCUUGUUCACAUAACUGUGGAAAUCCAUCUUUUUGGAAAUCUCGAGGAAUUCUCGCUGAGUCCAUCAGCCCCCUCCUCAUCCUCUCCUUGGUUUACUGAUGAAAUCUUGUUUUGGAACUCGCUUUCAUAGUUCAUUUCCUGAGAAUCUCACGAUGCCUUCUGUCAAUCUGUGUCGCACCUCUUUCUUCUCAGGUAUCCUGACCCCAAUCAGAACUGAAUCUCGGUUAGAUAUGAUGGUUGGAACAUAUUGCGAAGAGUUAUAACAUUGUUCUUUUAUGACCCGGUAAGGUGAUGUCAUUCCUAGCACACUUGGCCGAAGGACCUAGUGUUAUAGUUUCCUUUUUAACAAAGUUAACCAUUUUUCCAUGAGGAAAUUGAAUGCCUUGUUUAAUAAGUUUAUCCUGAUGGAUACUUUGUGUCUCCAAAGUUCGACCUUUGCUUGAAGACCAUGUCAAUGUUAUCUCAAAGCAUGUCUGUGGUACUCCGAUCUUCAAUAAGAACAUUUGAAGCACCAUGCUAAUUUUUCCUUAUCAAUUAUCCAAACACCGUUGUAUGGGUAAUGUCAUGAAAUUUCUCUCCCUUACCUGAAGAGUUUUCUACAUUAUAUCCUGUCAGGGAUAUCAUGCUCUGCUUGUCCUUGGGAAGGAUAUACCCUUGAAAUAUGUGUUUAAACACAUUUUCCUUUCCACUGUUCUAUUUGAUCCGAUGAUCACAUUUUCCUUUCCAUUGAUUAUGUUUAACCUUCCUUGUGAUCCAUAUGAUCUAAGCAGUAAUAUUCUUCUGCUUAUGUACACACCUUGGUGUACAACCGUGUCAGUAAGACCCUGUUGCACUUGUCGAUAGCAUUCCGGUAACCACCGAUGGACGAGAACUUUGCCUAUUGGUCCGCCUCGUUCAACAAGCAGGAAAAUGGUUCUCUUCGUCCCUCGCCCUUGGUACCAAUGUUGUUGCCAACAUAACCGACAUGCUAUCCUCUGCCAUGCCUUGCUACCAUGAUCGUGCAAUAUGUCGGCGUCCUUCCUACUUUUGAACCACAUGGUGGGCCCAUAGCCCACAGUUCCCAGGAUUGAAACCUGACUCUCCUGCACCCCCUGAUCCCAAGGUUGCUCCUCGUGUGUGGCCUCGUAUGUAAUUCAAGAACCAUCUUCCGAGGGAUCAUCAAAUCUGUUGCCGGACACAAUACUUAUUCCCGAUUGCUUUGAGCCCCUUUCACGCCCUGUUUCAGGCAUCGAACGGUUGCUUGCUCGCUCGAAACUUCCCAUGAAACCUCAUUACUUUGCUCUCGAUAUUUUCUUAAGUUUCAAUUCGAGAGUUACUUUCUGCCACCUUCCCCGAUGAUAUUGACCAGAUAGUCAACCUUGUAGAGGUUCGUUCUCCCGAAAUACCCCUUAUUCUUUCGUAAGUACGAUGGAACUCCCGAAGAAAGGAUACCGACUUUAUCUUGAUGACUUGAAGCAGAAAAAUGAAGACAUCAAUACAAUGGAUCGACCACUUCGAGAAGAGCAACCAAGACCGAGAAGAUUCGUUAGAAUUUCGUAACCAGACCUUUUCCCCGUUUUCCACCUCUUAAAUCUCGGGACGAGAUUUCUUAUAGUGGAGGAAAAUUGUGACGCCCGGAUAAUCAUGCUAUAGUAAUCUCACGUUAAUGAUGGCACGUCACCUCUGUCAUUGUAAUUAAUCUCGGGUUAAUUCAAAACCGUUUCAAAUUUAAAUCCUAAAUAAGUCAAACGACAAAAGUUUUCAAAUAUUAAAAUAAAAAUGUUCGGGCUAUGUCAAUUAUUGCAUCGGUAAUUAUGGUGAAGUAAACACAAUUUUAUAAAAUGCCUAAAUACUUUUAAAUGAAUUAAAACAGAAAAGAAAUAAUGAAAGAAAAUACAAAGGUUAAAAGAAAACAGAAAACAAAACUAAAAAAAGACCAAAAGAAAAGAACUCCUCUCCCUGAGCUGAAUGGCCCAGCUAGCUACAGGCCGGCCCGGCCGGACCGGCCCACCCCACCUCACCUACUAACCCCCAGGGGACACCGAACCCUAACCCACUCCUCCCACUCCCCACGUCUCUUCUCUCCUCGUCCCGAUCUGGAUCAGGGACGAGCGCCCCCUCCCCCAAUUGACGAGCGCCCCCUUCCCACCCCUCUGCCGCACGCCCCCGAGGGCGCCGCCACCCUGCCUCUACCUCGCUAACGCCGCCUCCCCAUCGGACCAGGGCCACCGGACCUCCUCUCCGCCGGAGCGAUCCGCCUCGACCUCGUCUCCUCCCCAUCGCGUGAUGUCCCCAUCCUCCUCGCCGUACUCCAUCGUCGUCGUCCUCUCCGUCGUCGCCUCAUCCCCGCCAUCGCCGACCGCCUCCCUGGCCCCUCCCCAAGCCGACUUAAGCACAACUACAGGGCCCCGGUGAGGCCUCGUCCGCCCUUGCUCCAUUCCCCUUUACUCCGGUCGCCAUAGGCCACCCCAUCGCCCAUGCCGUGCUCACCCCUCCGUAGCCACGUCCGUGCCCAUGCACCGGCCACCCCGUGCGUGCCCCGGGGGUCCCCAGCCCGUGCUCCCCGCGCGACACACCCCCUGCUCCUGACUGCGCCAACACGCGCAGAAGGGCUCGCCCCCGCGCGCCCCGCCGGCUCGCCCGGUGCCGCUUGGCCCCAAGCCGCUCCCCGCCGGCGCCCCCGCAGUGCCCCACCGUCGGCGCCUCGGUCCGCCUCAUCGGGCGCCCGCAACUGCCCGCACACUCACGGGGCUCCGCCCCAGCAACCACGCCCGAACCAGAUAGGCCUCUAGGCCACUAACAAGGGGGCCCUCCCCCAGAACGUUUUAAUAAAAAAAGGAAAAUAAAAUAAAAAUAAAUUAUUAAUUAAUUAAUUAAUUAUUUAGUCGAUUAAUUAUGUUUAAUUAAUCUAGUUAACUAGUUAGUUUACUUAAACAGUAAUUAGUUUAACCUAAACCCUAAUCAACCUAACAAUGUAUGACAGGUGGGUCCCACUUGGCCCACACGUCAGUUUGAGCAGUCAACACCUCUGUUGACUGCUGAUGUCAUGCUGAUGUCAUGAUGACGUCAGCAAACACUGUUUUGGAUAAUGUUGAAUUAAAUUAAAUUAAUUAAAAUUCUAAAAAUGAUUUAAAUCUUUUAAAAUUAAUAUAAAAUAAACCGUAGCUUGGAUGGGAAAACUUUGUACAUGAAAGUUGCUUAGAACGACGAUACGAAUCUAGAUACACAGCCCAUUUGUCCGCCACGCGUCCCUAGCAUAGUGAACCUGCAACAUUUCACCUCCGGUUCAUCUGAUCGAAAACGUGAAACAUCAGGGAUACUUUCCCGGAUGUUUCCCCCUUUCGCCGAUGUCACCUACUACGGCGUUAGGGCACACCGGACACCGCGUAUUGCCUUGUUACACUUUGUGAUGCUUUGAUUGCUCUGUUAUUUAUUAUGUUCCCUCUCCAUUACUUCUUUCUGGUAGAACCCGAGAUUGUCGGCGCCCCCAGUUCGACUACGGAGUUGACGACCCCUCCUUCUUGCUAGAGCAACAAGGCAAGCCCCCCCCCCUUGAUCACCAGAUAUCGCCUAUUCUUCUCUAUACUGCUUGCAUUAGGGUAGUGUAGCAUGUUACUGUUCGGUUACUCCUAUUCUGUUGCAUAGCCUGUCAUUGUUGCUACAGUCAUUGAUACCCUACCCGCAAUCCUAAAUGCUUAGUAUAGGAUGCUAGUUUAUCAUCAUUGGCCCUACAUUCUUGUCAGUCUGCCUUGCUAUACUAUUGGGUCGUGAUCACUCGGGAGGUGAUCACGGGUAUAUACUAUACAUACAUACAUAUUAUACAGAUGGUGACUAAAGUCGGGUCAGCUCGUUGAGUACCCGCAAGUGAUCCCGAUGUGGGGGCUGAAAGGACAUGUGGCUCCAUCCCGGUAGAGGUGGGCCUGGGUUCCCGACGACCCCUGACUGUUACUUUGUGGCGGAGCGACAGGGCAGGUUGAGACCACCUAGGAGACAGGUGGGCCUGGCCCUGGUCGGCGUUCGCGGUUGCUUCAUAAUAACACGCUUAACAAGAUCUUGGUAUUUGAUCUGAGUCUGGCUACUGUCCUAUACGCACUAACCAACUACGCGGGAACAGUUAUGGGCACUCGACGUCGUGGUAUCAGCCGAAGCCUUCUUGACGUCAGCGACGGAGCGGCGCGUGCUGGAUUGGACCGCGUAACGUGACUUCCUUUGUAAUGGAGGUUGCUAGGUCUGCUUCCGGCCGCCCUCGCAACGUGUAGGUGUGCAAUGGGCGAUGGGCCCAGACCCCUGCGCGCAUAGGAUUUAGAUCAGCAGGCUGACCUCUCUGUUGUGCCUAGGUGGGGCUGCGACGUGUUGAUCUUCCGAGGCCGGGCAUGACCCAGGAAAGUGUGUCCGGCCAAAUGAGAUCGAGCGUGUUGGGUUAUGUGGUGCACCCCUGCAGGGAAGUUAAUCUAUUCGAAUAGCCGUGAUCUUCGGUAACAGGAUGACUUGGAGUUGUACCUUGACCUUAUGACAACUAGAACCAGAUACUUAAGAAAACACACCCUUCCAAGUGCCAGAUACAACCCGGUGAUCGCUCUCUAACAGGGCGACGAGGAGAGGAUCGCCGGGUAGGAUUAUGCUAUGCGAUGCUACUUGGAGGACUUCAAUCUACUCUCUUCUACAUGCUGCAAGACGGAGGCUGCCAGAAGCGUAGUCUUCGACAGGAUUAGCUAUCCCCCUCUUAUUCUAGCAUUCUGCAGUUCAGUCCACUGAUAUGGCCCUUUACACAUAUACCCAUGCAUAUGUAGUGUAGCUCCUUGCUUGCGAGUACUUUGGAUGAGUACUCACGGUUGCUUUCUCCCCCCUUUUCCCCCUUUCCUUUCUUUCUGGUUGUCGCAACCAGAUGCUGGAGUCCAGGAGCCAGACGCCACCGUCGACGACGACUCCUACUACACCGGAGGUGCCUACUACUACGUGCAGCCCGCUAACGACAACCAGGAGUAGUUAGGAGGAUCCCAGGCAGGAGGCCUACGCCUCUUUCGAUCUGUAUCCCAGUUUGUGCUAGCCUUCUUAAGGCAAACUUGUUUAACUUAUGUCUGUACUCAGAUAUUGUUGCUUCCGCUGACUCUUCUAUGAUCGAGCACUUGUAUUUGAGCCCUCAAGGCCCCUGGCUUGUAUUAUAAUACUUGUAUGACUUAUUUAUAUUUUUAGAGUUGUGUUGUGAUAUCUUCCCGUGAGUCCCUGAUCUUGAUCGUACACGUUUGCGUGCAUGAUUAGUGUAUGAUUGAAUCGGGGGUGUCACAGCUGGAUGAACAGCCCGUGGUGGGGUGGUUGAACAUGACACCAUGGAAAGGGCUGGUUGAACAGUAGCUGGUGGAGGAGCGGUGGAGGCUGGAUGAACAGGAUCCCGUGGAUGAACAGUUGUGGGUGGAGGCUGGAGGCUGGAGGAGGUCGAUGAUGGAUGAACAGUAGCCCGUGGAGGCAGUCAAUGGUGGAGAUGAACAGUAGCCCGUGGAGUCCUGUUUUGCGGUACGCCACACCCCUCCCGAUGAACAAGACCCCCGUUUCAACUGUAGCGCUCCAACACAAGUCCAUUUCUUCUGUUGCGGUACGCCACACCCCUCCCGAUCAACAGGACCCCGUUUCGACCGUACGCGGUCGAACACAAGUCUGUUUCCUCCGUUUUGCAGUAUGCCAGACCCUUCUCGAUGAAUAGGACCCCAUUUUGACCGUACACGGUCGAACAGAAGGCCCAUUUCCUCCGUUCUGCGGUGCGCAGACCUCGUUUCGGCUAUUCCGUCCAAGUCGGUUGGCUCCCAAUGAACAUGAUGUACUUCCUUGCCUCCAGAUGAACACGACGCAUUUUGUUUCCUCCCCAUGAACACGAUGCAGUUUCUCCAUUCCGACCUAGCCGGUUGGCUUCCGAUGAACAGAUUAGUCGCUGUACGCGUUAGAGACCCUGCCGGUAUGUACGUAGCCAUAUUUACUAUUUUGUAGCGUGGUCGUCUGUACGUGUACAGGAUAUAGGCAGGACUGCGUUACAUGCUUCAUCGGUGCCUCUACUUUAAUACAUGUCGCUCCUUACUCAACCAUGGUAUGUCGCUGCAGAGACACCGAUCGACCUCUAUGUGCGUACACGUUCGUGGCCGGACAGAUAACGCUACCUUCGCUUCAACCUAGUGGGUCCCAGCUGUCAGGGGGUAAGAAGGCAGUUCCUUCCGUGUGAAGAUAAAGCCAGUGGGUCCCAGCUAUGAGGAGGGAAACAUUUUUUUGCGAAAUACAGAGGCCCUUAUGGUAGGUCAAAGUGUCAGGUGGAGGAAUCAUUAUUUUGCGCGUAAUAAGGAGGCACUUCCAUGUGUGCGGCCAUCAACCCAGCUGUCAGCCUCUCCACUUAUAGUCCUCUUCUGAUGGCUAUUGUUCGUUGACCGCGUUGACGACGCUGCACCGCCUGAGAGCACCAAGGUGGUGGACGACAACGCGACCUAGGAAGGGAAUGACCCGGAGCAGGGGAAUACGCAGCAGCGGAUGCCCAUGCGAAGGGGAGUACGAGGGUUGACUGCUUCGGCUGCGGUUUGAGGCUGCAUUUUCGGAGAAUAACAGGGGGUGUGGGUGAGUAGAGGGAAUGCCUGGCCAAUAGUAGUGUGGUCGGGCAGUGAGGCCUGCGCGGCAGCACAGCCGGCCAUGGGAGGCUGGAGCACGCGGUACUGUGGGCGCAGGUUUGGGAGGCUGGAGCAACAAGACAAGAGGUUGAGGACGCAGCUUGGCCGUUGGAUUUAAUAUCGAACGGUCAGUGCAGCUACAAUUGUUUAUUGACUAAGUUGGCAAAGCCCUGCGUACGCGUUAACUUAGUAGGCCCACAAGUGAGCCUACAAAUCUGGUGGGUCCCAGAUAGCAGGGGGAAUAAUUUUUUUUCCGUAAUAAGGUGGCACUUCCUUGCGUGCAAAGAUAUUUUCUGUAUUUUUUAUUUCUUCUUUUUUGAGUUAGAAUAAAAAUAAAACAAUUUAGGAUCUUUGGUACAAUCUAUAUUUUCACGAAAAGGAUCAUAAUAAUGCUAGUGGGCCCCAGCUGUCAUAGAGAGGAAACUUUUUAUUUCCGCAUAAUAAAGGAAGCAUUUCCUUGCGUGCGAAGAUGUAGCUGGUGGGUCAAACCUGUCAGGGGGAGAAAUUAUUUGUUUUCGCAUAAUAUGGGGGCACUUGCUGCAUGCGGCCAUGGGCCAUGUGCGUCCCUACGGUCAGCUAAUCCACGUACAUGCCUCAUCUGAGCUCCCCCCUGAUCCAACGGCUGGCUGGCCGGCAGUUACGCCGUGCCUUGCUGUGGACAAGGCACUAGAACUCUGUCCCCGAUGGAUGUCGUUUGUUGACAAAGUUGACCACUCCGCGCCUAGAGAACCAACGCAGUGAACGAUGGCGAUUAUUAUGAAGGGAACGACCCAGAGCCGACGAAGACACAACAGUGGAUGCCCAUGCGGAGGGCAGUACGAGGGUUACUGGUUCGACUGCGAUGUGAGGCUGCCGUCGUCGGUGAAGAACAGGAGGUGUUGGUGAGUAGAGGAAUGGCCUGGACGGUAUUUGGGAGAGUGAGCCGGUGAAGCCUGCGCGACAACACAACCGGCCACGGGAGGCGGUAGCAGGUGGUACCUCCAGCGGUGGUUUGGGCGGCUGAAGAAACAAUAUCCAAGAUUGAAGAAGCACUACAGCCGUUGGAUGGACAUCCAACGGCCACUGCUGCUAGAAUCGUGUCUUGACUAUAAGGUUACAAAGCCUUUCGUACGCCUUAGUAGGCCCACAAGCCGGCGGUACGCGUCACUGACUAUAAUUCUCAAAAAAAUAGUAGGCCCACAAGUGAGCAUCACAUCUGUGGCAGGGAACAUAUAGCCCAUUUGUGAUUUGUAAUAGUGUACAUCCCAUUUUUGAAUUCUAAUGGAAUUUACUACAACCCAUUUACAGUUUGUUAAAAUUACAGCCCAUUUUCUAGCCAGGACAACGAUUAAUAAUUUAAACCAACCUCUCAAAACAGAAUUCAACCAAAAAUCCCACAUUUUGAUAGGAUCCGAAAAAAAAUUAUCCCGAAAUUUCGAGUCAGAUUAACUAUAAUUUCAUAAUGAAUUUGUAUUAGGUAAAAAUCUAAAAAAAAUACUGCGCGCGAAAUAAGUAAUGAAAUGAAAAUUUCCAAAUUCAGACAAUAAUAUUUUUGAAACUAAUUACCUGCUUGGUGCGUUUUUGUAUAUUUACAACCCAGUUUUUAUAAUCACAUCCCAUUUAUAAUUUCUUAAAGCCCAUUUUCUUGUUAGGCCUAAUAGGAAAGAUUUACAGCCCAGCAGGGUGGAGAAUAACAAGUUGACCUGGGUUGGGUAUUCCGCAAAAAAGUAUAGUUGGGCUAGCCAUUUUCACCUUGAAAAAAUAAUAUCUCGGCUGGAUAUUUGGUUGACAUAAAAUAAUAGCCUCAGCUAGAUGGGUCAUAGCCCGCCCAGUUGAUACCCUGCUCCUAUGAACAACAACAAAAACAUCGCUCAUGAAAAAAAUCCGCUUAGACCUAAAAAAACAAAUAUUGCUCGAGCUGCUGGGUCCCAACUGUCGGCCGCUCCUUGUGCAAUUCUCUCAUUAUUGACUAUAUAGGUUGAUGAUGGUGUGGGACCGUGAUGUCAGGAAACCAGGAGGAAGCAAAAAAAUUAUAGUUGUAUAUAAUAAGGAGGAACUUGCGUACGUACGGCUAUGGCCCUAGUGGGUCCCUACUGUCAUCCAGUAAAAAUAAAGUCAUCUCCUGAAUCCUCAUGUUCGUUGACCAUGUUGAGAAUGCUCAGCACCACGGCAAGCGCAACAACUCGAAGGACAAUGGAGAGGGCCUCGCGGGCCCUACAGAUGGUUUGAUACAGCGCCCGCUGCUCAUUCAGGAAGCCAGGAUCAUCGCAUACCUAUGAGCACCUUCGAGAGACUAAGACGACAUGAAACGGUAAGGCCGUGCUUGGGAGCUCUGGUUUAUUUCACACCUGUAUUGAGAUACAAGUGUAAUUUACUCAUCAUUGGAAAACAACGCAUAAAAAUACAGGCUUAAUUAAACCGAGUGCCCGAGGUCUGUAACGAAAACCGGUGAGUUACGCGUGUAAUUUGAGAGACCAGUGUAUAUUUUACUACUCGAAAUCGCCCAACCAAGCGCUUAGCCCAAGACCAUCUGCUUUAAUUUACAAGCGUCAGUUUUACAAGCGGUUUUGGUUGGAAAACAGCGAUUCAAUCAUAGCCUAAGAUGAUGAGUUGGUCCGAAGAUCAUAUGGUUUCACCUCUAACCUACCCGAGUUGUCGUAUAGGCUAUGAAUGAAACAUAAGACAAUGAACUUCUUAAGCACAGAAACAACAGAAGGAUGAUCUUCUUAACAUGCAAAUCAUAGACAUUAGAUCAACAUGCAAAACAAUAUGAAGCAUUAUUCUCAGGAGGCACAGUGAACAGCUCGUGAUGCCGCAUGCCAUAGCAUUCCAAGCUCAACUUUGCAAUCAAACUCACAAGGCCUUGCAUUACAUAGAAAACAUUCAGAACAAACUCUUAAAAUACCCUACAUAAGUCAACAUUCAUGUGACUAUGCAUCUCAUCAUAGUAAAUAUUUACUUCUGAACUGAACACAAGAAUAGGAACAAACGAUCGAUGUUGCUCACAGCAAAGGGCGUCCCACUCAAAAAUAUGAAAUGCAUGUCUCCUGGCCAACAUCAAUGAGCAAAAAUUGACAAGGUUUUCCAAUUCCAAUAUAUUAAACUAAUGUCUUCUUGCUAACAACAAUGAUUAAAGUUUGACAAGGUUUUCCCAUUCAAAAUAUUUAAUGCCUAUGAUUGUGGAAUGGCAGGGUUUGUCAUCAGUUUGUCAUCUGAUAGCCCGGUGGCUCAAGGUGAUGACGAAUGAUCAAAGAACCAUUCGAUGUAUUGUGCAUGAUGAAGUAUUAUGGAUGACACGAACCAUCUGAACAUUUUGUGCAGUUCACUAAAAUCAAGCUAAGAAUCCCCGUGGAUUUCGUAUUUAUAUGCUUUCAAGAAAACAAAGACACGUCAGCACACACAUGAAUAUUGGCCCCAGUGUCAACCCACCAAUCGGUGGACUAACAAACUGAAAGUAUGGUAAACAGAUUACCAUACCCAGAUGCCCCAUUAUUGUUUCUUAGAGUGACAUUGACAUACUUGGGAGUCCUUUCCUGGCUUCUUGUACUUGUUUGGGCACUUGUUUGCCCAGUGUUCGUCAAAACCACAAGUAAAGCAGCCAUCUCUCUUUUUGUCUUUCUUCUUACCCUUCUUAAUGGCCGACGUUGGUAGCUCCAUUCAAACAGAUAGUCCUGUCGCUCAUGGUGAAGACGGAUGAUUAGAGAACCAUUCGAUGUAUUGUGCAUGAUGAAGUAUUAUGGAGGACAUGAACCAUCUGAACAUUUUGUGCAGUUCCACUAAAAUCAAGCUCAACAUCCCUGUCUGCAUAAAUACAGAAAAAGUGUGAUGAAUAUAAUAGUGGUACUAGUUUAUUAAGCAUACGCUUACAACUAUAAUCAUCUUCAUUAUCUUUAAUGGGAAUGGAUAGAAAUACAAUAGCUUGAGUUAAAUAUUUAUUGAAAACAAUACAAUGAUAUUAGUAGCACAGCAUAACAAAGCAUAAUCAUGUGGAUGAAGGCCGAUACUGACCUUGUUUGUUACAGAUGCGUCGGCAACUGACUUGGUCAUACCUUUCCUUGUGGAGUGAAUUUUGCGCUCCACGUGUUGUUUAGUUGCCCAUGCUCUCUGCAGACUAGUCAUGUCACCAACGUCUACUAAUACUCUGUAAAGCUUCUUGAUCAUUCCUUCUGUAAUGUAGCGCAAACAAUGACUGCUUCUUUCUGCAAAGUGGUAAGACCAACCUGACCCACUAAUGCAGCAGUUUGCCUUAGACACAUUGUCUCCUUUUGUGCAGUUCAACUAAAAUCAUCGUCAAAAUAAAACUGAGCUUUAAUUUUGAUAUCCCUCUAAGCAACAAUAGGUAUAAGGGAAACAAUUACUAAGAAAUAACUGUUGAUGACUUGUACUCCCGGAAGAAAAACAUCUACUGAUCUAUCUUAUCUUAAUGGGAAACAAAGUAGGAGAGUAGCAAUUCUCAAUCAGUGUGAUUCAUUCAUAUUAACUGAGACAUUAUCUUAACAAUGCCUUGUUUCGAAAUGUAUAAAGAACGAUAAAGCAGAAAAGUACCAUUCCUAAAACAAUGUGACUGAUUCAUUUAGUGGAGACAUUAUCUUAACAAUACCUUGGUUAAACAUGUAGAAAGAACUACAAAGCAUGAUAGUACCAUUUGUAAAACACUGUAACUGAUAUAUAAUAACAAAGACAUUAUCCGAAUAAUACAUUUCUUAAACAUGUACUCCGGCUGAUCCCUAAUAGAAAUGGUACUCCCACUUAUCCCUAACAAGUGUUUUAGUUUUAACUAAGAUUCAGUUGUUAAUUUUGAGAGUGGCAUUGCUUAAUUUUACCAGCGGCAUUAGAUUAACAAAAAGCAUAAACAAUUCCAGGGGAGAGUGGGCGCAACAACAGCAUGUGCUUCCAUCUACUUAUAAAGGGGGUGAUGCAGAGUUUUGUUGUAACAAUGAAACAAGCAUCAUGUCUAGGUUGGAACAAUUUUUGCUCACUUAAUGGUAAAAGACAGCAGUUCAAUAGCUUCAAUUCAACAUUUAUCCAAAAUAGUACCAAUACAAGUAGCACAACAUCUCAAAGCACACUGCAUCAUCAUGUCGAUGAAAGUCGGCACUAACCUUUCUUGACUAAGAUUUGAAACAACUCACGAGGAGGAUUUGAAACAAAUCCCAACACAUAUAUGGAAAUCCGAUCUCCUUUUGUGCAGUUCCACCAAAAUUAAGCAAAGUCGCCGGUGUGACAUUCAAGUUGAACUGCACAAAACACUCUUAAAACAGAAGUGUUUCGCGUAGUGAAGCAAAAUAUCGCAAUAGCAACAAGUUGAAUAGAUAUCCCUGUUUUAACAGAGGCAAAAAAGGAAUGAAUUACUGGCCAAUAAAGGAGGAUGAAACAUGCGGCCACAAAAAUGGUAAUCCCGCCUAUCCCUAACAAGUGCUGCAGUUUUGAACUAAGAUUCACUAGUUAAUUCUGAGAGUGGCAUUGCUUAAUUUUACCAGCGGCAUUAGAUUAACAAAAAACAUAAACAGUUCCAGGGGAGAGUGGGCCCAACAAUACCAUGUGCUUCCAUCUACUUAUAAAGGGGGUGAUGCAGAGCUUGUUGUAACAAAGCAACAAGCAUGAUGUCUGGGUUGGUCCCAGUUUAGUUCACUACUUAAUGGGAAAAGACGGCAAUACAAUAUCUUCAAUUCAACAUUUAUUUAAAAUAGUACCAAUACAAGUAGCACAACAUCUCAAAGCACACUGCACAAUCAUGUGGAUGAAGGCCUGUACUGACCUUUCAUGAGACGAACAAGAUAAAAUACGAAUCUACCAACACGAAUAGGAAAUCCAAUCCUGUUUUGUGCAGUUGCACUAAAAUCAAGCAAAGUUGCCGGUGUGACAUAUAAGUUCGCUAUAGCAACAAGUUGAAUAGAUAUCCCUUUUUUAACAAAGGCAAAAAAGGAAACAAUUACUGGCCAAUAAAGGAGGAUGAAACAGACGGUGACAAAAAGAAGCAUCUAACUUAUCUUGAUGGAAAACAAAGUAGGACAGUAGCAUUUCUAAAUCGGUUGCAUUGAUUCAUAUUAACAUCGACAUUCUCUUAAAACAACAUUCGUUAAAAAUGUAAUUUACUUUUAAUAGUGGCAUUGCUUCAAUUUUCCAGCAGCAUUCUUAGAUUAACAAUAGAAAAAUAGUUGUAUGGGACAUGGGACAUGGGACAUGCCAACACCAUGUGCGUCCACAUGUAUAAAUUGGUGAUGCAGAGUAUGUUGCCAAGUAGCAUAUCUGCAUUGGUCCGAUAUUUGUUCUCUUUAAACCUUUUUCCUAUGUGAAGGCAGCAAAUCUAGUCCUGCAAAAGCUACCCAACCCCCCAGUUUCUUUCCCUUUUCAACAAAGAUAUUGGUUCCUUACAGAUAUGUGUACUAGGUUACCCCCUUUUCCCUUUUCGACCAACAAAGCAGCUGGAUAGCCAGUCUAUAAUACUUUCCCUUACUCCUUUCCUCAUUGAACCACGUCCUAGAUUCAUGCUCCACCCCACUGCACCCUUCUUUCCUCUUUGAAACAAGACCUAGAUUCGACUACAGAAUCUAAAAAAAUCCGCAUGCAGCUAGAGCAAUGACGGUUUCAAAGAAACUUGUACCUUAGGGUCGUCGGGAUGUGGCUAGGCAUGUGGUGGGAGGCCGGAUCUGCCCGCACUACAUACGACAACAAGGAUGAAGGGGUCAGUGGCCUUCUCGCACAGGCGCUGGGUGAAAGAGAAUAGCGCAGCCGACAGUGCAUUGCCUCCCUCGCCUAAGGCGAUAGAGUGAAUGUUGCACCUCCUCCCCUUCCUGGUGCGACGGGAUCGGACAGCUCCUUCACCAGCUGUGAGGGGAGGGGGGAGAGACAAAGGCCAACACAGUCUUGUUUAGAUAUGGUGAAGAGGGUGAGAGACUAUGAAUAUAGCAAACCCUAGCAAAGAAACGCUGGGCCUCCAGCACGUGUGUGUGUGUGUGUGUGUGUAUAUAUAUAUAUAUAUAUAUAUAUAUAUAGGACUCAUAUUUUAUACUCCCAAGUGUAUGUACUCUCAUAGGCUAAACGGGCUAGUGGUUGUUAGAUCGGCUGUUAGACGGACUGAAUAAAUGAUUUUCUAUAGCGUGCAUGCAUUAACAAAUGGAGAUAUUUGAGGGAUCCUCCUAAAUGGAUAAGGUUGCGCUCGUUCAAGUCUACCACGAGUCUGGUAGUUCACUUUUUUUUAUAGAAAAGACUGAUAUGCAUGGCCGAUAUAUACUUCUUCUUUUUUUGCGAUCAGGUAUACUACUAUUUUGCACGUAGUAUAUACCACUUCUUACGGAAGAUCAUCUUUUUGUGGAGUAUAUAUACUGCUAUUUGCAUUGUAGUAUAUAUAGAACUUUUUCUACAUACAAGUAUAUGUACAAUAUUUUUUUACAUAUAGUUUUUUUUGUACUAUUUGUGCACGGAAAAUAUAUACUAAUUUUUAUUGGCAAGGAGUACAUACAACUUUUUUAUGUAAGUAUAUACUUCUUUUUUUCAUAUUGCAGCAUAUACUCCUUUCUUUGGUCUGGAAGCAUAUACUUUUAGUAUGUGAGUAUAUAUAUACAACUUCUUAUGGAAGAACAUAAUCUUUUUUUACAGAGUAUAUAUACUGCUAUCUGCAUUGUGGUUUAUAGAGUUUUUUCUAAUACAAAUAUGUAUUAUUUGUGCACGGCAAAUAUAUACUACUUUUUUGGUAAGGAGUAUAUACUACCUUUUGUAUAUGAGUAUCUACAUGUUUUAUAUUGUACUCCCUCCGUCCCAAAAUAAGUGACUCGACUUUGUACUAGCUUUAGUACAUAGUUAUUACAAAGUUGAGUCACUUAUUUUGGGACGGAGGGAGUAGUAUAUAUUACUACUAUGUUGGUCUGGAAGCAUAUACUUUUUCUAUGAGUAUACCCUGUUUUUUUAAUGGGGUAUAUACCACAUAUUGCAACUCUUUUUUGGGGUGUUUGUUAAUGGGGUAUAUACCACAAAUUGCGACUCUUUUUUUGGGUAAAGGAACAUAUGCUAUUUAUAUCAAUAUACUUCACAGUAUUGUUUACUUAGAAAUGAAGUAUAAUCCACUUGGAAAUAUAAAUAACUACAAACUAAGGAGUAUUCAGAAUGAAGAUUGAGCAAAUACAGGUAUAAUUUGUAUGGCACUGAGCAAACAAGAGCAUAAAUAAGAGAGUAAGAAACCAUAUAAAAAAUGGGGGUACUAACUUUUUUUAUAUGACACGAAGCACACAAGGCUUGUGCGAAGCAAAAUGAAACACCGGUUGAAGCAGGGAAAUGCAUGUACCCUUUUACAAAUGGAAAAUUAAAGCAGCAAUUUCAGAAAAAUAGUGCACUCUUCGACAACUAAACAGGUAGGAUCCUCUAGCUUGAAUCAAAUUAGUAGUUUUCUACACAGUAGUUUAGCAAUCGGAGCUACUGCUCCUUUUGUUGGGUAUACCACGAGACAACAGUUGUACACAAAACUAUACAUUUUAUCAUUUAUACACUAACAGGAGUAAUUAGGAAGUAUGCUAAUCAGGUUUACGGCUAGCUGGGCGCCGCUGGCCAUAUGACCGUGAGAAUUCGUUGGAGAUUAACAAGCACACCGCGAGUGAUGUUGCCUCCAUCGACCACCAGAAGCCACUGAACUGAUUCUUCCAUUCUAGAGGCCGUCGGCCACAAGUCUAUAGAAACAACCACAGAGCACACAAAUAUUCUUCCGUUCACAGAAUUAACGUCGGCAAACGAUAUUGAGACCCGUCUCCUGAAAGGGAUCAUAUAUUCAUAUGCCACUCUUCAGAUCUGGAAGCAAAGUAAGAGGAUUAUGAUCAAUGGAUAGGAAGAUGUUACAGAUCUAGCCACGGAAUCAGCAUGCAUAGAAAGUUCAAGAACAAAUCGCGUUGACCUCUGAUUCCAAUCAACAUCGUGUUGUGCUCUCUGAUCCAUCGGCCAGCGGCAGAUAGAAUUUGGAUCGCUUGUAGAAAACUAGGAAUAUCAAGGAUUAAACUAGUGGCAUGAGGUGGUAGAUGCAUGUGAAGGAAACAAUCAGCUCAUUGCUGCCAGAUAGAUCAGUAAAUUAACAAUCAGCUCACCUCCCAAUAGGGUGUGCUUCGAUGGCCACAAGAUGAGCUGCACGCUCCUCUAUCUUGCGGAUUAAAUCCAGCGAAGAUCAUAAGUGAUUGAAUCCGCCGGUGAUCGCCGAUGUCCGCCGAGUCGGCCUGGCUAGAUAUUAGUGGGUAACGAAAAUCCCUACCGCCACCGAAGUUGUUUGAGUCAGGGAGAUAGUCAGUAUCUAAUUAUUUAAUCUAAACAGGCACAAGUUUGUUGCCCGCUAGGAUGUGUGUGCGUGCAAUUGAAGGUGAGAGUAUAUAUUUAGUGCGG